AUUGUACUUAAAUGAACUAUCAAUUUAAGUUGAACGAAAUGCUGCUUAAGUGUAAAAAGAAAAUUUGUUUUGUCAGAGAGUAUUAGUCCCUUAAGCAUUUAUAGUUUGUAUAUCUUAUGUGGUUCGAUAUACUUAGUUCACUAUAAACAUUGCUCUGAUACCAAUCUGUCACACCCCCAAACCUGAACGGCGGAAACGUUCGGGGGCGGAUGACUUCAUGUGGUAACGUAACAAAUGAAUACAUAGUAAAGAAAGCAAUACAACCAUCAUAUAUAUAAUUGAAAGUUUACAUUUGUCAAAAGUUACAUGUUCAAAACCAAUUACAAUAUGAUGUCAAAAUAUGAGAUUAAACUGGCGCCGCAGCAUCCCUUCAUCAAAAGCAAAAUGAAUACCUGAAAUUACUGAUUUCCUGGGACAUACAAGUAAUUUUGAAAGAGUAGAUCAGCAUUUAAGCUGGUGAAUUUCAUAAGUAUUUAAGUGACAAUGUUUGAAUGAAAUGAAAUGUUUUAUCUUUGUUUGUUUGUGUUUAGAAAAUCCUAUAUUUUCUACUAGUAUAAAAGUAGCCUUCACUCAAGACCAAUGUUUGUUUCCAAAAUGUAUGUAAAUGUAAAAUAACCAAUGAGUUUGAAAACCUUGUAAAUCAAUGCAUUUUUAAUACCCCUUGUGAGUUUUAUAACCAUACUAUUGACUCUGAAUGCCUAUACACAACGUUCUUCAGGCGUUGGAAUGUUAUGACGUUUGUCACCCCAAACGGUGGACUGCAGCUAACAGUCAGGGCGCGGGUUGUCAAGCCCGUAUAGAUCUAUACACAAACACCAUGCUCCCCCUCCAAGGGAUUCUGGUAUAUAAUACAGGACUUGAAAUGUGUACUCGAACGUACAUGAAGUUAGUGUCUCACAAAACCGUGGUAUAAAAACAGAUCUACUUGUUAAAAUGUUACGUUUGUUCUUGUAUACGAAAGUAAACUUCUUGAAAUAUAUGUUUCUAGUACAUAAGAGUUAGAAAUCUGUUCGUAAAACUAUACCUAUUAUAGUUUCCAAAAAGUGUGUCUUGUUUGUUUAGAAAUAUUGAGAAAAGGAAUCACUUGUUUAUGAAAGUAUAGAUUUUUGGUGUAGAGUCUAGGAUAGACAAGAAAAAUCUAAGAACAGUUUAGUUUAUACAUGCAUUACAACAACAUUAUAUUUUAAAAGGUAAAAUGCUAUUGUGACAUAUGUUAUAUAUAUAUAAAAGUUCCUUUAAAUGUUUAUAAAUCGCAUGUGAUUUGAAUAUAUAACAGUAUAUAAAAGAGUUUCUUUAUGUAACACACGAUAAUACUCGUGUGUUUUACUUGUAAUCCCCCCCUUGAAAGCAUAUAAAAGUAUUUAGAAUAAUUAAAAAGGUUGAUUAAGGGGUAUGAAACUCACUUGAAAGUUUUGGAGAUAGCGAGAUGGAAAACCGGGCAGAGUUUCGUCUCGGGAAACGGAUUUUCCUCGGGAUUCUCGGGAAUCUCGGGAGUAAAAUCGACCUUCGGGACUUGAGCCAAAAAGACCAGAGCUUCGGGUUUGAACGGACACGGAAAACGAGGCAAAGUUGAGAGAGAGAGAAGAGAAAUGAACCCUUUCUUUGGAAACCCUCGCAUCCUAUUUAUAGUAAGGCUGGUCUGCCUCGGUACGCGGGGCGUACGCUCGUACGCAGCGCGUACGCGUACGUCAUGCAUGACCGAAGCCUCGACUGCCUCGGCUUCGGAUGGGACGGGUCGGUGGGGAGGCGGGUCGGAUGGGACGGUGGGUCAGAUGGGACAGCGGGUCGGACGGGUCGGUCGGACGGGCGGGUCGGACGGGUCGGAAGCCUCGGAUAGGGCGACGUGGACGAUCAGAGGCCAAGUCUCUCGGGUACGCAGGGCGUACAGGGGUACGUAGCGCGUACCUCGGAUGAGGACGCUGACUCCUCUUCGGAUAAGGUCCAAUUUUUGAAUUAAAUAAAUAUAUAAUUUAUUUAAUAAACUUCAAAAAUUCAUAUCUUCUUCAUACGAACUCCGUUUUCGAUGGUCUUUAUAUCCACGCGUAGGUGAGACUACGCUCUACAACUUUCGUUUAGACUCCGUCGGCAAAUUCCGAAAUUAUUUUUUUAUUAUUUAUUUUAAACUCAUCGUGUUUAAGGAAUUUCUUUGAAAAUUCAUAACUUCUUUAUCUGAUGUCGGUUUUUGCCAGACUUUUUACCGCUGGAAUACCAUUGUCGAGACCUUCGAUUGUCGUUUAGGUCAUUCCGGCCAAAAGUCGCUCGAUCUCCGAUUCGAGUUUUUAGAUGUCUGUUGCUAAGCCGAACUUGGAAAAAUCAUAACUUCGCUAUAUGAAGUCGGAUUUGGGCGUUCUUUUCACGUACGAUCAUGGUUCAAAGACAUUUAAACAUAGAAGGAAAUUAAAUAGAACUAUUUGUACAUUUUAUUAUGAAAGUAAAUUUUAUUACUCAAAAGUGGUUACAAUACUUGACCCUUUUUGGUCAUUACAAAGAGUUGAAAUAUCGGGUUGUCACAAAUGUAGGUAUGACUUCAAAAUCUGAAUAGCAAUCGUAGCUCUCAAAAGCUGGUGUCGAACUCUAUCACGUACUUUAGAUAAGGGAUCGUAUAAUCCUCCAUUCUCAAGAUAUUGUGUGGACAAAUACAUGGAACAUAGUCAUACUUAUUGUCCAGCAGUUUGUUUCUUGGUCUCUGAUUUGUCUAACAUAGAACUCAAUUGAACACAUCAAUUCAGUCCUGACCGGGCCCAACACAUAAGUCAAAAAAAAAUCAUCGAGGGGUUCAAGAUAUCGCUUUUAACCUCAUAGGAUAAAAGGAACAUAUAAACUUCGACUUAUAUGCUUGUACUAUUUACUCAUCAAAUCAUACACAACAAUACAUUUUAUAACAACAAGUUACGGAUGCGUUUAUGUAUUAUCAAUGCAUAACCAACUCGUAAACAACAACUUAUAUAUCUAUGUUUAAAGACUGUAUGAUAUUAUCAUCUCACAAUCACUUGUGAUUAAAUUCCAUGAAGUGAUUCAUGUGAGCUCGGGUCUAAUCCAAUACUCAAAUCAUAUUUCAGAAGCACUUAUGAACGUUGUAGCAAACCUUUUCUAUGUCUAAACGCUUCAGACAAUCUACAAUCCAAUUAACGACAAUCUUGAUUCAUACUUACUUCCAACGUAUGAUCGACUGCGGAUAGUUUAAACAAUCUUAUUAUUUAGGAAGUCAAAACAUGCAAAGUGAAACAAUAGUAAAUAAUUAACAUAAGAUGGUAACAUUACUCAUCAAUAAUACUCCUUUAUUUAAUCAUCAAAUAUUAAUUACAAUUUAUCUAUUACAAGUUUCUAACAGCUAUCUAAUCACUAAAACUAAUAUCUUCCUUCAGCGUAAUGCUCCUAGUGUGCUGCAAGUGCUUAACCCUACUCAGUCCCUUCGUAAGGGGAUACAUUGGGUUCUCCUCUGAUGAUACCCUCUUUACUAUGAGGAGUCCCUCUUCUACCCGAUGUCUAAUGAAAAUAUAUUUUCUGUCGAUAUGCCUAGAUCUGCCAUGAUCCCUCAAUUCCUUGGUCAAGUCAAUCGCAUCUUCGUUAUCACAGAAAAUCUCCAUAGGCUCCUUUAUGGCAGGUACAAAUCCAUGGUCUCCGAUGAAGUUCUUUAGCCAUACUACCUCCUUUAACGCUUCGCUCGCUGCUAUGUACUCUGAUUCACACGUUGAAUCAACUACGGUCUCCUGCUUGGAACUUUUCUAAGUCACUGCUCCUCCGUUCAGCGUAAACACCUAGCUCGACUGUGAGCUGAAAUUAUCCCGGUCGUUCUGAAAAUCGGCGUCACUAUAACCUCGCACUCUCAAGUCAUUACUCCCACCGAGGAUAAGGAACCAUUCCUUAGUUCUUCGUAGGUACUUGAGAAUGUUCUUUACUAUGGUCCAAUGUGCCCUACCAGGCUUCCCUUGAUAUCUGCUGACUAUGCUCAAAGUGAAGGCCACAUCAGGGCGAGUACACGUCAUAACAUACAUGAUUGAGCCAACUGUGGAAGCAUAAGGUACUCACUCAACUCUGCUAUCUCGGCUUCCGUACUCGGGCUUUGAGUCUUACUCAAGAUGGUAUUGCUUUGGAUUGGUAACUCUCCUUUCUUGGAAUUCUCCAUGCUAAAACGUUUUAACCAUUAUAUCCAAGUAAGUACUUUGACUAAGUCCUAUUAGUCUUUUACUCCUACUUCUCAAUAUCCUUAUCCCAUGAAUAUAAGCAACUCCUUCGAGGUCCUUCAUAGCGAAGCACUUCCCAAGCCAGGACUUAACCUCCUGUAGGGUGGGGACGUCGUCUCCUAUGAGCAGUAUGUCGUCCAUAUACACUACGAGAAAGCUAACUAUACUCCCACUGGCUUUAACAUAUACACAGGACUCAUCCUCGCAUCUUGAAAAACCAAACUCUUUGACUUUGUCAUCAAAACAAAUAUUCUAUCUACGAGAUGCUUGGUUCAAUCCAUAAAUGGAUUCUCAAGCUUACACACUCUAUUAGGGUGCUCUGCAUUGACAAAACCCUCUAGAUCACUCAUAUACACAUCUUCAGCCAAAUUUAAGUUGGGUUUUGAGCAUUCUAACACUCAUAAGGUGUGCAUGCAACUUUAGAAACCUUGAAUCUAUAUUAUCUCUAUUAUACAUGCAAACUUUCAUUUUCCAAGGUUUUAUCCUAACUAGCAUACCAUGAAGUAUAUGUAAUACAAUAAUCUAGUAGAAUGACAUACCUUUUCUUGUAGCUUGAUUCCUUAAGCCUAUAAGAGCCUAGCACCCUAAGUGUGAUGCCUCAAAUGCUUCACACAACACUGUUGGAUUAGAUGUCUAAGCCCAUAACUAUUAUUGGUAUGUACUCGACCUGAGAGUAGCAUGGUCCAUUUGGGUUGCAUAUCAUCAGGACAAUUUGUUAGGAUAGACUUUUGAGAAUAGGUUAUUUAUGAUUUAUUAAUAUACUAUAAGUUAUAUAUAUUAAUAUGAAAUCAUAUGAUUUAUUUAGUAUUGAUCAAUAAUUGGUUUGGAAUUAAUUUAGUGUUCAAAGAAGACUAACUAAAUUCAUGGGGACUAAUUAUGGUAAUUAGUUAAACAUGUGUAUUGGGCUAUUAAUCCAUGUUGGACUAAGAGUUGGGCCACAUGAAGCAUGGAUCAUAAACCCAUGGGUAUGGGUUUGGGUUAACCCAUGACCUUUGGAAUCCCACAUAUAAAUAUGUUUCUCCAUAGCCAAAAUUGCCACUCAUGUUUUGGUGUUCAUAUGGACGGUUUUUAUGUGGCUAGUACUCUCUCUCAAACGUCACUCUUUGUCCUAGGUGAGUUGUGAUUCCAUUUGACGCAUCCACACUAUUGGUUCUAAGCUCUUAAGGCCAAAUACAACAAGGUUUGAAGCUAUAUAAAAAGGUAUGUCAUCGUAACUAGUAUUUCAUAUUGUUAAUGUCAUUUGUAUGCUAGUUAUAGGCUUAAUGCUUUGGAAACACUAUUACAUGUAUAAUUAGAGAAAACAUAGGGUUGUAUGUGCACCAUAGGAUGUUGUAGUAUACAAAACCCAACAAACACCACCAAUAAUUGGAAGAAAUUGAGAAGGGAUUAUCUAGCACCAAAUACGGCUAUAGAUCUCUAAGAACACUAGGGUGUCGAUUUUGGUAGCCUAGGGGCUUCAUACAUAGUGUGGUGGAAUUAGGGUUACACCAUGUAAGCCUUAAUAGCCAUGACUUUCCAUAUUCCUCAUGCUCCAUGGGUUUUAACCUCCAUGGAGCAUCCAUGGGUCACCACAUGGGUUUAGCCCAACAUAAGGAAUCAUGGAUCAUUUUCCCACACCAUAAGAAUGAAUGAUUUACCAAAUCAACCCCUUAUAUUUAUUUAUUCUCUUUUGAUCACAAAACUAAUUCCAAAUUAAUUCUUGAUCAAUACUAAUUAAAAAAUAUGAUUUCAUAUUAAUAUAUUAGAACUUAUAAUAUAUUAAUACAUCAUAAAUAUCCUCUUCUCAAAAUUUCAUCCUUCUGAUUGUUCCGGUGCCAUGCAACCCAAAUGGACCAUGCUAUUCUCGGGUCAAGUACAUACCAAUUAUAGUUAUGGUCUUAGACACUAUAUCCAAUAGUCUCCCACUUGGAAAAGUCUAAUAACUAUAACUGCAAGUAAGACUUAAAACACCGACUAGCAAUCGUAGCUCUUAAAAGCCUCUGUCGAAACAAGAAACUCCAUUUUAGAUAAGUGAUCAUAUAAUACUCUGUUCAAGAUAUUAGCCAUAUAAAUACAUGGAACAACGUCAUACUUAUUUUUCAUCAGUUUGUUUCCCGAUUUCCAAUUUGUUUGACAUAAAACUCAAUCAAACACAUCAAUUUAGUUCUGAUCGGGCCCGACACAUAAGUAAAAACAAAAUCAUCGAGGGGCCCAACAUAUCGCUUCUAAUCCUCCAAGGACUAAAAGGAAUAAAUAAACUAUGACUCAUAUGAUUUCACUAACUAUUCAUUGAAUCAUACACAACAGCAUGUUUUAUAACUUCGAGUUACCAAUGCGUUUUCGUACUAUCAAUGUAAAACCAAUUCACAGUCAACAACUUAUAUAUCUAGGUUUAAAGAAUUAUAUGAUAUUAUCGUCUCACUAUCACUCAAGAUAAAUUCCAUGAAGUGAUACAAGUGAGCGCGGGUUGAAUCCAAUACUCAGACCUUAUGAGUACUCAUGAAUGUUGCAGCAAACUUUGCUAUGUCUCAUACCAUUCAGACAAAUACACAAACCAAAUUCAUGCCAAUCUUGAUUCAAUACCUAUUUCUAACAUAUGAUCAACUGUGGAUAGUUUGAAUAAUAUAAUUAUUCUAGAAGUCAAAACAUGCAAGGUGAAACAAUAGUAAAUGAUUGACACAAGACAGUGUCAUACUAGUAAAUAAAAACACCUUUUAUUUAAACAUCAAAUGUCAAUUACAUUACAACUAUUACAAGUUUCAAAAACUAUCUAACCAUUAAAACUAAUAUCAUCCUUCAGCCCAAUGCGCCUCGCAUGCUGUAAAUGCCUAACCCUACUCAGUCCCUUCGUGAGGGAAUCUGUUGGGUUCUCAUCUGGUGAUACCCUCUUUGCCACGAGGAGUCCUUCUAUUCGAUGUCUAAUGAAGUGGUAUUUUCUAUCGAUGUGCCUGGAUCUUCCGUGAUCCCUUGGUUCCUUGGAUAAGGCAAUUGCACUCUCUCUUUCACAGAAAAUCUCCAUAGGCUCAUUUAUAGAUGGUACAACUCCAAGGUCUCCAAUGAAGUUCUUCAGUUAUAUUAUCUCCUUUGUCGCCUCGUUUGCUGCUAUGUACUCUGAUCUGCAAGCUGAAUCAACUACUGUAUCCUGAUUGGAACUUUUCCAAGUUAUUUCACCUCCAUUCAGGGUAAAGACCCAGCCCGACUAACAACAGAAAUUAUCCAUGUCAGUCUGAAAGCUAGCAUCGCUAUACCCCACCACUCUCAAGUCAUCACUCCCACUAAGGGUAACGACCCAGUCCUUAGUCCUCCGCGGGUACUUGAGAAUGUUCUUUACCACAGUCCGGUGAUCCUUUCUCGGAUUCCCCUGAUAUCUGUUGACCAUGCUCAAAGCAAAGGCCACACCAGGGCGAGAACAAUUCAUAACAUACAUGAUCGAGCCAACGGCGGAAGCAUACGGUAUUCGACUCAUCUCAGCUAUCUUAGCCUCUAUACUCAGACUCUGAGCUUUACUAAGUUUGACAUUGCUCUGCAUCGGUAAGUCACCUUUCUUGGAAUCUUGCAUGCCAAAUCUUUUCUAUACCUUAUCCAAGUAGGUACUUUGACUAAGUCCAAUUAGUCUCUUACUCCUCUCUCUCAAUAUCCUUAUCCCAAGAAUAUAGGAAGCUUCUCUGAGGUCCUUUAAAGAGAAACACUUCCCAAGCCAGGACUUAACUUCCUGCAAGGUUGGGAUGUCAUUUCCUAUGAGUAGUAUAUCAUCCACAUAUAGUACCGAAAAGCUAACUAUACUCCCACUAGCCUUGACAUAUACACAGGACUCAUCCUCGCUUCUCAAAAAUCCAAACUCUUUUACUUUCUCAUCGAACCAAAUAUUCCAUCUGCAAGAUGCUUGUUUCAAUCCAUAAAUGGAUUUAUCAAGAUUGCACACUCUAUUAGGGUACUUUGCAUCGACAAAACCCUCUGGCAGACUCAUGUAAACAUCCUUAGCCAACUUUCCAUUAAGCAAAGCGGUUUUUACAUCCAUUUGCCAUAUUUCAUAAUCAUGGAAUGCACCAAUGACUAGCAUAACCUUAAUAGACUUAAUAUUUUCUACUCGCGAGAAGGUUUCAUCAUAAUCAACUCCCGGAGUUUGAGUAACGCCCUUCGCAACCAGUCGCGCCUUAAAAGUGUGUACCUUCCCAUCCAUGUAGGUCUUCUUCUUGAAGAUCCAUUUUUACCCGACUGUCAUACGACCUAGUACAUUGUCAACAGAGUUCCAAACUUGAUUUCCAUACAUGACUGAAUCUCGCUGUCCAUAGCCUCUUUCCAUUUGGCAGACUUGGGGCUCGCCAUGGGUUCCUUGUAGCUGUUAGGUUCAUCCAAAUUUACCAGUGUGCUAUCACUGAUAAAUGUAUCACCUUCUGCAGUAAGAUGGAAACCAUAGAACUCAGGCAGAAGACUAACUUUAUCGGAACGCCUCAGAGGUACAAACUUGUCAAUUAUCUCAACACGAGUUUCCUCCUCAGAUUGAUCGCUAGUGUUUGAGGUUCCCUCACCGCUUGACUCUUGAAGUUCCUCAAGGUCAAUUUUCCUCCCACAGUCUCCUUGUCCUAUGAGCUAUCUCUCACGAAACACUCCUCUCAUCACAACGAAGACUAUAUUGUCACUCAGUCUACAGAAGAGAUAACCAAAGGAUAUAUGUGGGUAGCCGAUGAAAAUACAUCGCUUAUUCGACGGUUCGAGCUUGUCAUGAGUCUCGCAUCUCACGAAGCCUCGUAACCCCAAACCUUGAUGUGGUCUAAUGUGGGAGCCUUCCCAUUCCACCUGGCAUGAAGUGUUUUGGCAACCUUCUUGGUAGGGACUAGAUUAAGGAUAUGGGCGGCAGUCUCUAAGGCAUACCCCCAUAAUGAGAUUGGUAAUGAAGCUCGACUCAUCAUGGAACGAACCAUGUCUAACAAGGUUCGCUUUCACCUCUCAGUCACACUAUUAAGUUGUGGUGUCCUAAGUGGCGGCAACUGUGAAACAAUUCCACAUUCCUUCAGAUAGUCAAGGAACUUGAUACUAAGAUACUCACCACCCUGAUCGGAUUAGAGCAUCUUUAUCUUCCUGCCCAGCUGAUUCUUCACUUCCUGUUUAAAUUCUUUGAAUUUCUCAAAGGUUUCUGACUUAUGCUUGAUUAAGUAGACAUAGUCAUAUCUACUGUAAUCAUCAGUAAAAGUAACAUAGAAGCGAUUAGCACCCCUUGUGGCGGUUCUGAAGGGCCCACACACAUCGUUGUGUUGAGAUCCAACAAACCCUCACCCCUCUCACAACUACCAGUGAAGGGUGAUUUAGUCAUCUUUCCAAGUAAGCAACAUUCGCAAGUCUCAUCCGACCUUAAGUCGAAUGACUCCAAAACUCCAGCCUUCUAGAGUUGGCCUAUGCGCUUCUUGCUCACAUGUCCAAGACGACAAUGCCAUGAGCAUGCUUUAUCCAAUUCAUUGGAAGAAUCGAUAUGCAACACAUCAUUUCCUAAGUUGUCUACAACAUUCACAGUUUCAUAUACAUCAUUACAAGGUAAUGAUUAAAAAUAAAAAAACACCAUUAUAAUAAGCAUUUAUUGCACCAAUUUCAUUAUCAAACGAAAAUGUGAAACCUUGUUUCUACAAAACAUGAAAGGAAAUAAUAUUUCUCGCCAUAUCAGACGAGUAGAAACAAUUAUUCAAAUCUAUUCUUAACCCACUAGUAAGCAAUAAAGAUUAAACUCCAAUCUUGGUGACAGGUGAAACCUUCUUAUUCGCCAUGAUUAAGUUUAUCUUCCCAUGCUCCACAUCAUUACUUCUUUUUAGGCCUCGCACAUUAGCACAAAUGCGAAAUCCACAACCUGUGUCAAGCACCCAAGAGUUAGAAUGUGAUGAGUUUUUAGAUAGAAUAGUAUAAAUACCUAAAUGGGUGGGUUUAACCUUCCCAUCCUUAACAUCGUGCAAGUAUUUGGGGCAGCUUUGCUUCCAGUGCCCUUUUUGUGAUAGUAGAAACACUCUACUUCAUUAGGAAUGGAAAUGGGAGCAACAGAAGCAGCCUUGGUCCCACUUGAAGAGGAUCCAUCAAGAGACUUUCCCUUGCGGCUAUUUAAGGGAGACUUCCUCUUCUUCCCUUUCCCUUGUCCUAUUGCAAGAUCAUGGGCGGUGGUAGGAGUAGUAACAGCCGGUUUACCUUUGGGAGCACUAUUGGCAGUCCUCAAAAGCCCUUGAAGUUUGCUAAGUGUGACCUCCUCCUUGUUUGUAUGAUAGUUCAUUCGGAACUGAUAAUAACAUGGAGGUAAGGAGUAUAGAAUGAUAUCUAUACCCAUCUCCUUAAGGAAGGUCUUAUUCAACUUUAGCAAUCGCUCCACAAACCUUUGCAUUUUUUGCAAGUGGCCCGUGAUGGGUUCACCAUCCUUCUUCCUGGUUGUUAUCAUGGAAGAUAUGAUUUCAUACCUCUCUUGACGAGCAAUCUGAUGGUAUCUUUCCAUCAGGUCCUGGUGCAUCUCAAAAGGGUAGAAGUCCUCAUAGGACUUUUGGAGUUGAGCUGACAUAGUGGCAAGAAUUAUACAAGCUACCUUGGUGGCAUCCUUCUCAUGUGCCCUAAACUCAGCAAUCUCCUCAGGAGUAGCAAAAGACUCGUCAAUUUCCUUUAGCUCCUUGUCGAGGACAUUUUCCUUGUCCUCAUAGCGAGUUACCAUCUUUGUGUUCCUAAUCCAAUCAUUGAAGUUGGAACCAUCGAAGAUGACUCUCCCACAAAGGUUCAUGAGAUAGAAGGAGCCAGUAGGGUUUGAGCCAGAAGCAGUGUUGGAAGACAUCGGAAAAGAAAGAAAGACAAGUUUAGAUUAGAUAAAGAGUCCUUAAUAAAACACUCAAAUGAAAUAUUAAGGCUAAGACCCAACACAAUAUUUUAAAAAAUUGGAAGAGGGAUGUCGUAAUCCAACUUGCUAAAUAUUUGAAGGUAGGUAAAUGACGAUUUACCAACUUCCACCAUGAAAAAACGAAAUAUUUAUUAACUUUUAAUUGGAUUGAAACUCCUAGAUCCUUUGAAAUUCAUUGAAAAAUUCAAUGGCAUGUUUAAAUCUCGAUUAUUCCCUUCAGGUUUGUGACUUGGAUACCGAGGAUCACAAACAAGGUGUGAAUAACCAUGCAAAAUGUGAUUGGUACUCCCGACUUUAUCCCCCGAUCAAUGUGUCGGUUAAUGACACAUGCUCCAUUUAUAUUAUGAUAAACAUCGAGCCACCCUUUGCCACCCUUACUAGUCCAAGUUAAUGUGACGGUUAACCACACACGCUCCAUCAACGACUUGGUAAGGUGCAAAGUGCAAUUUUCAUGGAUUAGCAUCAAUUUCACAUUUUCCUAAAGUAGAUUAAGGAUAUGGGCGGCAGUCUCUAAGGCAUACCCCCAGAAUGAGAUUGGUAAUGAAGCUCGACUCAUCAUGGAACGAACCAUGUCUAACAAGGUUCGCUUUCACCUCUCAGCCACGCUAUUAAGUUGUGGUGUCCUAGGUGGCGUCAACUGUGAAACAAUUCCACAUUCCUUAAGAUAGUCAAGGAACUUGAUACUAAGAUACUCACCACCCUGAUCGGAUUAGAGCAUCUUUAUCUUCCUGCCCAACUGAUUCUUCACUUCCUGUUUAAAUUCUUUGAAUAUCUCAAAGGUUUCUGACUUAUGCUUGAUUAAGUAGACAUAGUCAUAUCUACUGUAAUCAUCAAUAAAAGUAACAUAGAAGCGGUUAGCACCCCUUGUGGCGGUUCUGAAGGGCCCACACACAUCGUUGUGUUGAGAUACAACAAAACCUCACCCCUCUCACAACUACCAGUGAAGGGUGAUUUAGUCAUCUUUCCAAGUAAGCAACAUUCGCAAGUGUCAUCCGACCUUAAGUCGAAUGACUCCAAAACUCCAGCCUUCUGGAGUUGGCCUAUGCGCUUCUUGCUCACAUGUCCAAGACGACAAUGCCACGAGCAUGCUUUAUCCAAUUCAUUGGAAGAAUCGAUAUGCAACACAUCAUUUCCUAAGUUGUCUACAACAUUCACAGUUUCAUAUACAUCAUUACAAGGUAAUGAUAAAAAAAAAAAAAACACCAUUAUAAUAAGCAUUUAUUGCACCAAUUUCAUUAUCAAACGAAAAUGUGAAACCUUGUUUGUAUAAACCAUGAAAGGAAAUAAUAUUUCUCGCCAUAUCAGAUGAGUAGAAACAAUUAUUCAAAUCUAUUCUUAACCCACUACUAAGCAAUAAAGAUUAAACUCCAAUCUUGGUGACAGGUGAAACCUUCUUAUUCGCCUUGAUCAAGUUUAUCUUCCCAUGCUCCACAUCAUUACUUCUUUUUACGUCCCGCACAUCAGCACAAACGCGAAAUCCACAACCUGUGUCAAGCACCCAAGAGUUAGAAUGUGAUGAGUUUCUAGAUAGAAUAGUAUAAAUACCUAAAUGGGUGGGUUUAACCUUCCCAUCCUUAACAUCGUGCAAGUAUUUGGAGCAGCUUUGCUUCCAGUGCCCUUUUUGUGACAGUAGAAACACUCUACUUCAUUAGGAAUGGAAAUGUGAGCAACAGAAGCAGCCUUGGUCCCACUUGAAGAGGAUCCAUCAAGAGACUUUCCCUUGCGGCUAUUUAAGGGAGACUUCCUCUUCUUCCCUUUCCCUUAUCCUAUUGCCAUAUCAUGGGCGGUGGUAGGAGUAGUAACAGCCGAUUUACCUUUGGGAGCACUGUUGGCAGUCCUCAAAAGCCCUUGAAGUUUGCUAAGUGUGACCUCCUCCUUGUUUGUGUGAUAGUUCAUUCGGAACUGAUAAUAACAUGGAGGUAAGGAGUAUAGAAUGAUAUCUAUACCCAUCUCCUUAAGGAAGGUCUUAUUCAACUUUAGCAAUCACUCCACAAACCUUUGCAUUUUUUGCAACUGGCCCGUGAUGGGUUCACCAUCCUUCUUCCUGGUUGUUAUCAUGGAAGAUAUGAUUUCAUACCUCUCUUGACGAGCAAUCUGAUGGUAUCUUUCCAUCAGGUCCUGGUGCAUCUCAAAAGGGUAGAAGUCCUCAAAGGACUUUUGGAGUUGAGCUGACAUAGUGGCAAGAAUUAUACAAGCUACCUUGGUGGCAUCCUUCUCAUGUGCCCUAAACUCAGCAAUCUCCUCCGGAGUAGCAAAAGACUCGUCAAUUUCCUUUAGCUCCUUGUCGAGGACAUUUUCCUUGUCCUCAUAGCGAGUUACCAUCUUUGUGUUCCUAAUCCAAUCAUUGAAGUUGGAACCAUCGAAGAUGACUCUCCCACAAAGGUUCAUGAGAUAGAAGGAGCCAGUAGGGUUUGAGCCAGAAGCAGUGUUGGAAGACAUCAGAAAACAAAAGAAAGACAAGUUUAGAUUAGAUAAAGAGUCCUUAAUAAAACACUCAAAUGAAAUAUUAAGGCUAAGACCCAACACAAUAUUUUAAAAAAUUGGAAGAGGGAUGUCGUAGUCCAACUUGCUAAAUAUUUGAAGGUAGGUAAAUGACGAUUUACCAACUUCCACCAUGAAAAAACGAAAUAUUUAUUAACUUUCAAUUGGAUUGAAACUCCUAGAUCCUUUGAAAUUCAUUGAAAAAUUCAAUGGCAUGUUUAAAUCUCGAUUAUUCCCUUCAAGUUUGUGACUUGGAUACCGAGGAUCACAAACAAGGUGUGAAUAACCAUGCAAAAUGUGAUUGGUACUCCCGACUUUAUCCCCUGAUCAAAAUUGUUGGUUAAUUACACAUGCUCCAUUUAUAUUAUGAUAAACAUCGAGCCACCCAUUGCCACCCUUACUAGUCCAAGUUAAUGUGACGGUUAACCACACACGCUCCAUCAACGACUUGGUAAGGUGCAAAGUGCAAUUUUCAUGGAUUAGCAUCAAUUUCACAUUUUCCUAAAGUAGAUUAAGGAUAUGGGCGGCAGUCUCUAAGGCAUACCCCCAGAAUGAGAUUGGUAAUGAAGCUCGACUCAUCAUGGAACGAACCAUGUCUAACAAGGUUCGCUUUCACCUCUCAGCCACGCUAUUAAGUUGUGGUGUCCUAGGUGGCGUCAACUGUGAAACAAUUCCACAUUCCUUAAGAUAGUCAAGGAACUUGAUACUAAGAUACUCACCACCCUGAUCGGAUUAGAGCAUCUUUAUCUUCCUGCCCAGCUGAUUCUUCACUUCCUGUUUAAAUUCUUUGAAUAUCUCAAAGGUUUCUGACUUAUGCUUGAUUAAGUAGACAUAGUCAUAUCUACUGUAAUCAUCAGUAAAAGUAACAUAGAAGCGAUUAGCACCCCUUGUGGCGGUUCUGAAGGGCCCACACACAUCGUUGUGUUGAGAUCCAACAAACCCUCACCCCUCUCACAACUACCAGUGAAGGGUGAUUUAGUCAUCUUUCCAAGUAAGCAACAUUCGCAAGUGUCAUCCGACCUUAAGUCGAAUGACUCCAAAACUCCAGCCUUCUGGAGUUGGCCUAUGCGCUUCUUGCUCACAUGUCCAAGACGACAAUGCCACGAGCAUGCUUUAUCCAAUUCAUUGGAAGAAUCGAUAUGCAACACAUCAUUUCCUAAGUUGUCUACAACAUUCACAGUUUCAUAUACAUCAUUACAAGGUAAUGAUUAAAAAUAAAAAAAACACCAUUAUAAUAAGCAUUUAUUGCACCAAUUUCAUUAUCAAACGAAAAUGCGAAACCUUGUUUGUACAAACCCAGAAAGGAAAUAAUAUUUCUCGCCAUAUCAGACGAGUAGAAACAAUUAUUCAAAUCUAUUCUUAACCCACAAGUAACCAAUAAAGAUUAAACUCCAAUCUUGUUGACAGGUGAAACCUUCCUAUUCGCCAUGAUCAAGUUUAUCUUCCCAUGCUCCACAUCAUUACUUCUUUUUAGGCCCCGCACAUCAGCACAAAUGCGAAAUCCACAACCUGUGUCAAGCACCCAAGAGUUAGAAUGUGAUGAGUUUUUAGAUAGAAUAGUAUAAAUACCUAAAUGGGUGGGUUUAACCUUCCCAUCCUUAACAUCGUGCAAGUAUUUGGGGCAGCUUUGCUUCCAGUGCCCUUUUUGUGAUAGUAGAAACACUCUACUUCAUUAGGAAUGGAAAUGGGAGCAACAGAAGCAGCCUUGGUCCCACUUGAAGAGGAUCCAUCAAGAGACUUUCCCUUGCGGCUAUUUAAGGGAGACUUCCUCUUCUUCCCUUUCCCUUGUCCUAUUACCAGAAUAGGGGCGGUGGUAGGAGUAGUAACAGCCGCUUUACCUUUGGGAGCACUUUUGGCAGUCCUCAAAAGCCCUUGAAGUUUGCUAAGUGUGACCUCCUCCUUGUUUGUAUGAUAGUUCAUUCGGAACUGAUAAUAACAUGGAGGUAAGGAGUAUAGAAUGAUAUCUAUACCCAUCUCCUUAAGGAAGGUCUUAUUCAACUUUAGCAAUCGCUCCACAAACCUUUGCAUUUUUUGCAAGUGGCCCGUGAUGGGUUCACCAUCCUUCUUCCUGGUUGUUAUCAUGGAAGAUAUGAUUUCAUACCUCUCUUGACGAGCAAUCUGAUGGUAUCUUUCCAUCAGGUCCUGGUGCAUCUCAAAAGGGUAGAAGUCCUCAUAGGACUUUUGGAGUUGAGCUGACAUAGUGGCAAGAAUUAUACAAGCUACCUUGGUGGCAUCCUUCUCAUGUGCCCUAAACUCAGCAAUCUCCUCAGGAGUAGCAAAAGACUCGUCAAUUUCCUUUAGCUCCUUGUCGAGGACAUUUUCCUUGUCCUCAUAGCGAGUUACCAUCUUUGUGUUCCUAAUCCAAUCAUUGAAGUUGGAACCAUCGAAGAUGACUCUCCCACAAAGGUUCAUGAGAUAGAAGGAGCCAGUAGGGUUUGAGCCAGAAGCAGUGUUGGAAGACAUCGGAAAAGAAAGAAAGACAAGUUUAGAUUAGAUAAAGAGUCCUUAAUAAAACACUCAAAUGAAAUAUUAAGGCUAAGACCCAACACAAUAUUUUAAAAAAUUGGAAGAGGGAUGUCGUAGUCCAACUUGCUAAAUAUUUGAAGGUAGGUAAAUGACGAUUUACCAACUUCCACCAUGAAAAAACGAAAUAUUUAUUAACUUUCAAUUGGAUUGAAACUCCUAGAUCCUUUGAAAUUCAUUGAAAAAUUCAAUGGCAUGUUUAAAUCUCGAUUAUUCCCUUCAGGUUUGUGACUUGGAUACCGAGGAUCACAAACAAGGUGUGAAUAACCAUGCAAAAUGUGAUUGGUACUCCCGACUUUAUCCCCCGAUCAAUGUGUUGGUUAAUGACACAUGCUCCAUUUAUAUUAUGAUAAACAUCGAGCCACCCUUUGCCACCCUUACUAGUCCAAGUUAAUGUGACGGUUAACCACACACGCUCCAUCAACGACUUGGUAAGGUGCAAAGUGCAAUUUUCAUGGAUUAGCAUCAAUUUCACAUUUUCCUAAAGUAGAUUAAGGAUAUGGGCGGCAGUCUCUAAGGCAUACCCCCAGAAUGAGAUUGGUAAUGAAGCUCGACUCAUCAUGGAACGAACCAUGUCUAACAAGGUUCGCUUUCACCUCUCAGCCACGCUAUUAAGUUGUGGUGUCCUAGGUGGCGUCAACUGUGAAACAAUUCCACAUUCCUUAAGAUAGUCAAGGAACUUGAUACUAAGAUACUCACCACCCUGAUCGGAUUAGAGCAUCUUUAUCUUCCUGCCCAACUGAUUCUUCACUUCCUGUUUAAAUUCUUUGAAUAUCUCAAAGGUUUCUGACUUAUGCUUGAUUAAGUAGACAUAGUCAUAUCUACUGUAAUCAUCAAUAAAAGUAACAUAGAAGCGGUUAGCACCCCUUGUGGCGGUUCUGAAGGGCCCACACACAUCGUUGUGUUGAGAUACAACAAAACCUCACCCCUCUCACAACUACCAGUGAAGGGUGAUUUAGUCAUCUUUCCAAGUAAGCAACAUUCGCAAGUGUCAUCCGACCUUAAGUCGAAUGACUCCAAAACUCCAGCCUUCUGGAGUUGGCCUAUGCGCUUCUUGCUCACAUGUCCAAGACGACAAUGCCACGAGCAUGCUUUAUCCAAUUCAUUGGAAGAAUCGAUAUGCAACACAUCAUUUCCUAAGUUGUCUACAACAUUCACAGUUUCAUAUACAUCAUUACAAGGUAAUGAUUUAAAAAAAAAAAAAAAACACCAUUAUAAUAAGCAUUUAUUGCACCAAUUUCAUUAUCAAACGAAAAUGUGAAACCUUGUUUGUAUAAACCAUGAAAGGAAAUAAUAUUUCUCGCCAUAUCAGAUGAGUAGAAACAAUUAUUCAAAUCUAUUCUUAACCCACUAGUAAGCAAUAAAGAUUAAACUCCAAUCUUGGUGACAGGUGAAACCUUCUUAUUCGCCUUGAUCAAGUUUAUCUUCCCAUGCUCCACAUCAUUACUUCUUUUUACGCCCCGCACAUCAGCACAAACGCGAAAUCCACAACCUGUGUCAAGCACCCAAGAGUUAGAAUGUGAUGAGUUUCUAGAUAGAAUAGUAUAAAUACCUAAAUGGGUGGGUUUAACCUUCCCAUCCUUAACAUCGUGCAAGUAUUUGGAGCAGCUUUGCUUCCAGUGCCCUUUUUGUGACAGUAGAAACACUCUACUUCAUUAGGAAUGGAAAUGUGAGCAACAGAAGCAGCCUAGGUCCCACUUGAAGAGGAUCCAUCAAGAGACUUUCCCUUGCGGCUAUUUAAGGGAGACUUCCUCUUCUUCCCUUUCCCUUAUCCUAUUGCCAUAUCAUGGGCGGUGGUAGGAGUAGUAACAGCCGAUUUACCUUUGGGAGCACUGUUGGCAGUCCUCAAAAGCCCUUGAAGUUUGCUAAGUGUGACCUCCUCCUUGUUUGUGUGAUAGUUCAUUCGGAACUGAUAAUAACAUGGAGGUAAGGAGUAUAGAAUGAUAUCUAUACCCAUCUCCUUAAGGAAGGUCUUAUUCAACUUUAGCAAUCGCUCCACAAACCUUUGCAUUUUUUGCAAGUGGCCCGUGAUGGGUUCACCAUCCUUCUUCCUGGUUGUUAUCAUGGAAGAUAUGAUUUCAUACCUCUCUUGACGAGCAAUCUGAUGGUAUCUUUCCAUCAGGUCCUGGUGCAUCUCAAAAGGGUAGAAGUCCUCAUAGGACUUUUGGAGUUGAGCUGACAUAGUGGCAAGAAUUAUACAAGCUACCUUGGUGGCAUCCUUCUCAUGUGCCCUAAACUCAGCAAUCUCCUCAGGAGUAGCAAAAGACUCAUCAAUUUCCUUUAGCUCCUUGUCGAGGACAUUUUCCUUGUCCUCAUAGCGAGUUACCAUCUUUGUGUUCCUAAUCCAAUCAUUGAAGUUGGAACCAUCGAAGAUGACUCUCCCACAAAGGUUCAUGAGAUAGAAGGAGCCAGUAGUGUUUGAGCCAGAAGCAGUGUUGGAAGACAUCGGAAAAGAAAGAAAGACAAGUUUAGAUUAGAUAAAGAGUCCUUAAUAAAACACUCAAAUGAAAUAUUAAGGCUAAGACCCAACACAAUAUUUUAAAAAAUUGGAAGAGGGAUGUCGUAAUCCAACUUGCUAAAUAUUUGAAGGUAGGUAAAUGAGGAUUUACCAACUUCCACCAUGAAAAAACGAAAUAUUUAUUAACUUUCAAUUGGAUUGAAACUCCUAGACCCUUUGAAAUUCAUUGAAAAAUACAAUGGUGUGUUUAAAUCUCGAUUAUUCCCUUCAGGUUUGUGACUUGGAUACCGAGGAUCAUAAACAAGGUGUGAAUAACCAUGCAAAAUGUGAUUGGUACUCCCGACUUUAUCCCCCGAUCAAUGUGUCGGUUAAUGACACAUGCUCCAUUUAUAUUAUGAUAAACAUCGAGCCACCCUUUGCCACCCUUACAAGUCCAAGUUAAUGUGAUGGUUAACCACCCACGCUCCAUCAACGACUUGGUAAGGUGCAAAUUUCAAUUUUCAUGGAUUAGCAUUAAUUUCACAUUUUCCUAAAGUAGAUUAAGGAUAUGGGCGGCAGUCUCUAAGGCAUACCCCCAGAAUGAGAUUGGUAAUGAAGCUCGACUCAUCAUGGAACGAACCAUGUCUAACAAGGUUCGCUUUCACCUCUCAGCCACGCUAUUAAGUUGUGGUGUCCUAGGUGGCGUCAACUGUGAAACAAUUCCACAUUCCUUAAGAUAGUCAAGGAACUUGAUACUAAGAUACUCACCACCCUGAUCGGAUUAAGCAUCUUUCUCUUCCUGCCCAGCUGAUUCUUCACUUCCUGUUUAAAUUCUUUGAAUAUCUCAAAGGUUUCUGACUUAUGCUUGAUUAAGUAGACAUAGUCAUAUCUACUGUAAUCAUCAAUAAAAGUAACAUAGAAGCGGUUAGCACCCCUUGUGGUGGUUCUGAAGGGCCCACACACAUCGUUGUGUUGAGAUACAACAAACCCUCACCCCUCUCACAACUACCAGUGAAGGUUGAUUUAGUCAUCUUUCUAAGUAAGCAACAUUCGCAAGUGUCAUCCGACCUUAAGUCGAAUGACUCCAAAACUCCAGCCUUCUGGAGUUGGCCUAUGCGCUUCUUGCUGACAUGUCCAAGACGACAAUGCCACGAGCAUGCUUGAUCCAAUUCGUUGGAAGAAUCGAUAUGCAACACAUCAUUUCCUAAGUUGUCUACAACAUUCAAAGUUUCAUAUACAUCAUUACAAGGUAAUGAUUUAAAAAAAAAAAAAAACACCAUUAUAAUAAGCAUUUAUUGCACCAAUUUCAUUAUCAAACGAAAAUGUGAAACCUUGUUUGUACAAACCCAGAAAGGAAAUAAUAUUUCUCGCCAUAUCAGACGAGUAGAAACAAUUAUUCAAAUCUAUUCUUAACCCAAAAGUAACCAAUAAAGAUUAAACUCCAAUCUUGUUGACAGGUGAAACCUUCCUAUUCGCCAUGAUCAAGUUUAUCUUCCCAUGCUCCACAUCAUUACUUCUUUUUAGGCCCCGCACAUCAGCACAAGUGCAAAAUCCACAACCUGUGUCAAGCACCCAAGAGUUAGAAUGUGAUGAGUUUCUAGAUAGAAUAGUAUAAAUACCUAAAUGGGUGGGUUUAACCUUCCCAUCCUUAACAUCGUGCAAGUAUUUGGAGCAGCUUUGCUUCCAGUGCCCUUUUUGUGACAGUAGAAACACUCUACUUCAUUAGGAAUGGAAAUGUGAGCAACAGAAGCAGCCUUGGUCCCACUUCAAGAGGAUCCAUCAAGAGAAUUUCCCUUGCGGCUAUUUAAGGGAGACUUCCUCUUCUUCCCUUUCCCUUGUCCUAUUGCCAAAUCAUGGGCGGUGGUAGGAGUAGUAACAACCGAUUUACCUUUGGGAGCACUGUUGGCAGUCCUCAAAAGCCCUUGAGGUUUGCUAAGUGUGACCUCCUCCUUGUUUGUAUGAGAGUUCAUUCGGAACUGAUAAUAACAUGGAGGUAAGGAGUAUAGAAUGAUAUCUAUACCCAUCUCCUUAAGGAAGGUCUUAUUCAACUUUAGCAAUCGGUCCACAAACCUUUGCAUUUUUUGCAAGUGGCCCGUGAUGGGUUCACCAUCCUUCUUCCUGGUUGUUAUCAUGGAAGAUAUGAUUUCAUACCUCUCUUGACGAGCAAUCUGAUGGUAUCUUUCCAUCAGGCCCUAGUGCAUCUCAAAAGGGUAGAAGUCCUCAUAGGACUUUUGGAGUUGAGCUGACAUAGUGGCAAGAAUUAUACAAGCUACCUAGGUGGCAUCCUUCUCAUGUGCCCUAAACUCAGCAUUCUCCUCAGGAGUAGCAAAAGACUCGUCAAUUUCCUUUAGCUCCUUGUCGAGGACAUUUUCCUUGUCCUCAUAGCGAGUUACCAUCUUUGUGUUCCUAAUCCAAUCAUUGAAGUUGGAACCAUCGAAGAUGACUCUCCCACAAAGCUUCAUGAGAGAGAAGGAGCCAGUAGGGUUUGAUCCAAAAGCAGUGUUGGAAGACAUCGGAAAAGAAAGAAAGACAAGUUUAGAUUAGAUAAAGAGUCUUUAAUAAAACACUCAAAUGAAAUAUUAAGGCUAAGACCCAACACAAUCUUUUAAAAAAUUGGAAGAGGGAUGUCGUAAUCCAACUUGCUAAAUAUUUAAAGGUAGGUAAAUGACGAUUUACCAACUUCCACCAUGAAAAAACGAAAUAUUUAUUAACUUUCAAUUGGAUUGAAAUUCCUAGAUCCUUUGAAAUUCAUUGAAAAAUUCAAUGGCAUGUUUAAAUAUCGAUUAUUCCCUUCAGGUUUGUGACUUGGAUACCGAGGAUCACAAGCAAGGUGUGAAUAACCAUGCAAAAUGUGAUUGGUACUCCCGACUUUAUCCCCCGAUCAAUGUGUCGGUUAAUGACACAUGCUCCAUUUAUAUUAUGAUAAACAUCGAGCCACCCUUUGCCACCCUUACUAGUCCAAGUUAAUGUGACGGUUAACCACACACGCUCCAUCAACGACUUGGUAAGGUGCAAAGUGCAAUUUUCAUGGAUUAGCAUCAAUUUCACAUUUUCCAAAAGUAGAUUAAGGAUAUGGGCGGCAGUCUCUAAGGCAUACCCCCAUAAUGAGAUUGGUAAUGAAGCUCGACUCAUCAUGGAAUGAACCAUGUCUAACAAGGUUCGCUUUCACCUCUCACCCACGCUAUUAAGUUGUGGUGUCCUAGGUGGCGUCAACUGUGAAACAAUUCCACAUUCCUUAGGAUAGUCAAGUAACUUGCUACUAAGAUACUCACCACCCUGAUCGGAUUAGAGCAUCUUUAUCUUCCUGCCCAGUUGAUUCUUCACUUCCUGUUUAAAUUCUUUGAAUAUCUCAAAGGUUUCUGACUUAUGCUUGAUUAAGUAGACAUAGUCAUAUCUACUGUAAUCAUCAGUAAAAGUAACAUAGAAGCGGUUAGCACCCCUUGUGGCGGUUCUGAAGGGCCCACACACAUCGUUGUGUAUGAGAUCCAACAAACCCUCACCCCUCUCACAACUACCAGUGAAGGGUGAUUUAGUCAUCUUUCCACGUAAACAACAUUCGCAAGUGUCAUCCGACCUUAAGUCGAAUGACUCCAAAACUCCAGCCUUCUGGAGUUGGCCUAUGCGCUUCUUGCUGACAUAUGCAAGACGACAAUGCCACAAGCAUGCUUUAUCCAAUUCAUUGGAAGAAUCGAUAUGCAACACAUCGUUUCUUAAGUUGUCUACAACAUUCACAGAUUCAUAUACAUGAUUACAAGGUAAUGAUUAAAAAUAAAAUAAAAACAUUAUAAUAAGCAUUUAUUGCACCAAUUUCAUUAUCAAACGAAAAUGUGAAACCUUGUUUGUACAAACCAUGAAAGGAAAUAAUAUUUCUCACCAUAUCGGACGAGUAGAAACAGUUAUUCAAAUCUAUUCUUAACCCACUAGUAAGCAAUAAAGAGUAAACUCCAAUCUUGGUGACAGGUGAAACCUUCCUAUUCGCCAUGAUCAAGUUUAUCUUCCCAUGCUCCACAUCAUUACUUCUUUUUACGCCCCGCACAUCAGCACAAAUGCGAAAUCCACAACCUNNNNNNNNNNNNNNNNNNNNNNNNNNNNNNNNNNNNNNNNNNNNNNNNNNNNNNNNNNNNNNNNNNNNNNNNNNNNNNNNNNNNNNNNNNNNNNNNNNNNNNNNNNNNNNNNNNNNNNNNNNNNNNCUUCCGAUCUGUUCAUGAGAGAGAAGGAGUCGAUAGGGUUUGAGCCAGAAGCAGUGUUGGAAGACAUCUGAAAAGAAAGAAAGACAAGUUUAGAUUAGAUAAAGAGACCUUAAUAAAACACUCAAAUGAAAUACUAAGGCUAAGACCCAACACAAUAUUUUAAAAAAUUGGAAGAGGGAUGUCGUAAUCCAACUUGCUAAAUAUUUGAAGGUAGGUAAAUGACGAUUUACCAACUUCCACCAUGAAAAAACGAAAUAUUUAUUAACUUUUAAUUGGACUGAAACUCCUAGAUCCUUUGAAAUUCGACUUCCACCAUGAAAAAACGAAAUAUUUAUUAACUUUUAAUUGGAGUGAAACUCCUAGAUCCUUUGAAAUUCGUUGAACAAUUCAAUGGCAUGUUUAAAUCUCGAUUAUUCCCCUCAGGUUUGUGACUUGGAUACCGAGGAUCACAAACAAGGUGUGAAUAACCAUGCAAAAUGUGAUUGGUACUCCCGACUUUAUCCCCCGAUCAAUGUGUCGGUUAAUGACACAUGCUCCAUUGAUAUUAUGAUAAACAUCGAGCCACCCUUUGCCACCCUUACUAGUCCAAGUUAAUGUGACGGUUAACCACACACGCUCCAUCAACGACUUGGUAAGGUGCAAAGUGCAAUUUUCAUGGAUUAGCAUCAAUUUCACAUUUUCCAAAAGUAGAUUAAGGAUAUGGGCGGCAGUCUCUAAGGCAUACCCCCAUAAUGAGAUUGGUAAUGAAGCUCGACUCAUCAUGGAAUGAACCAUGUCUAACAAGGUUCGCUUUCACCUCUCACCCACGCUAUUAAGUUGUGGUGUCCUAGGUGGCGUCAACUGUGAAACAAUUCCACAUUCCUUAAGAUAGUCAAGGAACUUGAUACUAAGAUAAUCACCACCCUAAUCGGAUUAGAGCAUCUUUAUCUUCCUGCCCAGCUGAUUCUUCACUUCCUGUAUAAAUUCUUUGAAUUUCUCAAAGGUUUCUGACUUAUGCUUGGUUAAGUAGACAUAGUUAUAUCUACUUUAAUCAUCCGUAAAAGUAACAUAGAAGCGGUUAGCACCCCUUGUGGCGGUUCUGAAGGGCCCACACGCAUCGUUGUGUAUGAGAUCCAACAAACCCUCACCCCUCUCACAACUACCAGUGAAGGGUGAUUUAGUCAUCUUUCCACGUAAACAACAUUCGCAAGUGUCAUCCGACCUUAAGUCGAAUGACUCCAAAACUCCAGCCUUCUGGAGUUGGCCUAUGCGCUUCUUGCUGACAUAUGCAAGACGACAAUGCCACAAGCAUGCUUUAUCCAAUUCAUUGGAAGAAUCGAUAUGCAACACAUCGUUUCUUAAGUUGUCUACAACAUUCACAGAUUCAUAUACAUGAUUACAAGGUAAUGAUUAAAAAUAAAAUAAAAACAUUAUAAUAAGCAUUUAUUGCACCAAUUUCAUUAUCAAACGAAAAUGUGAAACCUUGUUUGUACAAACCAUGAAAGGAAAUAAUAUUUCUCACCAUAUCAGACGAGUAGAAACAGUUAUUCAAAUCUAUUCUUAACCCACUAGUAAGCAAUAAAGAGUAAACUCCAAUCUUGGUGACAGGUGAAACCUUCCUAUUCGCCAUGAUCAAGUUUAUCUUCCCAUGCUCCACAUCAUUACUUCUUUUUACGCCCCGCACAUCAGCACAAAUGCGAAAUCCACAACCUGUGUCAAGCACCCAAGAGUUAGAAUGUGAUGAGUUUUUAGAUAGAAUAGUAUAAAUACCUAAAUGGGUGGGUUUAACCUUCCCAUCCUUAACAUCGUGCAAGUAUUUGGGGCAGCUUUGCUUCCAGUGCCCUUUUUGUGACAGUAGAAACACUCUACUUCAUUAGGAAUGGAAAUGGGAACAACAUAAGUAGACUUGGUCCCACUUGAAGAGGAUCCAUCAAGAGACUUUCCCUUGCGGCUAUUUAAGGGAGACUUCCUCUUCUUCCCUUUCCCUUGUCCUAUUACCAGAAUAGGGGCGGUGGUAGGAGUAGUAACAGCCGCUUUACCUUUGGGAGCACUUUUGGCAGUCCUCAAAAGCCCUUGAAGUUUGCUAAGUGUGACCUCCUCCUUGUUUGUAUGAUAGUUCAUUCGGAACUGAUAAUAACAUGGAGGUAAGGAGUAUAGAAUGAUAUCUAUACCCAUCUCCUUAAGGAAGGUCUUAUUCAACUUUAGCAAUCGGUCCACAAACCUUUGCAUUUUUUGCAAGUGGCCCGUGAUGGGUUCACCAUCCUUCUUCCUGGUUGUUAUCAUGGAAGAUAUGAUUUCAUACCUCUCUUGACGAGCAAUCUGAUGGUAUCUUUCCAUCAGGCCCUAGUGCAUCUCAAAAGGGUAGAAGUCCUCAUAGGACUUUUGGAGUUGAGCUGACAUAGUGGCAAGAAUUAUACAAGCUACCUUGGUGGCAUCCUUCUCAUGUGCCCUAAACUCAGCAAUCUCCUCAGGAGUAGCAAAAGACUCGUCAAUUUCCUUUAGCUCCUUGUCGAGGACAUUUUCCUUGUCCUCAUAGCGAGUUACCAUCUUUGUGUUCCUAAUCCAAUCAUUGAAGUUGGAACCAUCGAAGAUGACUCUCCCACAAAGUUUCAUGAGAGAGAAGGAGCCAGUAGGGUUUGAGCCAGAAGCAGUGUUGGAAGACAUCUGAAAAGAAAGAAAGACAAGUUUAGAUUAGAUAAAGAGUCCUUAAUAAAACACUCAAAUGAAAUAUUAAGGCUAAGACCCAACACAAUAUUUUAAAAAAUUGGAAGAGGGAUGUCGUAAUCCAACUUGCUAAAUAUUUGAAGGUAGGUAAAUGACGAUUUACCAACUUCCACCAUGAAAAAACGAAAUAUUUAUUAACUUUUAAUUGGACUGAAACUCCUAGAUCCUUUGAAAUUCGUUGAACAAUUCAAUGGCAUGUUUAAAUCUCGAUUAUUCCCUUCAGGUUUGUGACUUGGAUACCGAGGAUCACAAACAAGGUGUGAAUAACCAUGCAAAAUGUGAUUGGUACUCCUGACUUUAUCCCCCGAUCAAUGUGUCGGUUACUGACACAUGCUCCAUUGAUAUUAUGAUAAACAUCGAGCCACCCUUUGCCACCCUUACUAGUCCAAGUUAAUGUGACGGUUAACCACACACGCUCCAUCAACGACUUGGUAAGGUGCAAAGUGCAAUUUUCAUGGAUUAGCAUCAAUUUCACAUUUUCCUAAAGUAGAUUAAGGAUAUGGGCAGCAGUAUCUAAGGCAUACCCCCAGAAUAAGACUGGUAAUGAACCUCGACUCAUCAUGGAACGAACCAUGUCUAACAAGGUUCGCUUUCACCUCUCAGCCACGCUAUUAAGUUGUGGUGUCCUAGGUGGCGUCAACUGUGAAACAAUUCCACAUUCCUUAAGAUAGUCAAGGAACUUGAUACUAAGAUAAUCACCACCCUAAUCGGAUUAGAGCAUCUUUAUCUUCCUGCCCAGCUGAUUCUUCACUUCCUGUAUAAAUUCUUUGAAUUUCUCAAAGGUUUCUGACUUAUGCUUGGUUAAGUAGACAUAGUUAUAUCUACUGUAAUCAUCCGUAAAAGUAACAUAGAAGCGGUUAGCACCCCUUGUGGCGGUUCUGAAGGGCCCACACGCAUCGUUGUGUAUGAGAUCCAACAAACCCUCACCCCUCUCACAACUACUAGUGAAGGGUGACUUAGUCAUCUUUCCAAGUAAGCAACAUUCGCAAGUGUCAUCCGACCCUAACUCAAAUGACUCCAAAACUCCAGCCUUCUGGAGUUGGCCAAUGCGCUUCUUGCUGACAUGUCCAAGACGACAAUGCCACGAGCAUGCUUUAUCCAAUUCAUUGGAAGAAUCGAUAUGCAACACAUCAUUUCCUAAGUUGUCUACAACAUUCACACUUUCAUAUACAUCAUUACAAGGUAAUGGUUAAAAAUAAAAAAAACACCAUUAUAAUAAGCAUUUAUUGCACCAAUUUCAUUAUCAAACGAAAAUGUGAAACCUUGUUUGUACAAACCCAGAAAGGAAAUAAUAUUUCUCGCCAUAUCAGACGAGUAGAAACAAUUAUUCAAAUCUAUUCUUAACCCAAAAGUAACCAAUAAAGAUUAAACUCCAAUCUUGUUGACAGGUGAAACCUUCCUAUUCGCCAUGAUCAAGUUUAUCUUCCCAUGCUCCACAUCAUUACUUCUUUUUAGGCCCCGCACAUCAGCACAAGUGCAAAAUCCACAACCUGUGUCAAGCACCCAAGAGUUAGAAUGUGAUGAGUUUUUAGAUUGAAUAGUAUAAAUGCCUAAAUGGGUGGGUUUAACCUUCCCAUCCUUAACAUCGUGCAAGUAUUUGGGGCAACUUUGCUUCCAGUGCCCUUUUGUGACAGUAGAAACACUAUACUUCAUUAGGAAUGGAAAUGGGAGCAACAGAAGUAGCCUUGGGCCCACUUGAAGAGGAUCCAUCAAGAGACUUUCCCUUGCAGCUAUUUAAGGGAGACUUCCUCUUCUUCCCUUUCCCUUGUCCUAUUGCCAGAACAGGGGCGGUGGUAGGAGUAGUAACAGCCGAUUUACCUUUGGGAGCAAUUUUGGCAACCCUCAAAAGCCCUUGAAGUUUGCUAAGUGUGACCUCCUCCUUGUUUGUAUGAUAGUUCAUUCGGAACUGAUAAUAACAUGGAGGUAAGGAGUAUAGAAUGAUAUCUAUACCCAUCUCCUUAAGGAAGGUCUUAUUCAACUUUAGCAAUCGGUCCACAAACCUUUGCAUUUUUUGCAAGUGGCCCGUGAUGGGUUCACCAUCCUUCUUCCUGGUUGUUAUCAUGGAAGAUAUGAUUUCAUACCUCUCUUGACGAGCAAUCUGAUGGUAUCUUUCCAUCAGGUCCUGGUGCAUCUCAAAAGGGUAGAAGUCCUCAUAGGAAUUUUGGAGUUGAGCUGACAUAGUGGCAAGAAUUAUACAUGCUACCUUGGUGGCAUCCUUCUCAUGUGCCCUAAACUCAGCAAUCUCCUCAGGAGUAGCAAAAGACUCGUCAAUUUCCUUUAGCUCCUUGUCGAGGACAUUUUCCUUGUCCCCAUAGCGAGUUACCAUCUUUAUGUUCCUAAUCCAAUCAUUGAAGUUGGAACCAUCAAAGAUGACUCUCCCACAAAGUUUCAUGAGAGAGAAGGAGCCAGUAGGGUUUGAGCCAACAGCAGUGUUGGAAGACAUCUGAAAAGAAAGAAAGAAAAGUUUAGAUUAGAUAAAGAGUCCUUAAUAAAACACUCAAAUGAAAUAUUAAGGCUAAGACCCAACACAAUAUUUUAAAAAAUUGGAAGAGGGAUGUCGUAAUCCAACUUGCUAAAUAUUUGAAGGUAGGUAAAUGACGAUUUACCAACUUCCACCAUGAAAAAACGAAAUAUUUAUUAACUUUUAAUUGGAUUGAAACUCCUAGAUCCUUUGAAAUUCAUUGAACAAUUCAAUGGCAUGUUUAAAUCUCGAUUAUUCCCUUUAGGUUUGUGACUUGGAUACCGAGGAUCACAAACAACGUGUGAAUAACCAUGCAAAAUGUGAUUGGUACUCCCGACUUUAUCCCCCGAUCAAUAUGUCGGUUAAUGACACAUGCUCCAUUGAUAUUAUGAUAAACAUCGAGCCACCCUUUGCCACCCUUACUAGUCCAAGUUAAUGUGACAGUUAACCACACACGCUCCAUCAACGACUUGGUAAGGUGCAAAGUGCAAUUUUCAUGGAUUAGCAUCAAUUUCACAUUUUCCUAAAGUAGAUUAAGGAUAUGGGUGGCAGUCUCUAAGGCAUACCCCCAGAAUGAGAUUGGUAAUGAAGCUCAACUCAUCAUGGAACAAACCAUGUCUAACAAGGUUCGCUUUCACCUCUCAGCCACGCUAUUAAGUUGUGGUGUCCUAGGUGGCGUCAAUGGUGAAACAAUUCCACAUUCCUUAAGUUAGUCAAGUAACUUGAUACUAAGAUACUCACCACCCUGAUCGGAUUAGAGCAUCNNNNNNNNNNNNNNNNNNNNNNNNNNNNNNNNNNNNNNNNNNNNNNNNNNNNNNNNNNNNNNNNNNNNNNNNNNNNNNNNNNNNNNNNNNNNNNNNNNNNNNNNNNNNNNNNNNNNNNNNNNNNNNNNNNNNNNNNNNNNNNNNNNNNNNNNNNNNNNNNNNNNNNNNNNNNNNNNNNNNNNNNNNNNNNNNNNNNNNNNNNNNNNNNNNNNNNNNNNNNNNNNNNNNNNNNNNNNNNNNNNNNNNNNNNNNNNNNNNNNNNNNNNNNNNNNNNNNNNNNNNNNNNNNNNNNNNNNNNNNNNNNNNNNNNNNNNNNNNNNNNNNNNNNNNNNNNNNNNNNNNNNNNNNNNNNNNNNNNNNNNNNNNNNNNNNNNNNNNNNNNNNNNNNNNNNNNNNNNNNNNNNNNNNNNNNNNNNNNNNNNNNNNNNNNNNNNNNNNNNNNNNNNNNNNNNNNNNNNNNNNNNNNNNNNNNNNNNNNNNNNNNNNNNNNNNNNNNNNNNNNNNNNNNNNNNNNNNNNNNNNNNNNNNNNNNNNNNNNNNNNNNNNNNNNNNNNNNNNNNNNNNNNNNNNNNNNNNNNNNNNNNNNNNNNNNNNNNNNNNNNNNNNNNNNNNNNNNNNNNNNNNNNNNNNNNNNNNNNNNNNNNNNNNNNNNNNNNNNNNNNNNNNNNNNNNNNNNNNNNNNNNNNNNNNNNNNNNNNNNNNNNNNNNNNNNNNNNNNNNNNNNNNNNNNNNNNNNNNNNNNNNNNNNNNNNNNNNNNNNNNNNNNNNNNNNNNNNNNNNNNNNNNNNNNNNNNNNNNNNNNNNNNNNNNNNNNNNNNNNNNNNNNNNNNNNNNNNNNNNNNNNNNNNNNNNNNNNNNNNNNNNNNNNNNNNNNNNNNNNNNNNNNNNNNNNNNNNNNNNNNNNNNNNNNNNNNNNNNNNNNNNNNNNNNNNNNNNNNNNNNNNNNNNNNNNNNNNNNNNNNNNNNNNNNNNNNNNNNNNNNNNNNNNNNNNNNNNNNNNAGUUGAACCAUUCCAACAUAAAAUUCAUAUAUAUAUUCUUGACUUGAAUUUGACACUUGUCAGAUUAUCCCCCUGUUAGAAAGAAUUUCGUCCUAAAUUUUGCAUUUUUGAGAGGGACUUCAAAGGAUGGGGAAUAGAUGUGGAUAGUUUUGCUUCAUUUGAUCUUCAUGUUCCCAUGCAAAUUCGGGUCCUCGCUUGGCAUUCCAGUGGACCUUUACGAUGGGGAUGCAGCUUUGUUUCGUCGAUUUGACCUCUUGAUCCAUGAUUUCAACAGGUUCCUCUAUGAAGUGGAGGUUCUCAUUGAUCUCAAUUUCUUUCCAAGGAAUGACAAGGGUCUCAUCAGACAAACAUUUCCUUAAGUUCGACACAUGAAAGGUUGGGUGCACGUUGUUGUGUUCCUGUGGUAAUCGAAGCUUGUCCACCGGGCCAAUCUUGGCAAGGAUUUCGAAUGGCCCGAUAUAUCUUGGAUUUAACUUGCCACAUUUUCCAAAACAUAUUAAUCCCUUCCAAGGUGAUACUUUCAGUAGUACUCAAUCUCCAACUUGGAACUCCAAAGGAUUCUGUCUUUUAUCGGCGUAGCACUUUUGUCGGUCUUGUGAAGCCUUCAUCCGUUCUCGAAUUUGGGCGAUCUUUUCUAUUGUUUCCCUUAUGAUCUCUGGGCCAGUGAGUGUGCUGUUAGGAACUUUCCCUUUUGCUAGUUGCGUAUUUCCCACCUCAGCCCAGCACAGGGGUGAUCUACACUUACGACCAUAGAUGGCUUCGAACGGAGCAACUUUGAUGCUAGUGUGAUAACUAUUAUUGUAUGAGAAUUCGAUAAUGGAUAGGUGAGCAUCCCUCACUUUAACAAAGUCCAUCACACAAGCUCUUAGCAUGUCCUCUAACGUUUGAAUGGUCCUUUCACUCUGCCCGUCGGUCUGUAGGUGGUAGGUUGUACUCAUGUCCAACCUAGUUCCCAUAGCUUUUUCUAUAGUGACUGCCAGAAUCGUGACGUGAACCGACUAUCUCUAUCGGACAUAAUGGAUAUCGGUACUCCGUGAAGUCGCACAACUUCUUUAAUGUAGAUCCUUGUCAGUUUCUGUAUUUUUUCGGUUUCCUUUAUUGGUAGAAAGUGAGCGGAUUUGCUUAAUCUGUCGACGAUUGCCCAAAUGGUGUCAAGUCCACCCGUUGUCUUAGGUAACUUCGUAAUGAAGUCCGUUGUGAUUCGCUCCCACUUCCAUUUGGGUAUCACUGGCUGUUGAAGUAGUCCCGAGGGCUUCUAAUACUCUACCUUAACCUUUGCGCAAGUCAGACACUAUUUCCCACAAAGGUAGCUAUUUCGGCUUUCAUGUUCGGCCACCAGUACAACUUCUUGAGGUCUAAAUACAUCUUGUCUGAGUCGGGAUGAACUGAGUAACGAGUUUUGUGAGCUUCGUUCAUGACAACGUCCCUGAAUCCACCAAACUUCAGUGUCCAUAUCCGCUUCAUGAGACAACGAACACCAUUAUUCUUGACUUCAAGAUUUUUGUCCAUUCCUCUCAACGCUUCACUUGCCACGUUUUGCUGGUUUCAAGGCUUCUUCCUGUGUCUCCUUGAUUUGUAUGGACAGGUGUGAAUGGAUGGUCAUGGUUAAUUCCUUUACUCGACAACCAAAGUAUUCCUUUCUGCUUAAAGCGUCUGCCACCACGUUGGCUUUUCCUGGGUGAUAACAAAUCUCGCAUUUGUAAUCGUUUAGCAAUUCUACCCAUCAUCUUUGUCUCAUGUUGAGUUCUUUUGAUUAUGGAUAUGCUGAAGGAUUUUCUGAUCGGUGAAAAUAGUGCAUUUGGUGCCAUAGAGGUAAUUCCUCUAGAUUUUUAGGGUGAAAACUACUGCUCCUAGAUCGAGAUCGUGCGUCGUAUAGUUUUCCUCGUGCGUCUUCAGCUGUCUUGAGGCGUAGACAAUGACCUUUCCUCGUUGCAUUAACAAACAUCCCAAACCAUGGUUUGAUGCAUCGCAAUAAACCACAAAGUCCUCUGCUCCCUUUGGCAGGGACAAGAUCGGAGCACUACAUAGGGCUUGUUUUAGCGUUUGCAACACAACCUCUUGCUUAUCCCCCCAGGUGAAGGUCACUCCUUUUUGAGUCAAGGUGGUGAGUGGUUUUGCGAUUUUGGAGAAGUUUUGGAUGAAUCUUCGAUAGUAGCCGGCGAGUCCUAAAAAUUGACGGAUUUCUGUGGGCGUUCUUGGCGCUGCCCAACUUUCGAUUGCCAUGAUCUUUGAAGGGUCCACAUGUAUUCCUUUCUUGCUGACUACAUGUCCUAGGAAAUCUACUUCUCGAAUCCAGAACUCGCAUUUUGAGAAUUUUGCGUACAAUUUCUCUGCCCUUAGUGUCUCCAGAACUUGACGUAAAUUCUGGCUGUUUUCUUCCUCACUUCGGGAGUAGACUAGUAUAUCGUCGAUGAAAACAAUCACGAACUUGUCUAAGUAAGGUCGACACACCCUAUUCAUCAGGUCCAUAAACACCGCGGGUGCAUUUGUUAAGCCGAAGGGUGUCAUUACAAACUCGUAGUGACCAUAGCGCAUUCUGAAGACUGUCUUGGGAAUAUCCACCUCUUGAACUCAUAGUUGAUGGUAUCCAGAUCUAAGGUCAAUCUUCGAGAAGAAACUCGCUCCUUGUAGUUGGUCGAAGAGGUCAUCGAUUCGAGGAAAAGGGUACUGGUUUUUGAUAGUGAGUUUGUUCAAUUCCCAGUAGUCAAAACACAUACUGAACGAUCCGUCCUUCUUCUUAACAAACAAAACCGGUGCUCUCCAAGGCGAGAAGCUUGGUCUAAUGAAGCCUUUGCUCAGUAGUUCGUUUAGUUGACUGGACAGUUCAUGCAUCUCGGCUGGGGCUAGACGGUAUGGCGAUUUGGCUACAGGAGUAGCUCCCGGAAUCAGGUCAAUUUAGAAUUCAACUUGUCUCGCAGGGGGCACUCCUGGAAGGCCAUCCGGGAAUACGUCAGGGAAUUUACAGACCUCCGGAAUGUCCUUUAUGUUUUUAGCUUCUUGAUUCUUAUCCACGAUGUUGGCUAGGAAGGCGUGGUACUCCUUGCGAAUAUACUUUUGGGCCUUGACACACGAAAUCAUCUGAAAUUUUGAACUGGGUUUGUCACCAUAGACGACGAGGGUUUCACCAUUUGACAGAUUAAGUCGGACAACCUUUUCGUGACAUAGGAUUUCUGCAUGGUGAGGGCAUAGCCAAUCCAUUCCAAUGAUGACAUCAAAACAUUUUAUGGUGACCGACAUAAGGUCGAUUUGGAAAGUGUGAUUGUUUAGGGUAAGGGUACACCCAAUGUAAAUGUCAUUUGUGUUCUCUGUUUUUCCAUUUGCCAUUUAUACGGUGAAUGUGUCUUUUAGUGUUUGUGGGUUUUGUUUAAGCAAGCUUUUAAAUUAAUGGCUCACGAAGCUUUUUUCCGCCCCACUAUAGAAAAGAACGCAUGCGUAUGUAUUGUUGAGGAGAAACGUACCGGUGACCACAGUUGGGUCUGCAACUGCUUCCUCAUGACCUAACGCCAGAACUCUGCCCACUCCCUAGGGUUGGGGUUUCUUGCCUUUGGUUAGUUCCGCUUAAAGUGUCCUGGCUCUCCACAACCAUAGCAGGUUUGACUUGUUCCUGCGUUGGCAUGUUGUGUGUUUGUUGGUCUAAAACUUUAGAAAAUCGAGCGGUGUGCCCCAUUUUGUUACAGUUGGUGCAAUGCAUUUCACGGAAAGCGCCAUUGUGGUGAAAGUUGCAUUUAUUGCACUUUGGCAGGUUCCUAGCGUAUUGCCUUAUCGGAGUUGGGUUGGAAGUAGUUAUGGUGGCGUUCACAGUAACCACUUGUUAUUUCUUGGCAGGGUCAUGAGCAGGUUGACCCUUCUUCUUGUUCCAUAACUUCUUUUGGUUGUUUCCCCCUUUAGCUUGCUCGGAGGUGGUUGUCAUAGUGCCAUGACUGGCUUUAUGGUCGAUGAGUUGUUGUGCCAGUUCUUUGGCACUAUCAAAGGUAGUUGGCUUUGAGGCCAAUACGUUUCCUUGAAGUUGGGAAGACAGCCCCCAAAUGUAUCUUUCAACCUUAUUGCUUUCCGACGGAAGCAUUCCUGGACACAGUAUGGCUAAAUCAUUAAACCUUGAGGUAUAAGACAGGAUGUCGGAGCUUGUCAUUUUGAGACCCCAAAGUUCCUCUUCCAACUUUUGUAUCUCGCCCCUUGGGCAGUACUCCUUCAUCAACAUGGUUUUCAGGUCUUCCUAUGUUAUCGAGUUAGCCACCGGAAGUGUCAAUGUCUUGACAUGGCCAAUCCACCAGGUGAGUGCCCUUUCAGAGAAUGUGCAUGCUGCAAACUUGACCUUGUUUGCUUCAGGGCAUGCACAUAUUUCAAAUACGGAUUCAGUUUUCUCGAACCAUUGAAGCAAUGCUAUGACACCUCCGCUCCCAUUGAAGAUUUUAGGUUUGGCAUUAGUAAAGUCUUUGUAGGUAGACUCUCUCGAGCGUCCCUGACUGUCCCAGUUGUUAGAAUUUGUGGGACCAUUACUCGCACCACCCGCAUUAUUGGUGCUGAUUUGGGACAUUGAGGCUGCUACUGCAGCUGUUACGGCAGCCUGGAACAUUACCGGGUCGAACUGAGGGGGUAGUGGAGGUGGUGGUGGCGGUGGUGGAGCUCCAGUGGCGCCGCCACGUCUAGGAUUUCUACGAGGUGGCAUUUUCUGCCAUAACAAGAAUGAAAAAACAAUAAGUCUUUGAUAGCGCUCCAAAAGUCGAGAGUUAAACUAAACAUUAGUACUUCUUUAUGUGCAUCAUGAUUUCGACUUGUAAAGUUAUUGUAUGAAUCCAUUCAUAUUAGAGGUCUAUAGAUAAUAAAAUAUAGACUUUAUGAAUGCUGAUAGAUUUGAUUUACAUGAAAUGUCUGUGAUAGACUCCAUAACAGGCCCAUCUAUAAAUCGUUUGAUGUAUAAUGUUUACAUAUAAUUAAGAUUAAAUAAACUUUCGAAUCUAAUGGGUCUGCUCUGGGUCCACAACCAAACAAGGAACAGGAUCCAAGGCGGAACCACCAAUUCUAGGUCGACAUGGUCUUAAUUAUAUAUAAUUUGACUUAUAAAUCAAACAAUCAUAAAUCGGACACCAGUAAAUUUAGUCUGAAAACAAUCCUUAUUAUGAACUUGAUGUGAUAAAGCAAAUAGCGUAUUAAUUUCAUUGAUAUAACUUAGUAUACAAUAUUGGGAAAAUUUGACCCUUUAAGGGUCAUUGUUACAUCAAUGUAUGGAAAAUUUUUGACCGCCUAACAGAUCCUAGAAGUGUAAACACUUAAAUCGUGGGAUCGGGCAUAACUUACUAGAAAAGAAUAGUAAUAUUUAUCCGCAAAACUAGGUUAAGUUGAAGCGAGUAGCCCAGGUACUACUUCCGGUGGUUGAUGUUUUGUUGAUCACGAAAUGAAGACACAAAGUUCCUCAUUUCGGCUCUGGAUUCAGCCGCCUGGCCUUCUGCGUCUGUCAGACGUCCUUCUAGAGUAGCUCGAUGUUCUUGGAGUUCUUGUACUUCAACUCAGGUCGCGGCCAUCUCUUGAUGAAGAAGCUCGGUGCGGUGUCGAGUUCGAUCGUGGUCAUCAUCCAACCGGCAAAUACGAACAGAGUUAACUUGGCUGGUGGCACCAAUUUCCAUGAGAUGUCGGGUGUUAACUCUAGUUUGCUCCUCGUGGCGUGCGACAAAGUGAACUAUGACAGGGAGGGCUAGGUCGGCUGAUCCUCCUCUGCUGAGAUCAUAGAAACCCCGUUGCAUGCCAUAGGGAGGUCAUUGGCCUUGCUCUCGACUCCAUCAAUGUAUAGUUUCGGCCCAUUGGGGUGUCAGGCCCUGGUAGUGCUGUGGAGGAAUAGGGGCAGGUGUGGAUUGUAAACUUCGGGUUCCGAAUCGGUUCCAUCCGAAUCUUCUUCUUCUUCUUCUUCACCAUCUACUGAUUCUUCCUCUUCCAUGGGUUCUUCAUCCUCCAUGGGUUCCUCAUCAGAAUCUUCCUCCGGGUCUUCCACAAUCCAACCAUCAUUCCCUUGGUUGGGCAAGUAGGGGUCACCUGGCAAGUGAAAUCCUGCCAUCGCACCUGUACGAGAAUAGGGAUAAGAAGGAUAUCGCGAGAAAUUUUUUGUAUAAGAAAUUUGUUAUCGUAAUUAUAUAUUUUGAUCAUUACGGUUUUUGUGUUAAAAUACUCCUAUAGUACCUUUAUGUUUGCUUCACGAGAUUUUGGUAAGUUGAAGACUUGUUUUGCAUCAUGAUCCUUCUUCGGCAUACAUUGGUCAUACCUUGGGUAAAUAUAUAUGAUCAGGUUAUAUUCAUCCAAGAUCUGACUACAUACUCCGAAUCUGGAUCAUGAUGUCCAACUUGUCUCAAUACUUUUAUGUUAUUGCUACUUUGAUACUGAACUAGUGAGUGCGAUGGUACGAAUACUUUUAUAAAAAUACGAAUUUUUAUUUUUUAAAAGUCUUUUUGAAAGGCUACGUCAUAGAAUUUUUGUCCCGUUGUAUUUAUAGUUUAUAUAUCUUAUGUGGUUCGAUAUACUUAGUUCACUAUAAACGAGGCUCUGAUACCAAUCUAUCACACCCCCAAACCGGAACGACAGAAACGCUCGGGGGCGGAGGACGUCAUCUUCAGUAUAAUAACCAUUGUGAAGAAAGUAAACACAACCAUCAUAAAUAUAAUUUAAAAGGUUGCAUCGUUGCAAAAUACAUGUUUCCAAAUAAAUUACAUAUGAUGUAAAAAUAGUUCAAAAGAAAACUACGCCUUAGCGUCUUGCCUUCAAAAAGUCUUGUGUUUACCUGUACUACUGAUUACCUGUGAAUAGAAGUUGUUUUUGAAAGAGUAUCAGCAUUAAAGCUGGUGAGUUCAUAAGCAAUUUAUGAAUGAAAAAUGCAUGUUGUUGCUUAAAGUUUGUUACAAGUUUGUUUCCAGAAAAUCCAAUAUUUUCUAAAAGGUUUAGUGUAGUCUUAACUGAACCAAGACUUAGUAUAUGUAAGUAAAUCAUCAUACUUAUAUGUGGUUUUAUAUUUAAAUAAAACUCCUUUUCGUGAAAUCAUUAAAUUCCCGUGAACGGUGUGUUUGUUAAUUUUCCCAUGUGAGUUGUUAUAACUAUACUAUGACUCGAGGACCUCGUACUCGACGUUCUUCACACGUCGGAAAGUUAUGACACGUGUCACCCCAGACCUGGCGGUCUAGCUAUUGCAAGCAACUCAGGUGCGGGUUGUCAAACUCAAUAUAGAUCUAUAUACAACUCUAACGCUCUCCCAACAGGAGAUUAUGGCUAUAACUAUAGGACUUUUUUAUUGUACUAAAGAGUACUCCGAAGAUGAAUGUCUCACAAAUUUGUUCAUUAACAUGUUCACGUAGUUUGUAAUAAAAUACUCGCUUUGUAAAUCGAUAGUAUUACUAUUUGAGGUGUCCGAACUAUACCUAUUAUAGUUUUAUCAAAAUGUUUUAUGUUGUAAAUGAAACCGUGUUAUGCAUGACCUUGUAUUUCAAUAAAAUAACAUUGAAAAUACUAAGUAUAAAAUGUUACACACCUUGCUCAGCAUGUUACAAGGUGUGAAUAACUCUUAAACUUAUUUUAACAAUUUAACUCUUAACUGUCACUGUUUUAGAUUAUUUAUUGAAAAAUCAUCAUAAGUCAAAAACUAAAUCCGUAAACUCAAAGGGUUUGGAAAAAGAGUCUACUAUGUUCAAAAAUUUUCUUAUAAUUUUUGGUGAUCUCAAACCUGUGUGAAAAUGUUCAUUUUCACAACCUGGUCAGAUUUCAUUGCGGCAGUGAUAGGCAGUUUUGUAAAAAUCACCAUAAAUUGUAGAAAAAUCGUAUGGAGAUGACCAGGUAGUCAUUUUAAAGUUAUAAACCUGAACCAUUUUCGAAUUGAAUAUUUUUGAAAAAUAUUAAGUUUAAGUUGGGUAAAACAGUUCGUGAACAGGCCACAACUUUUCUGUUGUAAGCUGUCAAGUCAAGUUUCAAAUAUGUUUUGGUAUUUUAACUUGUAUUCCCCCCUGAAAACUAAAGAAAACUACAAAAUAUAAGGGUAUGAACUCAACUUUAGUGAUUCUUGGAUGUGUGGAAGGUCAAGACGAGGAGUAUCAAGUCAAGAACACUUGAUGAACACGUAAAAGCUUGGAUGAUCCUAAGAACGAUUCUUUGGCGUUAGAAUGUGUGUAGAUGAUUCAAGGAUGUUAUGAAAACAUGGAAUAACACUUGAGUUUAGAGGAAAUACUUACCAAAAUGUGAAGUAAUAGCUCAAGAAAACUUCAAAAAGUGGCUGGGGGUUGAGAGAAAAUAGGCUUCUUUGUGUGGUAAGAAAGGUGUAAAAGUGUGGGAAUGAUCAAAGUGAAUCAAGAAAUCCUCCAGGGAUUUCUUUAUAUAGAGGAGUUUCUGGAGCAAGUUGCAAGAUUGAUAGGAUGUUUGCCUUGUUUUGUGUGAUGUGGAUAGGGUUGGGUUAAUGGGGAAGCGACACAUGGAGGCAAGUGGGCACACUUGACCCACUUGUGGCGUAAAAUAUCCCUAGAUAUUUCUAUUAAUGAAAUAAUGAUUUUUAAUUAAUAAAUCCCUGAGAAAUAAAUAAAAUAUGAGUUUUGGGGGUUUAAAAUGGUAAAAAUAUGAAUUUGGUGAAAAAUUCUCGUCAAAAACGUCAAAAACGGACUUAGGAGGCGAAAGUAGUCGAAAACCGGGAGAAGGGAGCGAACCUGCAAGGGGUUUGGUGCUUCAGGCUAAGGAACGAGAGUGGCACUAGGAGGGACCGAAGGUAGGAGAAGGAACCGAAGGUGGAGGCUCGGGCCCGAAGGGUUCGGUUCACAGGGUUCAGUCCGAGGGGUGGCUUCGCUUCUGACAAGUUCGCCUUUGACAGCUUCGGUCCUUAUGAGAGGUUCGGCCCUGAGAGGUUCCUUCUAAGAGGGUUCGGUUCCUAAGAAGGUUUCGGCCCUAAAUGGCUAUUUUUCAAUAUAACUUCUCGUUUUGAGUGAUUUUUGGCCAAGUUAAUGGUCGGGAUGACCCGGUUGACUAUGAAAACAUGAGAGAGAUUUUUAGAGAUAUUUGGGAGAGAUUAGGGAGAGAUUUUGCAGAGAUUGGGAGAGAUUUGAGAGAGAUUCACUUUUAGCCAUUUUCAUUGAAUAAUCUUGCAAUGCAAGGUCCGUGGACCCCGUUAUACUUCGUUAAUGAUUAUUUUAAGUCCCCAAAAGGGUUCAUAGUCAUGUUUUGAUGCGUUUAACUCCCUUCUUAGGGUUUGACAUUGAUAAACACACAGAUUUACCAAGACACUCGAAUUCUUGACACAUAAAUGUACAUUUCAUAGAAUAACUUUUAAUCAAACAAGUUUUAUACAAGAUUGACUGGUUUGACUUCUUGACUUGACUUUGACAUGUUGACUUUGACUUUGACUUGAAUUUGAGGGUUGUCACACCCUAUUUCCCUAACAUCAUUUCGAAAGUACUUAACAUUGAUAUUCCACAAUUCCUCCUGGUGUUAUCUAUUAGUCAACAAAAUGUCUAGAUAAUAAUGAUUACUGAGGUAAUUCGUGACUACAUUUAAUAGACUUUUGUUGAACGCAAUCUCAUAGGAGGUAAAAAUACUUUAAACUAAUGAAUUAAUAUUUACUAAUAAAAAAUACCAUAAAUGAUAAAAUUUAUUUUUCAAGGAGGGUGAGUAGCGUAUUCACCCCGUAUGUAGAGAUGGAGCUUCAUAGGAGGAUGCAAAAGUUAGUUUGGUGGUAAGCAACAAAGAUCCCACGUAAGAUGUUGUCUCUGAUCCUAUUUGAUGUUUUUCAAGUUUUUGAUUUUGGAACAACUUUUGUUGUAGAUCUGAACUGCCAGACAUAUCCAUGUAGGAAAUGGUGUAGUCUUGGUAUAGCAUGUGGUUGUACUAUUGCAACAUCAUGUUAUUCAAACAUCAUAAAAUUAGGCAAUAUGGUUUAGAUAUAUUACCAGGAUGAUGUGUUUCGAACUAAAUACGAGAUGAAAAAUGUACACCCUAUUCCCCCUUUAUCUGAAUGGGAAAUAUCAGACCCAUGGAUGGUCAUUUUAAUCAGUGUGUAACCGUAUAUUUAUUUUUUUACCGCAAUUAGGUAUGUUUGUUAUCGAUUGGAAGUAACUAAUGAAAUUUGUUGUUGUCCUAAUAUAUUUUACGUAUUACAAAUAAGAAAACAUAAUUUAGAAAUAAUCUAAAUCACAAAUUUAACCAAUAAAUCACAAAGGACGAGACAUCUUCUGAUAGAUUCCAAGCGUGUUUGUGCGGAAAAUCAACCUCGUUAUUUUUGUUUCUGUAUUCCACCCUUUCCAGCUACAAAAUUACUUCUUUAUCCUCAAUUAAUAAUUCGUUUUCGAUCUCGUGAUAAAUUUUGAUAAACUUCUUUACCUUUGAUCUUAUGUCCUUAACUUAAUCUUCACUUCUUCUUCUAUUUGAUACUCUCUACAAUAUAAGUCAUAGUUAAACAUAUUUGUCAAGUAGACCUAACGUGAUACAGAUUAAUGACAACCAUAUAGUCCUUCAUGUUUAUCUAAGCUUGAACGAGUGCGAUAUCUUCUUGUGUAGUCCACAACUGGGUUUUAUUUACUACCAUUUCAUAGUUGUAAACGAUCUUCCAUUCCAUUAUCUUAUUAUAGUGGUUCUUUCCGGAUUUACUCCCAUUCCAAAAUGAAAUUCCGGGCAUCAAAUGAACCAUUCGUGUCAAAUCAAAUCUAUCAUUCAUGUCAUAGGUUCCAAGAAUUUUGGAGUCACAUACUCAUAUUUCAGAUACACAAUCACGGGCACAAAUUCAUAAGACAGAUUUUGGACACACCAAUCUAAACACUCUGUUUUGGAAACCCGUUCCAUAUAGACAUUCUAGACACACUAUAAUUUCAUACAACUUCACACUAUUAAUAUGUAGUUACCAUCCAUUAUAAACGUAAUACAUUAGUGAAUAAAAAUAUUGAGAAUGAGUUCAUAUACGUUUGGUGUUUCUAUGCUCCUCGACCAUAAAAGGAGGUAAUAGGAUUUACGUUUGAAAGAUUGUCCAAGGUCAUUAACUACUAGUAAUAAAUCUAAGAAACACAGGGUCCUUUUGGGUUACCCUCAAGACCCUAAUUGAGCAAAAUAAAUAAUGAUAAUUUUUUUAUUAAUUCUUAUGAGUAAUAAUUAUUUAUAAAGUAACUGAAAAAUAUUUUUUUGAAUUAAUUAAUAGUUUACUUAAUUAAAGAGUUGAAUAUUCAUUAAUCAAUAGUUGAUUAAUCAAGAAUUUUCAUGAACCCUUAUGGGAUUAGGGUUUGGAUGAAGUCCCUCUUGCAUAAGAGGAAAUUUUGUUGCUAACAUCCCAUCCCACAUGGGAUGGAGUACAAAAAUCAUGGAGGAGUCCAAGGCUAUAAAUAAGGCCAUAGGGAUUUUCAGUGCUCCUUGCACCUUGGCUUGAUGUUUCGCCAACCCUUUUUUCUCCCCUACAGAGAUGAUUUCUAACGCUCUUAGGGUUUGUGAAAUUGACUCUUAUGUUAGUUAUUUUUAUUCCACUAUUUGGUGUCUUUGGAUGUGAUACCAUUAGAGGGAAUUUGGUUUGCGUCCUCUCAUCCAAGAAACUUCGUGGAGGACAAGAUCUCAAGCAUGAAGAUCAAGGGAUACAUAAGAGGUAUGUUUUUCUUCUUUAUGUUUUAUAUUUUCAUAGAAUAUUUGUAAUUAGUAUGAAGCAAUAGAUCCAAGCGUGCAUGUACAAUUAGAUAUAUCAUAGAUUGAUUUUUUUGCUACCUGGUUUAAGUGUAUUUGACGCACAGAAAACCCAACAAUCGUAUCAGAACCAUUGAUUCAUUUGUACUAGCACCCUAUUAUUCCAUUUGAUUUUUCAAACUCGCUUGAAAUUGGAAAAAACGGCUAAAAUUCAAAAUUGAUAACACCUUCUAGUCGUAACCACGACAUGGCCAUCUUCUGGCAACGACGUUGGUUGCCAAAUUAGGCUUUUUCGGUUUCCUUAUAAAUUUAACAUUAGAUGGUUUUUAGAUAUGGAUAAUUACGUAAUUUAUAUUGUUUUAAACAUGGAAUGGGAUAAAUAUUAUCUAAUAGAGAUUUUAAUUUUAAUAUUUAUUUAAUAUUAUUUAAAUACUAAUUAAAAUAAGAAUACUAUUUAUUGUUUAUAAUAGAGAAUUAUAAAUUUUAAUAUUACCCCCUCAUGACAUGCCUUCACAGUUAGUUAGAGUUAAUAAUAGACAAUUAAAUUUAACGAUUUUUAAAUUUACCCCGUAUAUUUAUUAGAAUUGUGUCUUAUAUAUGUAUAAGAAAGUUACAACAUAUGUCCUGGCAUGUUUAAAUAUUGUCAUGUUAGGAUUUCCGUGACUAGGUUCACCUACUCUAAUGUAGGGAUUUACAGAGUUCUCUAUGAUUCGUAAUGAGGCGCUUUUUUAAUACGUGUGAUGCAAACCACCCUCACCGCCCUAUUGCAUUUUGAGAGUGUAGUUAUUGAAAGGGUUUGAUAGUGAUAAUGGUCAAUCUAAAACAAAAUACCGUUUUAAUAAUCGAAUCUUAAUCUUAUGUUAUCAAUGAAAUGACAAAUUCUCUUCAUAUUUUGUUGAUGGAGUUUGUGUGAUUAACUGGCAUGUCAAUUUCAGACUAUAAGUAGAGAAUGAUGUGAAACUCACGAAUCUUAAGCAUAACUUGAGCAGAGAACCAUGACAUUUUGCAUGGUUAAUUCACAAUUUGUUUAAUAUGAAUCUUAUGUUAUCAAUAAAAGUUACAAAUUAUCUUUAUAACUUGUUGAUAGAGCUUGUGUGGUUAAUUGGUAUGUGAAUUUGAGAGUAUAAGUAGAGAAUGAUGUGGAAAUCAUGAAUCUCAAGCGUAAAUUAAGACCAGUACCACACAAUUUUUUAUGGAUGAUUCACCAUUUGUUAUGUGAUAUGCGGCGACCCCAUCAUUGAACUUGAAAUGAACAUAAUGUGGGAUUAACAUGUCAUUGAUAGUUAAUGAAUCUUAAAGAUCUAUGAAUUUUGCAGUGAUCAAAAUUAGAAAAGGGCUUUUCCUACCUAAAUAACAUUAUGGUGUGUUUAUGACACCCCUUUACGCAUCAUGAAUCCAAAUAUGGAGCCUAGCCUUCUUAAUUAUUUUUAUUUAGGUAAUUAUUAUCUAAGGAUUAGUAAAAUAAUUAUAAUAGAAAUUGAUAUCUAAUGAUGUCUAUAACCUUAUCCACUAAUGCUUCAAAACCCCUAAAAGGAUUAGCUAUUCGGAUGAACAAUCUUGUCCGUAUUCGUAGUUUAGGAAAGGCUCUCACAAAAAAAACAUCAUGCCUUUGAUAAAUCACUUCCUAAAUCACUCCAAACACUACAUUCUUAUCUAUCAGAAAGACUAGUUCUUAAGUGUAAGUUUGUAAACUAACAUAUUUAAGUAAAAUGGAAUUCUUUGGAUUUUAGAUUUGAGUAGGGUUAGUAAACUAGCUAACAUGUACAUAUGAUCGAUUCACUUUAAUAUUGAUAUGAACAAAUUGAUAUUUCCAUGAAGGAGUUGUGUACUGUAACAACCCGAAGUUGUCCAUCGCCGAAACCCAUUUCGUCCGUAAAACACGUCUUUAGCAAUUCAUUCUGAUUUCCUUUUUGGGCUAAAUUAUCUAAAUUUAUAUGUUUAUUUUAAUCUCUUGAGUGUCCAAAGCCCUUAGGAACUCAUGAAAUUGGCCCAAAUUAUUGAUUUGAAAAUUUUUAGAAUCGUUCCCGCCGAAUUCAUAAGACAGAUUUUGGACACACCAAUCUAAACACUCCGUUUUGGAAACCCGUUCCAUAUAGACAUUCUAGACACACUAUAAUUUCAUAUAACUUCACACUAUUAAUAUGUAGUUACCAUCCAUUAUAAACGUAAUACAUUAGUAAAUAAAAAAAUUGAGAAUGAGUUCAUAUACGUUUGGUGUUUCUAUGCUCCUCGACCAUAAAAGGAGGUAAUAGGAUUUACGUUUGAAAGAUUGUCCAAGGUCAUUAACUACUAGUAAUAAAUCUAAGAAACACAAGGUCCUUUUGGGUUACCCUCAAGACCCUAAUUGAGCAAAAUAAAUAAUGAUAUUUUUUUUAUUAAUUCUUAUGAGUAAUAAUUAUUUAUAAAGUAACUGAAAAAUAUUUUUUUGAAUUAAUUAAUAGUUUACUUAAUUAAAGAGUUGAAUAUUCGUUAAUCAAUAGUUGAUUAAUCAAGAAUUUUCCAGAACCCCUAUGGGAUUAGGGUUUGGAUGAAAUCCCUCUUGCAUAAGAGGAAAUUUUGUUGCUUGCAUCCCAUCCCACAUGGGAUGGAGUACAAAAAUCACGGAGGAGUCCAAGGCUAUAAAUAAUGCCUUAGGGAUUUUCAGUGCUCCUUGCACCUUGGCUUGAUGUUUCGCCAACCCUUUUUUGUCCCCUACAGGGAUGAUUUCUAACCCUCUUAGGGUUUGUGAAAUUGACUCUUAUGUUAGUUAUUUGUAUUCCACUAUUUUGGUGUCUUUGGAUGUGAUACCAUUAGAGGGAAUUUGGUUUGCGUCCUCUCAUCCAAGAAACUUCGUGGAGGACAAGAUCUCAAGCAUGAAGAUCAAGGGAUACAUAAGAGGUAUGUUUUUCUUCUUUAUGUUUUAUAUUUUCAUAGAAUAUUUGUAAUUAGUAUGAAGCAAUAGAUCCAAGCGUGCAUGUACAAUUAGAUAUAUCAUAGAUUGAUUUUUUUGCUACCUGGUUUAAGUGUAUUUGAUGCACAGAAAACCCAACGGUCGUAUCAGAACCAUUGAUUCAUUUGUACUAGCACCCUAUUAUUCCAUUUGAUUUUUCAAACUCGCUUGAAAUUGGAAAAAACGACUAAAAUUCAAAAUUGAUAACACCUUCUAGUCGUAACCACGACAUGGCCAUCUUCUGGCAACGACGUUGGUUGCCAAAUUAGGCUUUUUCGGUUUCCUUAUAAAUUUAACAUUAGAUGGUUUUUAGAUAUGGAUAAUUACGUAAUUUAAAUUGUUUUAAACAUGGAAUGGGAUAAAUAUUAUUUAAUAGAGAUUUUAAUUUUAAUAUUUAUUUAAUGUUAUUUAAAUACUGAUUUAAAUAAGAAUACUAUUUAUUGUUUCUAAUAGAGAAUUAUAAAUUUUAAUAUUACCCCCUCAUGACAUGCUUUCACAGUUAGUUAGAGUUAAUAAUAGACAAUUAAAUUUAAUGAUUUUUAAAUUUACCCCUUAUAUUUAUUAGAAUUGUGUCUUAUAUAUGUAUAAGAAAGUUACAACAUAUGUCCUGGCAUGUUUAAAUAUUGCCAUGUUAGUUUUUCCGUGAUUAGGUUCACCUACUCUAAUGUAGGGGUUUACAGAGUUCUCUAAGAUUCCUAAUGAGGCGCUUUUCUAAUAUGUGUGAUGCAUACCACCCUCACCGCCCUAUUGCAUUUUGAGAGUGUAGUUAUUGAAAGGGUUUGAUAGUUAUAAUGGUCAAUCUAAAACAAAAUACCGUUUUAAUAAUCGAAUGUUAAUCUUAUGUUAUCAAUGAAAUUACGAAUUCUCUUCAUAUUUUGUUGAUGGAGUUUGUGUGGUUAACUGGCACGUCAAUUUCAGACUACAAGUAGAGAAUGAUGUGAAACUUACGAAUCUUAAGCAUAACUUGAGCAGAGAACCAUGACAUUUUGCAUGGUUAAUUCACAAUUUGUUUAAUAUGAAUCUUAUGUUAUCAAUAAAAGUUACAAAUUAUCUUUAUAACUUGUUGAUAGAGCUUGUGUGGUUAAUUGGUAUGUGAAUUUGAGAGUAUAAGUAGAGAAUGAUGUGGAAAUCAUGAAUCUCAAGCGUAAAUUAAGACCAGUACCACACAAUUUUUUAUGGAUGAUUCACCAUUUGUUCUGUGAUAUGCGGCGACCCCAUCAUUGAACUUGAAAUGAACAUAAUGUGGGAUUAACAUGUCAUUGAUAGUUAAUGAAUCUUAAAGAUCUAUGAAUUUUGUAGUGAUCAAAAUUAGAAAAGGGCUUUUCCUACCUAAAUAACAUUAUGGUGUGUUUAUGACACCCCUUUACGCAUCAUGAAUCCAAAUAUGGAGCCUAGCCUUCUUAAUUAUUUUUAUUUAGGUAAUUAUUAUCUAAGGAUUAGUAAAAUAAUUAUAAUAGAAAUUGAUAUCUAAUGAUGUCUAUAACCUUAUCCACUAAUGCUUCAAAACCCCUAAAAGGAUUAGCUAUUCGGAUGAACAAUCUUGUCCGUAUUCGUAGUUUAGGAAAGGCUCUCACAAAAAAAACAUCAUGCCUUUGAUAAAUCACUUCCUAAAUCACUCCAAACACUACAUUCUUAUCUAUCAGAAAGACUAGUUCUUAAGUGUAAGUUUGUAAACUAACAUAUUUAAGUAAAAUGGAAUUCUUUGGAUUUUAGAUUUGAGUAGGGUUAGUAAACUAGCUAACAUGUACAUAUGAUCGAUUCACUUUAAUAUUGCUAUGAACAAAUUGAUAUUUCCAUGAAGGAGUUGUGUACUGUAUCAACCCGAAGUUGUCCAUCGCCGAAACCCAUUUCGUCCGUAAAACACGUCUUUAGCAAUUCAUUUUGAUUUCCUUUUUGGGCUAAAUUAUCUAAAUUUAUAUGUUUAUUUUAAUCUCAUGAGUGUCCAAAGCCCUUAGGAACUCAUGAAAUUGGCCCAAAUUAUUGAUUUGAAAAUUUUUAGAAUCGUUCCCGCCGAAUUCAUAAGACAGAUUUUGGACACACCAAUCUAAACACUCCGUUUUGGAAACCCGUUCCAUAUAGACAUUCUAGACACACUAUAAUUUCAUAUAACUUCACACUAUUAAUAUGUAGUUACCAUCCAUUAUAAACGUAAUACAUUAGUAAAUAAAAAAAUUGAGAAUGAGUUCAUAUACGUUUGGUGUUUCUAUGCUCCUCGACCAUAAAAGGAGGUAAUAGGAUUUACGUUUGAAAGAUUGUCCAAGGUCAUUAACUACUAGUAAUAAAUCUAAGAAACACAAGGUCCUUUUGGGUUACCCUCAAGACCCUAAUUGAGCAAAAUAAAUAAUGAUAUUUUUUUUAUUAAUUCUUAUGAGUAAUAAUUAUUUAUAAAGUAACUGAAAAAUAUUUUUUUGAAUUAAUUAAUAGUUUACUUAAUUAAAGAGUUGAAUAUUCGUUAAUCAAUAGUUGAUUAAUCAAGAAUUUUCCAGAACCCCUAUGGGAUUAGGGUUUGGAUGAAGUCCCUCUUGCAUAAGAGGAAAUUUCGUUGCUAGCAUCCCAUCCCACAUGGGAUGGAGUACAAAAAUCACGGAGGAGUCCAAGGCUAUAAAUAAUGCCUUAGGGAUUUUCAGUGCUCCUUGCACCUUGGCUUGAUGUUUCGCCAACCCUUUUUUGUCCCCUACAGGGAUGAUUUCUAACCCUCUUAGGGUUUGUGAAAUUGACUCUUAUGUUAGUUAUUUGUAUUCCACUAUUUUGGUGUCUUUGGAUGUGAUACCAUUAGAGGGAAUUUGGUUUGCGUCCUCUCAUCCAAGAAACUUCGUGGAGGACAAGAUCUCAAGCAUGAAGAUCAAGGGAUACAUAAGAGGUAUGUUUUUCUUCUUUAUGUUUUAUAUUUUCAUAGAAUAUUUGUAAUUAGUAUGAAGCAAUAGAUCCAAGCGUGCAUGUACAAUUAGAUAUAUCAUAGAUUGAUUUUUUUGCUACCUGGUUUAAGUGUAUUUGAUGCACAGAAAACCCAACGGUCGUAUCAGAACCAUUGAUUCAUUUGUACUAGCACCCUAUUAUUCCAUUUGAUUUUUCAAACUCGCUUGAAAUUGGAAAAAACGACUAAAAUUCAAAAUUGAUAACACCUUCUAGUCGUAACCACGACAUGGCCAUCUUCUGGCAACGACGUUGGUUGCCAAAUUAGGCUUUUUCGGUUUCCUUAUAAAUUUAACAUUAGAUGGUUUUUAGAUAUGGAUAAUUACGUAAUUUAAAUUGUUUUAAACAUGGAAUGGGAUAAAUAUUAUUUAAUAGAGAUUUUAAUUUUAAUAUUUAUUUAAUGUUAUUUAAAUACUGAUUUAAAUAAGAAUACUAUUUAUUGUUUCUAAUAGAGAAUUAUAAAUUUUAAUAUUACCCCCUCAUGACAUGCUUUCACAGUUAGUUAGAGUUAAUAAUAGACAAUUAAAUUUAAUGAUUUUUAAAUUUACCCCUUAUAUUUAUUAGAAUUGUGUCUUAUAUAUGUAUAAGAAAGUUACAACAUAUGUCCUGGCAUGUUUAAAUAUUGCCAUGUUAGUUUUUCCGUGAUUAGGUUCACCUACUCUAAUGUAGGGGUUUAUAGAGUUCUCUAUGAUUCCUAAUGAGGCACUUUUCUAAUAUGUGUGAUGCAUACCACCCUCACCGCCCUAUUGCAUNCAUUAUAAACGUAAUACAUUAGUAAAUAAAAAAAUUGAGAAUGAGUUCAUAUACGUUUGGUGUUUCUAUGCUCCUCGACCAUAAAAGGAGGUAAUAGGAUUUACGUUUGAAAGAUUGUCCAAGGUCAUUAACUACUAGUAAUAAAUCUAAGAAACACAAGGUCCUUUUGGGUUACCCUCAAGACCCUAAUUGAGCAAAAUAAAUAAUGAUAUUUUUUUUAUUAAUUCUUAUGAGUAAUAAUUAUUUAUAAAGUAACUGAAAAAUAUUUUUUUGAAUUAAUUAAUAGUUUACUUAAUUAAAGAGUUGAAUAUUCGUUAAUCAAUAGUUGAUUAAUCAAGAAUUUUCCAGAACCCCUAUGGGAUUAGGGUUUGGAUGAAGUCCCUCUUGCAUAAGAGGAAAUUUCGUUGCUAGCAUCCCAUCCCACAUGGGAUGGAGUACAAAAAUCUCGGAGGAGUCCAAGGCUAUAAAUAAUGCCUUAGGGAUUUUCAAUGCUCCUUGCACCUUGGCUUGAUGUUUCGCCAACCCUUUUUUGUCCCCUACAGGGAUGAUUUCUAACCCUCUUAGGGUUUGUGAAAUUGACUCUUAUGUUAGUUAUUUGUAUUCCACUAUUUUGGUGUCUUUGGAUGUGAUACCAUUAGAGGGAAUUUGGUUUGCGUCCUCUCAUCCAAGAAACUUCGUGGAGGACAAGAUCUCAAGCAUGAAGAUCAAGGGAUACAUAAGAGGUAUGUUUUUCUUCUUUAUGUUUUAUAUUUUCAUAGAAUAUUUGUAAUUAGUAUGAAGCAAUAGAUCCAAGCGUGCAUGUACAAUUAGAUAUAUCAUAGAUUGAUUUUUUUGCUACCUAGUUUAAGUGUAUUUGAUGCACAGAAAACCCAACAGUCGUAUCAGAACCAUUGAUUCAUUUGUACUAGCACCCUAUUAUUCCAUUUGAUUUUUCAAACUCGCUUGAAAUUGGAAAAAACGACUAAAAUUCAAAAUUGAUAACACCUUCUAGUCGUAACCACGACAUGGCCAUCUUCUGGCAACGACGUUGGUUGCCAAAUUAGGCUUUUUCGGUUUCCUUAUAAAUUUAACAUUAGAUGGUUUUUAGAUAUGGAUAAUUACGUAAUUUAAAUUGUUUUAAACAUGGAAUGGGCUAAAUAUUAUUUAAUAGAGAUUUUAACUUUAAUAUUUAUUUAAUGUUAUUUAAAUACUGAUUUAAAUAAGAAUACUAUUUAUUGUUUCUAAUAGAGAAUUAUAAAUUUUAAUAUUACCCCCUCAUGACAUGCUUUCACAGUUAGUUAGAGUUAAUAAUAGACAAUUAAAUUUAAUGAUUUUUAAAUUUACCCCUUAUAUUUAUUAGAAUUGUGUCUUAUAUAUGUAUAAGAAAGUUACAACAUAUGUCCUGGCAUGUUUAAAUAUUGCCAUGUUAGUUUUUCCGUGAUUAGGUUCACCUACUCUAAUGUAGGGGUUUAUAGAGUUCUCUAUGAUUCCUAAUGAGGCACUUUUCUAAUAUGUGUGAUGCAUACCACCCUCACCGCCCUAUUGCAUUUUGAGAGUGUAGUUAUUGAAAGGGUUUGAUAGUGAUAAUGGUCAAUCUAAAACAAAAUACCAUUUUAAUAAUCGAAUGUUAAUCUUAUGUUAUCAAUGAAAUUACGAAUUCUCUUCAUAUUUUGUUGAUGGAGUUUGUGUGGUUAACUGGCACCUCAAUUUCAGACUACAAGUAGAGAAUGAUGUGAAACUCACGAAUCUUAAGCAUAACUUGAGCAUAGAACCAUGCCAUUUUGCAUGGUUAAUUCACAAUUUGUUUAAUAUGAAUCUUAUGUUAUCAAUAAAAGUUACAAAUUAUCUUUAUAACUUGUUGAUAGAGCUUGUGUGGUUAAUUGGUAUGUGAAUUUGAGAGUAUAAGUAGAGAAUGAUGUGGAAAUCAUGAAUCUCAAGCGUAAAUUAAGACCAGUACCACACAAUUUUUUAUGGAUGAUUCACCAUUUGUUCUGUGAUAUGCGGCGACCCCAUCAUUGAACUUGAAAUGAACAUAAUGUGGGAUUAACAUGUCAUUGAUAGUUAAUGAAUCUUAAAGAUCUAUGAAUUUUGUAGUGAUCAAAAUUAGAAAAGGGCUUUUCCUACCUAAAUAACAUUAUGGUGUGUUUAUGACACCCCUUUACGCAUCAUGAACCCAAAUAUGGAGCCUAGCCUUCUUAAAUAUUUUUAUUUAUGUAAUUAUUAUCUAAGGAUUAGUAAAAUAAUUAUAAUAGAAAUUGAUAUCUAAUGAUAUCUAUAACCUUAUCCACUAAUGCUUCAAAACCCCUAAAAGGAUUAGCUAUUCGGAUGAACAAUCUUGUCCGUAUUCGUAGUUUAGGAAAGGCUCUCACAAAAAAAAACAUCAUGCCUUUGAUAAAUCACUUCCUAAAUCACUCCAAACACUACAUUCUUAUCUAUCAGAAAGACUAGUUCUUAAGUGUAAGUUUGUAAACUAACAUAUUUAAGUAAAAUGGAAUUCUUUGGAUUUUAGAUUUGAGUAGGCUUAGUAAACUAGCUAACAUGUACAUAUGAUCGAUUCACUUUAAUACUGAUAUGAAAAAAAUUGAUAUUUCCAUGAAGGAGUUGUGUACUGUAACAACCCGAAGUUGUCCAUCGCCGAAACCCAUUUCGUCCGUAAAAUACGUCUUUAGCAAUUCGUUCUGAUUUCGUUUUUGGGCUAAAUUAUCUAAAUUUAUAUGUUUAUUUUAAUCUCAUGAGUGUCCAAACCCCUUAGGAACUCAUGAAAUUGGCCCAAAUUAUUGAUUUGAAAAUUUUUAGAAUAGUUCCCGCCGGAUUACGACAACUUAAUCGGGUACGACCAAAAGCCCCGUUUAAGGUCAGUAUCGGGUAGAAAUCCACCGUGUACAAAUCUUAGACACUAUUUAAAGGAGAUAUAGCUUCCAUUUGAAGCUUUUCUCUCUCUCACUACUCUCUCUAACCUCUCUCCUCAAUCCAAAGGUCUAAGUCCAAAAACAUCAAUUUAAGGCUUCAAAUCAUUAAGGUAAUUUCCCUAACUCAUAGUAUAGCAUUAUUAGCCUUCAAAUCCUAGCUUAAGCUAUGAAAAAAGGACUUCAUUCAUGACUUUACGGCCCAGGAGCAUGCUUGGUCCGUAAACACAUAUAAAAUGGGUUUUUGAGCCUUAAAACCCCUCCAAACCAAUCUUGGGACUUAGAUAUGACUUUAUGGCUUACCAUUUUGGACUUAGAACACAUUAAACAUGAUUUUUGAGGAGUAAACAUGAGUUUACUGCCCAAGAACAUGCUUUGGCCGUAAACUCAUCAUUCAUGGAGAGUAAACUCAUUUCCAAGUGUUUAAAUGCCACUUAAACACACCAAUGGCCUUGGACAAAAAUCUAGAAGCAACCACAAACGAGUUAGAAGCCUAAAACUUGAUGAAAGCAAAUCCCUAAGGAGUUCACGGUUGUAAACCCCUCCAAAAUGGGUUCCUGGGCCGUAAACUCCUAAAACAUGUCAAAUGGUGCCCUAAACUCACCCCAAAGCUUGUAUUAUGACUUAGAAACUCUUGUAAAGGACCUAGGACCACCAAAACAUCAUAGGAAUGAGUGUGGGGGAGUUUACGGCCGUAAACUCCUAGUUUACUGCCGUAAACUCCAUUUAAUGGUCCAUAUGUGAGUUUAAUCCAUUCCUAGACCCUAGAUGUGAUCCUAGCUAAUUCUUCCAAGUGAUAUAAAGCCAUUUAGCACCAUAGAACACCCCAACAUGAGUUUACGGACAUAAAAUCAUGGGGAAUGAUUCAUUAGGGCCGUAAACCCUUUUAUGAGUUUACUCUUGAAGAGUAAACUCCAUAUCCUAGCCAUAUAUGUCCCUAAAUGUCACCCGGGUCCUUCCAAACACGUGUAAUAGAGUAUUUUCGCGACUAGAAGUGUAUGUCCCCAACUAAUAAAUAAUUCAAGUCCUAAUUAGAUACAAAUGUGUAUCUUUUCAUAAUACAUAGGAAUCUUGUGCAUUUGCAAACCCAGAACCGACGUUUAGGAUCCAAACCGACGCGUUCCUCAACCGGUGAGUUCAUACCCCUACCCUUUUUCCGUGUUUUUAAAAUGUUUUCAGGGGGGAAUACAAGCAAAAGUACAAGGAAAUCUUGUACUUAAACUUAUUGUUUUCAGUUCAAAUAUUUUAUAUUAUGUAUUCUUUUUAUAUUAAAAAUCGUACUAACAAUUGGUUCGAAUUGCAGAGUAAACUAUCAGACUAAAUGUAGAUUCCUUUAAAAAGUGAUAUAAUCUAUGUUACAUAUUAUGUUUUGUAAAAGGAAUUAUACUAAUCAUAAACUAAGAAUAAUACUAAUAAGGUACCAAUAGAACGAAUGCGAAUAUGAAAGUACCAAUAGGAUAGAACGAAUGCCAAUACAAAAGUACCAAUAGGAUAGAACGAAUACGAAUACAAAUACGAAUAGGAAUACUAAUACUAAUACGAAUACGAAUACGAGUACGAAUAUGAAUAUGGAUAAAAAUAUGAAUAGGUAUACGAAUACGAAUACAAAUACGAAAGUACGCCUCUGGACAUCGACUGAGUUUCGCAAGCAUACGCCUUAGGAUGCCGACAAAGUUUCGAAAAUACAUCUAAUGUACUCUUUUGGAAAUCACCAGAACUUCGAUUAUACAGUUAACGUAUGUUUCUGAGUGUAUCGAAAUAUUCGAAAAUACAACUAAGUAUAGUAGAUGAUCGAGAUUCGAACGUACGGUAACUAAGAUAUCAGAAUACCUAACUAAUACUAAAAGUAUGGUAGAUACUAAUAUAUCAAAAUCAGAACUAUGAACCAACCGCAACGUUUAGGAAAAUAUGGGAUUUUCCUGGGAUAACAUAACAACUCGUAAAUGAAUGGCAUAACGAAUGGAAAACUAAACUAACAGGAAAAUAUGGGAUUUUCCUGGGUUAAGAUAACCACUCAUAAUCGAAUUGGUAACAAAUGAUAACUAAACUGUUUUUAUAAGAAAAUAUGGGAUUUUCUUGGAUAACAACUUUUCAGAAAACAAAAGGGAAAUCAUUCUUUUCAAAACCAAAACGCUUAUGAACUCACCAGCUUUAUGCUGAUUUUCAAACUGCUUGUAUUCUCAGGUUCACCUUAGACAGGUACACUGCAAUCUUUUGGAGAAGACGGAGCGUUAGAAGACUCGUCUUUGCUUUUGUUCAUAUGAUAUAUAUGUAUGACACCUGUAACACUUUGAUUUCAAACAAAUGUAAUAACUCUAUGUAAUGUGUUGUUUUGUGUUUACUAUGCUUACUAUGUACAUUGGCUAGGAUAGUCAUGACGUCCUCCGCUCUGGAGCGUUUCCGCCUCUGGUUUCGGGGUGUGACAGAUUGGUAUCAGAGCCCUUGUUUGUAGUGAACUAGUAUACCAAACCUUACAUUGUAUAAGACUAUAAACACUAAGGGGCCUACGUGCUCUGAACUAAAAGUAUACUUUAAAAUAUAAGUAUUUUCAAAACUAUAUAAGUAUACCUAACCGUCGGAUUCCAUAAUUACAAGUAGAACAAAACAUAAGUAAAUGGGUGUUGCACAUUGCAGUUAACCUGGGCAGUUAUGUAGUCGUGUCUAGGGUCAAUAUAGCCUGAUCAACUAUAUUCAUUCGAGACACGGAAAACAUGUGCUUGGGAGUGACUGUAGUGUCCAGCAAGCCUAAAACUUACCAAAUACCCAAACAACGAGCCAUCGUCGUAACAAAGUGUGAAAUACUAUGGAGUAUUUCUAGAUCCAAUUUCGUUAUAGAAAUCCUCAAUCAAGCGUUGCUCCUCGAUCAUUCCUUUAGCGAUAGUUUAUAUGCCUUGAUAAUUCAUCCCUGCUUUGUCACUUAAUAGAACUAUAUAUCUGUCAUAAAGAGAUAUUUCUUGUUUCAUAUCUCUUGAUUUCAUUCAGAGGACUUACCAUCCUCUUUUUCCUAAUCAUUUUAGAUCGAAAUGACUCCAAAGAAAGGACCUAGCCCAAGGAAAAACAAUUCUCCGCCACCAUACUCUCCUCCGUUCGACCUCGUCUUGUUUCAAACAACUGUUACUGCUGCUGUGACAGCUGCAAUGACACUUUUGAACCCUAGCAAGUCCAGUGGACCAGGAAGUAGCACCUACCCCCAAAACCAUGAUGAUUAUCAGGAACACCCGAAUGAGAGUAGUAAGAGUAAGAAAGUUUUCUGGAGAAAGCAAAAAGGUCAGAGUUCACAAGGACCCUCCAAGAAGCAUAAGACUGUGGCAGUCCAAGCCGCUACUACUCUUACCACUUUUCCUACAACUCGAGCACCUACCAGUAGAUAUGCUGGUACCCUUCCUCUGUGUGACAAGUGUAAAUACCACCAUAACCCCGGUCCAUGCCGUAAACUGUCAUGCUCUAAUUGUGGUAGAUGUGACAACCCGAAAUUUCCAUUCUGAACAAACCAUAUCAAGCCAAUAGAGGUUAGAACAGUUUCAGUGAAAUUCCAGACUUCGGGUAUAAGUUUGGCAGUUUUUCAGGAUUUACACUUAAGGAGAUAUCAGGAGAGUGGUUGCACUAGGGUUUUGUGCAACACUGUUAUUCCAACACUCGGUCAUAUUAGAAAUCAUUUCAGGAAUAAAAAUAUUUUCUGCCAAAAAUAUCUCAGGACUAUAAAUAGAAUUCUGAACCAAAUUCAUUCAUUAUUCGCAUUUCCAACUAAAGAAAAGCAAUUUUCUCUCUCACGGAUCUUCGGGUUUUUAUCCCAAAUCGUGAGUACCUCUUUCUAGUAGUGUUAGAAAGCUUUAUAUGUGUUAAUAACAUGAUUUAGUAAGCUAAAUCAAUAGAUUUAGGAGUUUACUCCCCAAGGUGUUCUUGGGCGGUAAACUCCCGAAACCGAGUCUAGAUUGUUCCUUAAGUUAUGCUACUGCCUUAGACUCAAUUUUAGGUGUAUAAAGGACAAGAAAACAAUCGAAGAACAGAAACACAUGGGAGUUUACGGCCCAAGUGUAUCUUUGGCCGUAAACUCCAUUGAAAUGGAGCAAAGGGUGCUUUUAAUACACCUAAAGCCAUAGACCUUUACAUGGAAUUGUUGCCCACUUAAUUGAAGGACAAAAACACAUCAGAACCACCUAUUGAAGUGAGUUUACAGCCUUGUUAAUGCUCCUAGGCCGUAAACACCAAGCGAGGGCACCAAAGUGUGCCUAGGGUCCUCAUUAGCUUUAAACAAAUGUGUAGAACCUAUCCUUCAAAUGCAAGAGACUUGAAAACAACAAAAACACCAUUCCAAGGGAGUUUACGGCCGUAAACUCCAAAGGAAAUGGCCUCGGGGCCGUAAACUCCUCUAGGGAGUGUUUCUAGGCCUCAAACCCUUUCAAGAAUUGAACCACCAAGUUGGAAUAAUUCUAGGAAUCAUUUGGAACUUCAAAACACACCAAACACCCAUGGUUGGGAGUUUACGGCCGUAAACUCAAGAGUUUACAACCGUAGACUCCGUGUGUGACGGUAUAUGAGGAGUAAACUCAUAUAUGGGGUCCUUUGGAACCCUAAACACAAGUGCCUUGUCCCACAAUAGCUUAGAUGCAACCCUAAGGGCUUAAAACACUUAUAUAAAGUGUUUAUUUUGUCUAGGAUGUCUUAACAUUAUUAAUUAGUGAUUUGAGACUAAUUGAGUGCAUAUAUGUGUGAAUAUAUGUUCAUUAGGAUCAUAGUGUGUGUACAAGUCCUCACUUGACACCUAGCAAUCCUACGCCGUCCAGUUCAUCCGAACUGCCAACAACAAGUGAGUUCAUACCCCUAAAUCAAUUUUUUAAAUGAUUUUAAAUGCCUUAAUGGGGAGGGAAUACAAGAAGAAAACAGUAUGUUAUUAAAUCAAUCUUAUGUAUUUUAUAACUGUGUUUCAUUCAGUAGAUUUCACAUAUUUCAAAAGGUGUCACAUGAAAUGGUUUUCUAUCUUAAAAUACCUUGAUAACAAAAGUGUGAGUUUUGAAAUGUUUAUUAAAAUGACAUCAAGUCAUUCUUAAUUAUUGUUCAAAACUCCUAGAUAUCUUGCAAAACCAUUAUUUUACCUUCUUGAAUCAAACUAUACUUAUGCGCAUAUGUUCAUUUAUAUGUUAGAGAUUAUAGUUUUCACCCUUCAUUUAGUUUCCAAUACUCUUGGGUAGCAAGNGAACAACCAUUUACCUUUCAGUAAAUUAUCAUAGGGAUAAUUUGUAGAUAUCAAACAUAAUUCCUAUUACAAGGAAUCACACAAGAGUCAGUUCAUUCAUGAGUCUUUACUAGUACAUUACCUGAUACAUGAGUAUGUUUACGUAUGCUUACAUGAUACAUGAAUACCUUACAUGAGUACCUUUACGUAGAUACAUUUACCUGUGUAUUAAUUACAUGAACACUUGUAUCUCGAAUUGCGAGGAUGAUUAUUAGUACCUUCUGUGUAACUUAUCCACCCUAUCCCUAGUACCUCGGGAUGUUUAGACGGGACCCUAUCCCCUAGUACCUCGGGAUAUUUAGACGGGACCCUAUCCCCAGUACCUCGGGAUAUUUAGACGGGACUAACCAUUCCGAAUCCCAACUGAUUUGCACCAGUGGUCGAUGAAUAUCUACGGAUGCCUACGGUUAUUACUUAUACUAGGAGUACCUUUACGGGACUAACCCUUCCUCUAACCUGAUGCUGCUACAGAGGACAAUUGGACCAUCUUCGGAGGUUCAUUAGGUUAUUUAUUUCGCUUACCGCGAUGUAUUGAUUAGCACUAGUACCUCCGGCUAACACUUACAUGAUUAUACUUUUUCCUAUUUACUUUAUUUUGUGAUACUUUCACAUAAACGAGGAGUUAGACUAAGUACUUUAUUACUAGUCAAUAGAAAGGAAAAACUAUCAUUUUACUUACAGAACAUUCGGGUCUUGGUAGAAGACUACAUUUCAUACUUGUAGGGAAAUAAGGGAUUUUCUAGGAUUUUCAAACUUUAUCAAUUGUUACAUUUAAAGAUUUCCCAGACAAUCAUGACAGUAUUCCAAACAAGGCAAUGACACUUAAAUACUUAUGAAUUCACCAGCUUUAGGCAAAUACUCGCUUUCAAAAUAACUUGUAUUCUCAGGUCAUCAGUUAGACAGCUGCGAUGGCCAUGUUACCGAAGGAGAUGGAGCACAGACAAGACUCUCCUUAUUUUCAUUAUUCAUUUUAUUGUUGUACAUUAUGAAAGAACACACAUGUAUUAAAACUCUACUUAUAUUGCAAUGGAUGAUGUUGUUGCUUGUUUAUUAGAUUACACUGUUGUGAUACUGUACAUUACGUCCUCCACCCCUGAACGUUUCCGCCGUUCGUGGUUUUGGGGUGUGACAGUAGAAAAGGACAUACGAUUCGAUUCUGCAAGACGCCAGCCCAACCAACCAAUCUAGCUUCCGGAGCACGUUUCAAUCGGACCUGCUACAGGUGCAGUGAAAUCGGGCAUUUCAAGCGAAACUGCCCAAAAGCAGCAGCCACCAAUCACGCCAACAACGUUGGGAUUGCUCUGGCUAUAAAUCCGGAAGAGGCAAUCGGUGAUCCCACCAUCACUGCAGGUACGUUUCUUCUCGACAAUUCUUAUGCCCACAUCCUUUUCGAACCUAGUGUCAAGGAAGUUUUAUUAGUCAUUCAUUCUAGUAUCUUCGUAAACAUAGUCCUCGUCUAAUAACCGAAACAUUUACCAUCAAGAUGGUUAAGAUGUGAAUGAGUGCACUAACGAAUUAUUCCUAAACUGUACCCUUACCUUAAGUAAUCAUUCUUUCCUCGUUAACCUAAUGUCAGUUUCAAUAAAGAAUUUUGAUGUUAUCAUUGGCAUGUAUCGGUUGAAUCCCAAUCAUCCUGAUACCCUUCGUAUUGAAAAGGCCAUCCGUCCCAAUCUCCUCUCUGGUCAUACCCUCAUGAUCUACGACAUUAAAUUCGAUUCCAAUCUUCGUAUCAGUUCGUGCAUCUAAAACUCAAAAAGUUUUCCCCGAAAGUAGUGCCACGCAUUCCUCGUCCAUGUGAUCAUCAGGAAAUGGGAAGUCUGCAACUUUUUCCCUGAUGUCCUUCCCGAUGAUAUCCCGAGAACUCCUUCCGAACGUCUAGUCAAGUCUCGUAUCGACCUAAUCCCUGGAACUACCUCGUAGCCAAACCUCCAUGAGGAUGAUGUAUCCAAGAAACGGUCAAGGAUCGAUAUGGUCACUACUAGUUAGUAGUGGUGCCCUUUGGUCAAACCACUUUCCCUGGUCAGGUAGUAAGCAAAGCAGCCAUACCCGCGAACCAUUCCAAAAAUCAAAGCGAUAGAGACUUAGUUGGCCCCGAAGAUACCCAUAGAAACCCGUCAAUUCUUGUGUCCCGCUCACUAUUAUCACAGACCCACCUAGAAAUUUCCUUUAGAACCAUCAGACCCUUAGCUAUUCUGCCACAUGAAGAUGUACCUUCUUGUUGGAACUUGUGUCUUGUUGAAGGCCUUAUCCCAGAAAAGCAAGAUAUACUUUGAGAAACGUGAAAUACUUCCCUCGUGAUGCAUCUAACCUUUCGAAAAUCCCCACCAGAACCGAAACUGUGAACUACAGACUUCGACUAUCUCAAGGACAUAAUAGUAGUAUCCAUGUUGUCUUUUCUGCCUCGAAACGUUAGAAGCGCCUGCCCAACGAAACCUUAGCAAUUCCUUUGAUGAUACUGAAAUCAACGAAAGACCGAACCUCCAUUGAAGAACCAAUUGAGAUCAUGGAUUGAGAGGUUAAACGUACGAAACAAAUCCGCAUCCCGGUAGUGAGGGUUCGCUGGAAUGUCAAGCGGAGACCCGAUUCCACUUAGGAGCUUGAAGACCCGGAGCAGAAGAUUCAUCCUCAUCUCUCUUUUCAUUUGAUGAUCUAUAUCUUAAUCUUUGAAUUUCAGGACGAAAUUCCCUCUAACGGGGGAUAAUGUAACAACCCGAAGUUGUCCAUCGACGCAACCCAUUUUGUCCGUAAAACACGUCUUUAGCAAUUCGUUCCGAUUUUGUUUUUGGGCUAAAUUAUCUAAAUUUAUAUGUUUAUUUUAAUCCAUGAGUGUCCAAACCCCUUAGGAACUCAUGAAAUUGGCCCAAAUUAUUGAUUUGAAAAUUUUUAGAAUCGUUCCUGCCGGAUUACGGCAACUUAAUCGGGUGCGACCAAAGGCCCCGUUUAACGUCGGUAUCGGGUAGAAAGCCUCCUUGUCCAAAUCUUAGACAAUAUUUAAAGGAUAUUAAGCUUCCAUUUGAAGCUUUUACUCUCUCUCACUACUCUCUCUCUCUCUCUAACCUCUCUCCUCAAUCCAAAGAUCUAAGUCCAAAAACAUCAAUUUAAGGCUUCAAAUCAUUAAGGUAAUUUCCCUAACUCAUAGUAUAACAUUAUUAGCCUUCAAAUCCGAGUUUAAGAUAUGAAAAAGGACUUCAAUCAUGAGUUUACGGCCCAGGAGCAUGCUUGGGUCGUAAACACAGAUAAAAUGGGUUUUUGAGCCUUAAAACACCUCCAAACCAAUCUUGGGACUUAGAUAUGACUUUAUGGCUUACAAUUUCGGACUUACAACACCUUAAACAUGAUUUUUGAGGAGUAAACAUGAGUUUACUGCCCAAGAACGUGCUUGGGCCGUAAACUCAUCAUUCAUGGAGAGUAAUCUCAUUUCCAAGUGUUUAAAUGCCACUUAAACACACAAAUGGCCUUAGACAAAAAUCUAGAAGCAACCACAAACAAAUUAGAAGCCUAAAACUUGAUGAAAACAACUCCCUAAGGAGUUCACGGCCGUAAACCCCUCCAAAAUGGGUUCCUGGGCCGUAAACUCCUAAAACAAUGUCAAAUGGUUCCUUAAACUCACCCCAAAGCUUGUAUUAUGACUUAGAAACUCUUGUAAAGGACCUAGUACCACCAAAACAUCAAAGGAAUGAGUGUGGGCGACUUUACGGCCGUAAAAUCCUAGUUUACUACCAUAAACUCCAUUAAAUGGUCCAUAUGUGAGUUUAAUCCAUUCCUAGACCCUAGAUGUGACCCUAGCUAAUUCUUCCAAGUGAUAUAAAGCCAUUUAAAACCAUAGAACACCCAACCAUGAGUUUACGGCCGUAAACUCAUGGGGAAUGAGUCAUUAGGGCCGUAAACCCUCUUAAGAUUUUACUCUUGAAGAGUAAACUCCAUAUCCUAGCCAUAUAUGUCCCUAAAUGUCACCCGGGUCCUUCCAAACACAUGUAAUGGAGUAUUUUUGCGACUAGAAGUGUAUGUCCCCAACUAAUAAAUAAUUCAAGUCCUAAUUAGAUAAAAAUGUGGAUCUUUUCAUAAUACAUAGGAAUCUUGUGCGUUUGCAAACCCAGAAUCGACGUUUAGGAUCCAAACCGACGCGUUCCUCAACCGGUGAGUUCACACCCCUACCCUUUUUCCGUGUUUUUCAAAUGUUUUCAGGGGGAAUACAAGCAAAAGUACAAGGAAAUCUUGUACUUAAACUUAUUGUUUUUAGUUCAUAUAUUUUAUAUUAUGUAUGCUUUUUAUAUUAAAAAUCGUACUAACAAUUGGUUCGAAUUGCAGAGUAAACUAUCAGACUAAAUGUAGAUUCCUUUAACAAGUGAUAUAAUCUAUGUUACAUAUUAUGUUUUGUAAAAGGAAUUAUACUAAUCAUAAACUAAGAAUAAUACUAAUAAGGUACCAAUAGAAUGAAUGCGAAUACGAAAGUACCAAUAGGAUAGAACAAAUGCGAAUACAAAAGUACCAAUAGGAUAGAACGAAUACGAAUAGGAAUACUAAUACUAAUACGAAUAAGAAUACGAAUACGAAUAUGAAUACGAAUAGGUAUAGGAAUAGGUAUAUGAAUAUGAAUACGAAUACGAAAGUGCGCCUCUAGACAUCGACUGAGUUUCAAAAGCAUACGCCUUAGGAUGUCGACAGAGUUUCGAAAAUACAUCUAAUGUACUCUUUUGGAAAUCACCAGAACUUCGAAUAUACAGUUAAUGUAUGUUUCUGAGUGUAUCCAAAUAUUCGAAAAUACAACUAAGUAUAGUAGAUAAUCGAGCUUCGAACGUAGGGUAACUAAGAUAUUAGAAUACCUAACUAAUACUAAAAGGAUAGUAGAUACUAGUAUAUCAAAAUCAGAACUAAGAACCAACCGCAACGUUUAGGAAAAUAUGGGAUUUUCCUGGGAUAUCAUAAUAACUCGUAAACGAAUGGCAUAAAGAAUGCCAAACUAAACUGAUAGGAAAAUAUGGGAUUUUCAUGGGUUAACAUAACUACUCAUAAUCGAAUUGGUAACAAAUGAUAACUAAACUGUUUUUAUAAGAAAAUAUGGGAUUUUCAACAACUUUUUAGAAAACAAAAGGGAACUCAUUCUUUUCAAAACUAAACCGCUUAUGAACUGACCAGCUUUAUACUGAUUAUCAAACUGCUUGUAUUCUCAGGUUCACCUUAGACAGGUACACUGCCAUCUUUUGGAGAAGACGGAGCGUUAGAAGACUCGUCUUUGCUUUUGUUCAUGUGAUAUAUAUGUAUGACACCUGUAACACUUUGAUUCAAACAAAUGUAAUAACUCUACGUAAUGUAUUGUUUUGUGUUUACUAUGCUUACUAUGUACAUUGGUUACGAUAUUCAUGACGUCCUCCGCCCCAGAACGUUUCCGCCUCUAGUUUCGGGGUGUGACAUGUACCAUGUUAAUCUUUCCUUUUUGAACUAACAUGGAUAAUCAUAUGUGACAACCGUCAAAAAUUCGAGUCGAUUCUAGAUUUGACUAAACUUAGUUGCACAUAUAGGCACGACACAUACUAGACUUAGUAACUAGAAGCUAAGUUAUAAUCUACUAGAAAAUUUGGAAGCAAUUAGAAACGAUGGACAAUGUACUUAGAUUUCACAUUGUUAUGUGGAUUCUAUAACUACUUAACUAUAGUGAUUAUCCAUAUUCGGGUCACUCUUUGACUUGAACACCUUUCAUGAACCAUAUACACACAUCAUGCACUUGACCUAGUGGCAUAAAUUAGUUCCGAGUCUCAUAGGAACUUAAGUCAAAGUUGAAAACUAGGACUAGUAUAUUUGAUUUCCUCAAUUUCGCUUGAAUCUCGAAACCAAUACAUAGAAUGCCAAUAAGCCGAUAAAAUAAGUUUCAAACAUUAUUAUAACUAUAAAAGAGUUAUAAUACCAUAAGAUAAAUUUAAGUCUCAAAGAUUCUAUUGAUUUUGAUAUCCAAUGAUUUACAGACUCUAAAAAAAAUCCUAAAUGCCCUAAAACCUAAAUUUAUGGAAUUUAACCUUAAAAAUUAUAUAUAAAUAGUUAUGAGCCUCAUAAUGAUCUUAUAAUAAUUAAAAUUAUGUAAAUGUAUUCAAGGAAAAUAAAAUUUAAAUCAUUAACAUUUGUCCUUAAUUUAUAAAUCAAAAAUCAAGGUUUUAUGAAUAAAAACUUGAUUUCAGUGCACAUUUUAUAUAAAAAUUGAGAUAUUUUAUAAAAGAACUUAAAUUGUAUAAAACAAAAUGAAUAAGAAAGGGGUAUUAUACUCAAAAUUUCGGACCGCUCUCCUCCCAUAUGUCUCUCUCACACUCUCAUUCUCCAACACACACAUCUCUCUUCUUUCUCUCUCUAGAAAACUCUCCCUACCUUCUCUCUAACUUUUUUGUCCAAACACCACAACCACAGCCUCUUAACCACGAAAUUAUGGAGAUUCAUAAGGUUUUUUCAAGCCAAAAAUAAAUUUAAGCUACAGAACAUACAUCUCUUGAAGAUCUACAACAAUGAUUUAAGCUAUCCAUGUGCAUUUUACUUCAAUAACCAACUUCUACUUCUUCAUCUUCUUCAAACAUGUCUUCUUUUUGUUAAAAUGGGUAUUAGAACAUCAUGGAUGUGUUUUAACACCAUGAAUGUAUGAUAAACAUGGUUGCAUGUUCAUGAUCUUAGUGCAAAAAUCGAUUUUAAGGAUUAAAACAUCAAACUCAAGUUAAGAGUGUUUGAGAAACAAAAUUUUCUUCAUAAAGGCAUGUAUGUAUUUUGAUGAGUUUUAAUCUUUUGAUCUCUGGAAACAUGAAUAUAAUGUGAGUUUAUCAUGGUAUCUUUAAAAUAUUUCAAAGUAUUUAAUCAAAAUAAUGAUGGAAAAUCAAUUUUCGAACCAAUCAUCAUGCAUGCAAUCUGCCAGAUUUCUGACUUUAAACUGACAUAUCUCACUCAUUUCUUAACCAAAACUCGAUUUUCUUUUUCUGAAAUAUAAUACUUUCAGUUAGCUUUCAAACCCAUUUAACCUCACUAGAAAAUUCCAAUAUUUUGAUUUUUAGGAAUUUUUACAAAACUGUUGCUCAAACAACACCUUUUUGUGAAUACUAGUUUUGUAUUGCAUGUUCAAAGGUCUUAUUCCUCACUAAAAAUCUAGUAAAAACUAUUUGAGCAGUUAACAUCAUGUAUUAUGAGGUACAAAAAGAUCUUGAUUCAAAAUUCUUUGGAACAUGUUGCAAAAACUCUCAAAAUAAUAUCAAUAUUCUUUACCAAAAUACAAGUAUCAAGUUUUCUCUAUAAUUUAUUGAGCCUUUAGGCAUUUUUUUCAACAUCAAAAAUAAUAAAACGAUUUUGAUUUGAUUGUGAAUUGUAUGAAGAUGCAUUCUAGAAAUUUUUAGCUCAAUUCAUAUUUUCUUAUUUUUACAUGAAAAUAAUAAGAAAAUAGAGUGUUAAUGCAUAUCAAAUAGUUACACUUGUAAAUAAAUUCUGGAAACAUUUGUGGAUGAUCCUUUUUGUUAAUAAACAUGUCUCAUUGAUUGUUGUUAUUGUUUAUUAUAGCAUCCCUUUCCAUAGUUCGAAUUGUGAGAUUUGGCAAUUAGUCUAACAUUUGGGACUUAUUGAUAUAAGUUCUAAAUUGUUUAGACACACAUAUGAGCUAUCUAAGACAAAGCUAUAUAAGCUUAAGAAGCUUAGUUAAAGGCUUAUCGAAGCAUCGGGUAUUAGAAAUAUGAACUUCAGAAAUUCAAUAUGCAUUGUUUUCUAGAAGUUCAACUGUUUUCUGAAUACAUGUCAAAGCGAGUGGGAGCAUAAGUGUUAUGCUUAUAUGAUAAUAAUCAUCAUGGUAGUGGGAGCAUAAGGGUUAUGUUUGUAUGAAUAUCAUGGCAAGUAUUUCAAGUUAGCAAUAUUAAUUAUAGAGAACAAAGAUUCACUUUGCAAAGUCGCAAGGGUUGAAAAGUUGUUUUGCUAUAAUUAAGGGAGAGAAUAUUAUACUUCGUUUCAAAAUCUAAAGAUUAGAUUGAGAAAUUUUAAUAAAUAUAGUCAAAGGAUACAUAGUAUGUUCUCAAAUUUCUAUUAUGAUUACGGCAUCCGUCUUCAUAGUUCGAAUUGUGAGAACAUGACACAUAAAAUACUAUGGCAGAAGAUUGAUAAAGUAUCAUAUCUUUAUGUAAGACAUUAUGUAUCGUGUCCCAUACGCUUCGGGUAUAGGAUCGAUUGCAAAUGCUAUAAUACUUGACUAUUCUAAAAUUUUCCAAAUGUCUAGCGCAUUAAGAGGGAAAAGGGACUAGAAUCGGUUUUGACUAAAAUAAUUAAACAACUAUCAAAGGACGAUCCAAAGUUCGCUGAGGAUUGGUCGCUUGUGAGUAAUUAGAAGUAUGGUAUUGGAUGGACCAUAUCGACAUUAUUAUGAAUAGAUAAGAUUCUAUUAAGAAUGAGUUGUCAUAUGGAAAACAUGGAAAUGUUUCCAUAUUGGGAGUUGGAUGUUCAGAGUCUAUGUCUAGAUUAGAAGCUUUUAUGCAAGAAGGAUGUUCAAAGGAAUGUACUUUGAAUGUAAGACAUUGCAUCUAUGGAAUUGUCUUGUAACAAUUUCUGAUAGAGCACUUUGGAAUUUCAUUGGCCAAGUCUUGGUCACUUUUGUGCUAUGACUUAGCAAAAGGAUCGUUGCGUAAAAUGUUAGAAUCUAAAGUAUUCUAAUAGUGGCAAGAACCUUGUGUUCUUACACUAAUGAUAAGGAUUGGGAAUUGUGAAAUGAGCAUCAUUGGAAAAAAAAAAUUAAUUGAUCUAUUUUCACAAACUAAGGACCAUAGGAAACAUAGUGUGCAUGCUUUGUGCAUGGGACAACUAUUGUUGUAAUUUGAGUAAUAAGUUGAUUUUCUGAAACAGUAAACAAUGAAUAAUAAGUAAUCAAUAUGGUGUUUAAACAGAAGUGUUUUAUUUAAUCCCACAAGUUUGGGGCCAUAUAGGAUUAAGUAUUAUUGUUGUGUUUCAGUUUGCAUGUUUUGACUUCCAGAAUAACUGGGUUAUUCGAACCUCCACAGUCAGUCAUAUGUUGGAAGUAAGUAUGAAGGAAGAUUGUCAUGAAGAGUUUGUAGAUUGUCUGAAGAGUUUAGACAUAGCACAAGUUUGCUGCAGGGUUUAUGAGGGCUUUGAUAAGAUUAGAGAAUUGGAUUAAACCAACGCUCACUUGGAUCACUUCAUGGAUUUAUCACGGGUGAUUAUUGAGACGAUAAUAUUGUAUAUUCUUUAAAACCGAGACGUGUGAGUCGUUAUUUGAUGGUCGGUUGCACAUUGAUAAUAAGUAAACGCACCAGUAACUUGGUGUUAUAAAACUUAUUGUUGUGUGUGAUUCAAUGAGUGAAUACAAGCAAGAAUAUGAGUCAAAGUUUAUCAAUUCCUUUUACCCAAAGUGGGAUAAAAGAAAUAUCUGUGGGCCCCUCGAUGAUUUAGUGAUAACACCUAAGCGCUUGGCUAAGCCGAGACUAAGUUGAUGUGUUCAAUUGUAGUCCGUUGUCAGUCGUCAUAAAUCGGAAGUCGGGAAACAGUAUAGAGAGAAUGAUUAAAAUUCAUGUCUUUUGUCUAUACAAUAUCUUGAGAAUGGAGGAAUAUAUGAUCCCUUAUCUAAAGGACACGCGUAUCUGAUAAUAUCAGAGUUGACAGCGGCUUUUGAAAGCUACGAUUGCUGAUCAGGUUCUGAAGUCAUACGGAAAAUAGUUAUUAGACUUAUCCAAGUGGGAGACUGUUGGAUUAGUGUCUAAGUCCAUAACUAUUUUGGUAUGUACUUGAGCCGAUUAUGAGCAUGGUCCUUUUGGGUUGCCUUCACAAUAGCAAUAUGUAGGAUGAAUUAAGGAGAGAAAGGGUUUCCAGCCAUUUUUGGUGCCUCCCAUCUCUUCUCUUCUUCAUCUUGUAGCUUAGUGGGGUUUUGUGACUCCAUUAGAGGUGUAACCCUUGAGGCACUAAGCUUUCUGGAGCCAAUCAAAGCAAGGAUUGAUUGUUAUUGCUAUAUAACAAUCAAAGGUCAGAUCUAAACCUUAUUUUAUGUUAAUAUGAUUAAUUGUAUGCUCGAUCUAGGGUUUAUAGCUUUGGAUAUUCAAUUGCAUGUUCAUUAGACAAACUAGAUCCAAAAGCUAUUAGGGUUUGCAUGUACACCAUAGGAUUGAUGUAUUUCUCGAAACCCAUCAGUAUAGUCCUUGUAUUUUUUUUUUUGAGUUUUUUGAAUCCUAUAAAUAGGGUAGGUACUAGAGUCGAGAGUAACUUUUGUGCUCUUCAGUUUGUAAACACUCUCAAAGACUUUAUACACGGUUCAGACUAAUAUUAGCUAAUCAGAUCACAUUUGCAUGUUGUAUUCUUACUAUUUUGUUUGAUUGAUUUCGUAUUUGUUUAUUGAUUCUAACUCACAUCAAUUGAUAUAAGAGCAUGAUUCAUCCAAUCAAUUUUAGUUUUCUCAUGUUCUUCAUAUGUUUUGUGUCGCUCUUUCUGAUUCAAAAUAUUCCGCAAUAUUGAAUCAGAAAACUUGUUUCAUUUGAUUCUUUUGUUUCGUUUCUGAACUCUGUUUGUUAGAUCGAGUGAUUACUCGUCAAUUUCUGUGUGUUUAUCCUUUCAGAUUAGUCUUUUUUAAUCUGAAAUCUAAUUUUUCCGUACAACUAUGGCGAACUUCAAUAUGAACACUAUGUCAAAUGUCUCACACUUGGUGGGAUCAUCUAUGGAUAUUCCAAUGCUUAUUCAAGAAUAGUGAAGGGUUCUGAGCAUUCUAACACUCCUAUGGUGUACAUGCAACCCUAGAAACCUUGGAUCUAUGUUUUCUCUAUUAUACAUGCAAAUAUGAUUUUUCCAAGGUUCUCAUCCUAACUAAUAUACCAUGGGGUACUUGUAAUAUCAAACUUAGUGGGAUGACAUACCUUUUCUUAUGGUUGAUUCUUUGGAGCAUCAAGAGCCUAGCACCAAUAAUGUGGAUGCCUCAUGUGGAAUCAAAAAUCACUAAAACACCUUGGAAAACAUGAGAGGAUGGUAAUCACACUAGAACUCGGCCCACUCUUUUUUAGUCACACACUAGUGCCGUUCCAUGUGCCAAAGAACUCUUUGAAUAGUAUCGAGGAUUAGGGUUACAUUCAUGUAAACCCUAAUACCCAUGACCUUUCAUUUCCAUAGGAUCCAUGGGUUAAAAACUCCAUAGACUAUCCAUGCAAGCUUAGCCUAUCNNNNNNNNNNNNNNNNNNNNNNNNNNNNNNNNNNNNNNNNNNNNNNNNNNNNNNNNNNNNNNNNNNNNNNNNNNNNNNNUAUAUAUAUAUAUAUAAGAGUCCAUAUUUAAUUAGUUCAUUUUGAUCACUAAAUUAAUUCUUGAUCAAUACUAAUGAAAUAACAUGAUUUCAUAUUAAUAUAUUAUAACUUAUAAUAUAUUAAUAAACCAUAGAUAUACUAUUCUCAAAAGACUAUCCAUACAAAUUGUUCCGGUUAAGUGCAACCCAAUUGGACCAUGCUACUAUCGGGUCGAGUACAUACCAAUAAUAGUUAUGGGCUUAGACAUCUAAUCCAAUAGUCUCCCACUUGGAUAAGUCUAAAACUAUUAUUCAAGUAUGACUCCAAGAUCCCAACUAGCAAUCGUAGCUCUUAAAGUGUAACAUCCCAAUUUUCAAGGCCAAAAAUUUCAUUGUUAAAUAAUACUUCGCAACAUAGUUUAUCAAAACAUUACCAAAGUCAUGCCAUUUUAUAAAAAAAACUAUAACAACGUGUUCGGAAACCAUCUCAACAUAAGUAAUAUAAAUCAUAGUACAAUACCAGAAACUCAAUGCGGAAAACAUAUGUGUGUGUAUGUGUGACGCGCUGCUACACCGCCGACUCCUUCCCCUUAGACGAAGAGGUACCCGAAACCAAAACUGAAACUGUAAGCACAAAGCUUAGUGACUUCUCCCCAUCAUACAACAUACCAUACAUUCACAUAACAUACAUACUGCCAGGAGUUUCUAGGAUGCCCGACCUACCCAUGUCAAGCCAUUCUGGGGUGCUGACCUACCCAUAUUAAGCCAUUCUGGGGGGCUGACCUACCCAUAUCAAGCCAUUCUGGGGAGCUGACCUACCCAUGUCAGGCCGUUCUGGGGUGCCGACUACCCACCACUCUAUCUUAACUGGCAUCGGGGACUAUCUCACCCCUACCUCUAUCAUACAAUAACAAAAUAUAAUCAUACGGUGAGGCAUAUCUGGUGUACUGACCUACCCUUCGGUCCUAACGACCGAGUCAGGGAAAAGCUAUUCCCUACUACUACCACUAACUCACAUAGCAUAUCACAUAGGCAUAUCUCAUGAGCAUAUCAGAUAAGCAUAUCUCAUAAGCAUAACACAUAAGCAUAUCUCAUAAGCAUAUCACAUAAGCAUACCAAGAUAAUUAUCAUGAAGACAACUCUCUACCAAUUACUCUUGUUGGUGGGUUGGCAUUGUGGCCUUAGACCCACCCUUACUGGAAGGUAACUCACAUCGAUGUCGCGUAGUGUCCGCACUGUACUCGUUGUGAAAGUCGGCUAUCCUCGACUCCUCAAUCCGUACACGAUAACCCUUCUAAGUUAUCAACUUGUACUCACAACCCCUUCAAGGGUCAACUUGAAUCCAAAACAAAGUUAAAGUUAGUGUCAAACCCUGGUCAAGUCAACUCUUUGGUUGACCAGACUCGUCAAGUUGGUCCGCCAACUCACCGAGUCCCCUUGCCCAUAACAUACUACAAACCCAUCCCCACUCGUCGAGUCUAUCAAGAGAUAGAGAAGUUCACCUUUAACAUUACUUCAGCCAAUCUUCAACCGACUCGGCGAGUUCUUCCUUGAACUUGUCGAGUUCAUCUUCAAAGAUUGGGAGAUUGCCUUGGGCUCAACGAGUGUGUUCUAGCACUCAUCGAGUUCCAUGACUUCUAGGUCCAAGGAAAACCCCUAUCAGGCUGAGUGUUCCUUCCACUCAACUAAAAUCACUUCCAGAAGACGUUUUUGGGGAAAAAACGUCUCGGCUCACCAUAAAGGAUGUCCAUACAUAGGGUCUUUCGCUCAAAAAGCCAUAAAGGAUGGUAUACAAGAUGAAUAGGGUGUUUAUGGCAACUAGGUGGGCACCUUUAUGCCAUAAAGACCCCCAAUAACCCCAUAUCUAAAGCAGAAACUGACUUCCAAUACUCAAUCCCGAAUACCACCUUUCUAGGGCAUAGAAAGAUGUAGAAAAAGGCCCAAAAUCAAGAUCUAGACAAUCAAUAGACAAGGUUUCAGCUUUAUACCUCUAAUAGGCUGGAAAUAUGCUCAAAACUCUGGAUCUUCUUGUUCCCCAUUGAUCUCACAAGCCUCCUAUUCUUCUUCAAGCUUCAAUCACACAAAGUAACACCACAAGGCUCAAGAACACACUAAAAACGGCUAGGGUUUCGAGUUAGAGUUUGCUCCGGACGAUGGGGGAUGAGUUGAGGGGUUAUAAUGUAUUUAAAUAGGGUGUAAAUCCUCAAUUUAAGGUUUCCUUCAAACAACGUCUACUCGCCGAGUCGGCCUCCCGACUCGUCAACUAGGUUACCAAAACUUCCCGCGAAUCUCAACUCUACUCGACGUGUUGGGCCUCGAACUCGCCGAGUACUAGAGAAAACCAUAAUAAAUACUUGAAUUAAACACAUACCAGGAAUCGGGUGUUACAUAAAGUUGCUGCCGAACUCUGACCUAGUCAAAUGACACGUCCAUUACAUAAGGGAUCAUAUAUUCCUCCAUUAUAGAUAUCACAUGGACUGAUACAUGGAUUAUAAUCAUUAUCUUUGUCCAUUUGUCAUUUUCCAAUUUCUAAUUUAUGAUAACUGAUUAAUUGAACAAAUCAUAUCAGUCCAAGCUUGGCCAAGCACUUAGGGGUGUCAUCACUAAAUCUUCGAAGGGCCCACAAAUAUCGAUUUUAUCCCCCCAAGGGUAAAAGGAAUGGAUAAACUUCAACCCAAAUGUUCUCUUGUACUUGCUCAUCAAAUUAAACAGAACAAUAUGUUUUAUGACAACCAAGUUACUGGUUGUGUUUACAUAUGCCAAUGUGCAACUGUCGCGCAACCACAACUCACAUGUCUCCGUUUGAAGAAUAUAAGAUAUUAUCGUCUCAUGAUCACUCGUGAUAAAAUCCAUAAAGUGAUUCAAAUGAGCGUGGGUUUAAUCCAAUACUCGAAUCUCAUUCCAUGAGCACUCAUGAAUGUUGCAGCAACUUUUUCUAUGUCUAAACACUUUAGACAUUUACAAGCCCAAUUCAUGACAAUCUUGAUUCAUACUUACUUCCAAAGUAUGAUUGACUGUGGAGAGUUUGAAUAACCUAGUUAUUCAGGUAGACAAAACAUGCAAAGUGAAAAACAAGAAUAAUCGAAUCCAAUAUGGCCUCAGAACUUAUGAAUAUAAAUAAAACACCUUUUAUUUAUCACCAUAUUUACUACACAUUAUUCAUUAAAUAAUAUUUCGAAUAAUCAACUUAAUACUUGAACUGAAACAAUAGUCAUUCCAUGCUCCAAGCAUGGACACUAUGUUUAUCCAAACAAUAGUUAUUUUAUACUCCAAGUAUGCACACUAUGUUUGUCUAUGAUCCUUACUUUGUGAAAUAGACCAAUUGAACAUGAUUCCAAUGAUGUUCAUUUCAUAAUCCCAAAUCCUUACUGCAAAUGUAAGAGUACAAGAUUCUUUUCCAUUUACUGAAAUCUGUUAGAUUCUAAACUUAUAUGCAUUGAUUCUCUUGUAAUGACUAUGCACAAAAGUCACAAAGACUUGGUAACAGACAUUACAAAAUAUUCCAAUGGAGAUCAAUUCCUUGGAAACUAAGUCAAACAUUUAAUGUACAUUCCUUUGAACAUCCUUCUUGCAUUAAGUUUUCUAAUCUUACACUGAAUUAAUGAAUAUCUUCCACCUAUGGAAAAAUUCCCACAUUCCCAUUUUGACUAUCACUUUUGAACAAGAGUUGCCUCCUUCCAAAAUAUGUCAAUAUGGUCGUUCCAAAAUUAACACUUAUACUUCCAAUUGUCCAUGAGCAACCAAACUUUGGAAAACCUGAGAUUGUCCUCGACAAUUAAUUAAUCAUAUUAGUCAUAUCCAGAUCAAGUACUUGUUCCCCCUUAAUGCCCUAUGCAUUUGGAAAAAUUUAGAACAAAUGAAUAUUACAGCACAUGUAAUCGAUCCUAUAUCUGAUGCAUAUGGGACAGGAUUCAUGAUGUCUUACAUGAAGACAUGAUGCUAGACCAGUCUUUUGCUAUAAUAUUUCUAUUUCUAUUUUCCAUGUUCUCAUAGUUCAGAAUAUGAAAAGGGAUGUCGUAAUCAUAAUCAAAUUUUAGAACGCAAAUAACGUAAUUAUGACUAAAUUUGAUUAAAAACUCACAAUCUAUGCUUUUUAGAAUUUGAAUGAAGUAUAGUUUUCCUCUCCCUUAAUUAUAGCAAAAAACUUUUCAACCCCCGCAACUUCACGAAUUGAAACCAUUUUGUUUUCUAAAAUGAAAAUUGCUAACUUGUAAUACUAAACAUAACAAAUCAUGCUCCCACUAAUAUGACAAUUAUUAGCAUAAAACUUAUGCUCCCACUAGCUUUGACAUGUAUCCAGAAAUCUGCUGGACUUCUAGAAUCAAUACUUUAUUGACUUUCGUACGAAAGUUUAGAUUUCUGAUACGAGAUGCUUUGAUAAGACUUUAUCAAAAUCAUACACAUUUUCUUAGAUAGCUCACAUGUGUGUCUAAACAAUUUUAGAACUAUGAAAAGUGAUGUCAUAAUGAUAGUCUCAAUUGUUUAUACCUUUUCCAUUUCUCACAAGUCCAUGUUAGUGUGCCGGUUAACCACACACGCUCCACUAACGACUUUGAGAAUGCAAACAUCACAAUUGCUAUCUACUAAAAUCUAUUUAUCGAAAGCGUUUCCUCGCCAUUACUUUCAUGAAUCGGAGAGAAACCUAAUGACACUUAAAUUUUAUGGUGUAUGUAUUCCUCCCCAUAUGAAUUUGUCAAAACCAUAAGAACAAGACAAGGCUAGUGACAAAUUCAUAUGCACCAAACUUGUUCAAUCUUAGUUUCUUGCCACCUAGCAACACAAGGCCUACCAUUGCUUCCAGGUUGUUAUGCAACCAAUUAAGAACUCUCAUAACUCAUAUGCAAAGCCAACUUUAAUUGGAAUGGGCACACUAACUAGAAUAUGUCAACAUGACAGGUCACAAACCUCAAGUCGUGUGCUAGUGUUUAACAAUAGGUUUAUUCUUGAUUAGUUCUUGAAACUUGUCAAGGUCUUUAAGGAUCCCACUGACGUCUUGACAUAUAAGAUUUUCUUGCCAAGAACCAUUCCUUGACAAACAAAUAUUCAAGAGAUAGUUCUGAUUCUUAUCAAGACAAACACUUCACACAAUUGGCUUUAGUUGGUCUUUGUUUUAUCCAAAACAUCACAACUUACCAAUUUCAAAUGUACAAGAGUAGAAAACAUUUUACUCAAUAUUUGACAUGUGUUAUAAACCUUAUUUAAGAUAUGUCACUCAAGUUACAAUCUUGGAGUAGGACUAUAAGAAUUGUUUUGGAAUGAAGUAUGACUCAUUUUCUUGAUUUAAACAUUUCAACAAUUCAUGACUCCUCUCCUUAGAGGAUCAAUUGUGAUAUGGUUUCUUAAUCAUUAAGAUGAUCAUAAAACAUGAUACUAAAGUACUCUCCCAUCUUUUCAAAUUUGUGAAACCAUUAUCUUUAUGACUAAUUUGAUUCUUCUUAUUCGUUCUGCCAUUCAUUAAAAGUUUUCCAAUGUUUCAGAAUUAUACUUAAACUUGUAAGUAUAACCAUAUUUACUAAACAUUAGUAAAUCACGAUGAAUAGUCUUAUUGAUCUUUGUGCUGGACUCGACUAGUGCAUAACAAUGUGUACUCGAUCCCUUAGUCCAAUUUCGACACCACCACAAAAGAAUCAAAUUCAUAUUUCCAAUAUUGCUACAAACAUACAAACAUCAAUUUUUUAUAAAUGCCAUUGCAAGGUGAUAUAAUAAAAUAAAACAAAAUUUUAAUUUAUUUAUAAAAUGUGGAAAAAAAAAUUUCCUUACAAUGCAACUUUAAAUGAAAACUAUGCAAUUACAUAUUUCCUAGCAAUCUAUCAUAAAUCCUAAGAAGAAGCUCAAAAAUCUGAUCUUCGAACCAUACGAUUAAAAUCCAUCUUCACGAUCAGAUUCAACAUACUCUUCCUUUAAGUUUCCAUCCCUUUGCUUGAUCAUGCCAAACAUCAAAUGAAACCUAGUCACAUCAUGUAUUAAGAAUAAACAAUUAGAAACUUAACAGAGCUAGAUAGUGUACUUACCUGAAGCUGAGUCAAACUUUUUGAUUCUUCCUUCUCUCAGAUCUUUCAGAUAGCCAAGGCAGCCUCGCAACAAAUUCCCUUUCUCUUGACAACAAAAACAUAUAGACUCUUUGAGAAUGGUACACGGGACUAUCACAUAUUUAGCCUUUCCCUUUACCUUUUGGUCAACCGGGUUGAGAAGUAGAUCUUCCACCCAAAUUUACUUUUCCAUUGCGCCAAAACAUUUUUGAUUCAACAGCAACAAGCAAAUAAGUAUGAUCAAUAAGGGUUAUGUCGUGGUCUGUCACAUAGUAGUCCUUAAUGAACUCACUAUACGACUCAGAAAGUGAUUGAAGAAACCAGUAAACAACCAACUUCCUUGAGACUUCGACACCCAACACUCUCAACAUCUCGAUAUGUGACUUCAUCUCCAAGACGUGAGAACACACAAGCCUUCCAUCUUCAUGUUUCAUUGCAAGUAGGGCUUGAGUGACCUUGAAUUUUUUAAGUCUUUGAGUUUGUGGGUCAGAGAGAAUAAUUGGAGGAGGUGGAGGAAGAAAAGUAUGAUUUACAUGAUCCAAUUGUGGGACAUCAUCUUCAUUAGGACAACUUGUUUUAAGAGAUUUGCGAAGAUCAUAGUUGUUUGAUCUAGGCAUCUACAAUAGGAGAAAUUCAAGUUAGUUUAUUUAAAGUCCUUAAUAUAACACCUAAUAUGAAAUAUUAAGGCUAGGACCCAACACAGUAUUUUAUAACUUGGAAGAGGGAUGUCGUAAUCCAAGCUAUAAAAUAUUUGAAGGUAGGCGAAUGACGAUUCACCAAUUUCACCGUGAAAAACAAAAUAGGUAUUUGGUUUUAAUUUGAUUGAAAAUCCUAGAUCUUUUGAGAUUCAUUGAACUUUUCAAUGGCAUGUUUAAAUCUAGAUUGUGCCCUCUCAAGUUUGUGACUGGGAUGUCGACGAUCACAAACAAAGUGUGAAUAACCAUGGAAAUUAACUUGGUACCCUUAAUUUUAUCACCUAAUAGAUAUGUCGGUUACCCACACACGCUCCACCGAUCUAUGAUAAACACUAAGUCACCCUUUGCCACUCUUACUAGUCCAUGUUAGUGUGUCGGUUACCCACACACACUCCACCAACGACUUGGUAAGGUACAUAGUGUAAUUUCAUGGGUUAGCACCAUCUUCAAAUUUUGCUAAAGUAACUAAUAUUAAGAAUUUAUAAAAGGUUUAGUUACUUUAUAUUUAUCAUUACACUUAUAAUGAGAAUUAUAGUCCUUUUCCUAUCUAUUCGGCUAACGACCCUCCCCCAGUCAAGGAAGCGGUGGGUGAGAGUGGACACUCAUUAAGCUGCCAUUUUAUAGGCAACAACCUUAUACCCCCCCUCCUAUAGACCGGCUUCGUGAAUGAGGCCUGCUAAUGGUAAGACUGACUUGAUCUUACAUAUAUAUAUAUAUAUAUAUAUAUAUAUAUAUAUAUUAUUAACUUAUAAUACUAUAAAGUAUAAGGGUUGAAUUUUAACUUUUAAAACUCUAGGGUUUGGAAUUAAAGUGUGUGUGAGACUUUACAAAUUCCAAAACUUGAGGGAUGUUUUGAAACUAUUCAAAAGCUUUUGGUUUCCAUAACUUAUGAGUUUAAAUAAUUUAUAAUGAAAAAACUCUUCAAGUUCCAUAACUUGAGGAAAAGUUAUGGAAGAAUUUAAAACAUUCAAAAAUUGAGCCUCUUCAUUUUCAUAACUUAUGAAAAUCUUAUGAGUUUUAAAAAUCAUAAAUGAGACUUUUCAUAUAACUUGAGGACAAAUUACAAAAACACUUUUUAUGAACAACUUUUAGAUCAAUUUGGAUCGAAAACAAAUUAUCACAUAAUUUUUCUAUCAAUCUAAACUAACUCAUAAGAACAAGAUAACUCAUAUCAACAAUCUUCAAGAAAUUAGCAUGAACCUAUAAACUAAUACAAAUCUUGAAAUUAUGACAAUUAUCUUUGAAAUUGGAUUAGCAUGAUCAUCACCACAUACAAAACAGGUUUUAUAAGUCCAAACUAGUUUAGGGUAAUGAUUCUAGUCCAUUUCCAGCAGCAAAACUGGAAAAUAUGCACACAAGGUCUCCUACUCGCCGAGUCCAAGAGCCUACUCGACGAGUAGGAUGAUUUUACUCUUGGACUCGUCGACUCCCCCCAUGGACUUGGCGAGUCCACUGAACAGUGAACAUAUUUUCGACUGUUUCAAUCAGUUUGCAUCAAGUAUAAUAAAAAAAGCCUAGGCUCUGAUACCACUGAAGGGUUUUGAGCAUUCUAACACUCAUAUGGUGUACAUGCAACCCUAGAAACUUUGGAUCUAUGUUUUCUCGAUUAUACAUGGAAAUAUGAUUUUUCCAAGGUUCCCAUCCUAACUAACAUAACAUGGGGUACUUCUAAUAUAAAACAUAGUUGGAUGACAUACCUUUUUUUGUGGUUGAUUCCUUGGAGAAUCUAGAGCCUAGAAACAAUAAUGUGGAUGCCUCGAGUGGAAUCACAAAUCACCAAAACACCUUGAAAAACUUGAGGGAAUAGUAAUCACACUAGAAAUCGGCCCACUAUUGUUUACUCACACACUAGUUCCAUUUCAUGUGCCAAAGACCUAUUUAUAUAAUAUGGAGGAUUAGGGUUACGUUCAUGUAAACCCUAAUACCCAUGAACUUUGAUUUCCAUAGGAUCCAUGGGUUAAAAACUCCAUGCACUAUCCAUGCAAGCUUAGCCCAUCGAAGUGAACUUGGCCCAUUAUAUAUAUAUAAGAGUCCAUAUUUAAUUAGUUCCUUUUGAUCACCAAAUUAAUUAUAAAUUAAUUAUUGAACAAUACUAAUUAAAUAAUAUGAUUUCAUAUUAAUAUAUUAUAACUUAUAAUAUAUUAAUAAACCAUAAACAUACUAUUCUUAAAAGAAUAUCUAUACAAAUUGUUCCGAUGAACUGCAACCCAAAUGGACCAUGCUACUCUCAGGUCGAGUACAUACUAAUAAUAGUUAUGGGCUUAGACAUCUAAUCCAACAAAUAGUACCAGUAAUGGGCUAACCGAAUGGAGGAACAUUUGAAUGGAAUAGAUGAAGAAAUUUGGAGAUGUAUCAAAAGUGGAAAUUAUCGUCUCGUCAUGCUUGAAGAAAUUGACACUGAAAUUCUUCUAAUGAUAUGGCUUUACGAAAAAGUAAACAGAAAGAAAAUGAGAAGAAAUCUCAUGGUGAACUACGUGGUGCUCUUCCUCCAGUAAUUUACAAUUAUGUCCGAAGUUGUAAAAUAGAUAAAGAAAUUUGGGACACAUUGAAAGAAAAAUAUUAAGGUAAUGAAAAGACAAAGAAAAGCUUUGUGAAGAAGUGUUUGAUGGAAAUGGAUGAGUUCAAGCAGAAGGAUAACGAGUCAAUAGAUUCUUUCUAUGAUCGCUUGAACGAACAGAUAUUCAAAUGUACACGAUAUGGUGUUACUCAAUCGACUCUGGAAUACAAUCUUAUUUUUCUGAUGGGAUUGAGAAAAGAUUGUAGAAACAUUAGCCUCAUGAUUAAAACUCAAGAGAGUUUUGAUGGUUAUUCAUUGGUUGAUAUAUAUACAAUGUUCUGAAGGCUCAUGAAAGUGAGAUAAAUGAAAUUGAUGAAGAAGGAAAGUUAAGCUUGGUCGGACCGUUGGCAUUGAUAUCGAAAGCGAUUGCCAAGGAUUGUGAAGUCGGAUCUAUUGAAGAAGAUAAACUUGAAGAAGAAGGAUUUUUAGUUAACUCCGAUGAUGAAGCAGUGGCCUACUGCUCAAAUAAUAAAGUAAAGAAGUUCUUCAAGAAGCCUUUCAAUUCGAAGUACAAGAACAUUAAUGAGUUCAAGGGGAACAACUUGACUGGAAAGAUUGUGAAGGUUGAAUCGAAACAUGAAAUGAAAGAAGUAAUGAAUUUGGUUGAGAAGAAGGAGAUGAAGCUCAAAGGUGAUUUGAGUUAUGAUUGCAAUUACUGCAAUAGGUCGAACCACUUAGCAAAGGAUUGUAUGUUGAGAAAGAAGGAAGAGAAGAAGGAGAGAGUGAAGGACAAAUCAUAUUAUGCAGCAAAGAUUGAGGAGAUUAAAGAUCAUACUAAAGGAAACUAUUUGAUGGCUAGAGGAGUAGAUGAGGAUGAAGGUAUAUAUCAUAUCUGGUCUUCAGGGUCUGAUGAUGAAAUGAUGUGAAAUCCUAUGCAUGGAGUUUUUUAUGCUCAAUUCGAAGAAGGUGAUUCUGAUGAGGAGAAUAUAUCUAAAAGAUGUUUCUUCUCAACAAGUGCUGACAAAUCUCCUAUGACAACAAAGGUACGUAAUCUUCUUUAAUCUCUUAAUGAUAUGUUGAUUUCCAUGAGUAGAGAAGAUGAAAAUUUGAAUCAUUGAUGUAUGAUGUUCGAAACAAAUUGAAAGUUAAGAAGUGUGUCAUUGAUAGUUUAGAGCUUCACAUAAGACAUGUUACAGAAGAUAAAGAUUUUAUUAGGACUGUUAAGAUGUUCUUAGUCAAACAGAAGAAUAUCUACUAUAAUUCAGUUAAAAGACUAUAUGCUAAAUUGACUGAGCUGCAUCAAUCAUCUGAAAUAUGUACAGAACAACAUCGAAAGUUGCGUCCUUUCUUGGCAUACAAUAAGGAAAAGAUAGAUGAAAUUUAUUAUGAUUGUGCAAAGAAAAUAUAUGAACAUGAUAAAGCUCCUAAUGACUCAUAUGCUUAUCAAAAGUUAAGAUUGAUGAUUGCUUGAAUGUUGAUGAUCUUCUGCAUAUUGUUAAUGAAACUUUAAUUAAAACUGAACAAGUCAAGAUUUAACAUGACUGAGAAGUCGACACUUGAUUCUCAACAAUGCUGAUAUCGAAGAUGAUUAUUAUAAUAUCAAUGAAUUUGAGGCUGAUGAAAGUGUUGAUUGCUCACAAUUGUUUGUUAUUAAUGUAAAUUCGAUGGCUAAGGGCAAAGAAAUAUGUCAUGACUCAAUGUAAAAAGUAAACAAUGAUCAACCUUUUACAUCCAAAGUUUUUGAUCCUUUUCAUCAUGUUGUUGUGGAAGACUAUGUAAGUGAUGAGGUUGUUAAUUUGAACGAGGAACCUAUUCUUAGAAAAAUGAACCUUUCAACAUUUAUCGAAAAAGUUUAUUUCCAAAAUGAAAUUUUGAAAAAUCGGAAGUUCAAAGAAAGAAAAAUGAACCUUUCAAACGUAAAGAUCCACCCUUUCCAAAUCCUUAUUCGAAGCAGAAAAUAGAAGCUUCUUUUGCAAAAGGUUGAAGUGAUGUUAAAAAACAUCAACCAUUGGCUAGAGUAAAAAGGGAAACAAUUUCAAUCACGGAAGUAUUCUCUAUAGGAAAUCCAAUUAGCUUAUGAGAAGUAGUUAAAUGAUUCGAUGUGUGGAAGUAAAUCGUCAAAAGAGUCUUAUCCAACAAUGCGAAAUUGGAAAGCAAUUCCAAGGAAGAAUGUAGAUGGAUUUCAGAAAAUGGAUGGAAAACCGAAAGUCAUUGUUCAACCUUUCCUAUUGAAUGAUUACAUUUCGAUGUCAGAAUCCAAUGAAAUUGACUUAAUUGAGAGUUUCAAAUACAAAUAUGGUAGUUAGAUUAUAGGUUCUUCAUUACAUAAUGUGUUUUAAGCUAAUAUCUAAGGACCCAAAGGGUCUUGGGGACCAAAAUUCUUUUAAUUGAUUGUAGGUACUAUGUGACGAGCAAUAUGAUGAGAAAUGGUAUAUCGGUAGUGGUUGCUCGUGUCACAUGACUGGGAGGAAGGAGAAUUUAAGAUAUUUUCGAAAGUUGGAUAAUGUUGGUGUUAUGAAGUUUGGAAAUAAAAACAAGGAUAAAGUCAAGGGAUGCAUAAAAAGUAACAAAUGGAAAAUUCACGGUGAAUAGAGGGGUGUAUGUCGAAGGUUUAAUGCAUAAUCUGAUUAGUGCUUCGCAAUUUGUUGUGUGCACUGGUAAUUAGGUUCUCUUCGAUGAAAAGGGAAGUACUAUAUCCAUCAAGGAGACAAAGGAGGUUCUACUACAGUGGAAAUGAAAAGGAGACAUGUUCACUCUCGACAUAAAACCUAUUGUAGGCAUUACAUCAGUGUGUCUAUUGUUGAAAGCUUCAAUUGAUCUCAGUUGGUUCUGGCAUCGACGUCUUUUCCACAUUCACUUCAAAAAAAACUUAAUAAACUAUUGUUAAAUGAGUUAGUUCGGGGCUUACCUGUUUUAAAAUUUGAUAAUGAUUAGUGGUGUUCUACAUGUGAAUAGGGACAGAAACAUCAACAAGGUCAUCCAAUUUUCAUACGUUCAAAAAUCAUAGAAUCUUUGGAACUUCUUCACAUUGACUUAUGUGGACCUUCGACUAUUGAGACUUUCAAUAAGAAGAAGUACAUAUUAUUCAUUUUUGAUGAUUUUUCCUGGUUUACUUGGCUUUUCUUUCUUUGACAUAAGUCUAAAACUGCUCAAGUGAUGAUUGACUUUAUGAAGAACCUAGAGUUGAGUUAAAAAAAAAGUUUGAAAGAUUAAGAGUGACAAUGGAUCAGAAUUCAAAAAUCGACUUCCUGAUUCAUUCUAGGAUGAUCUAGGAAUUUCGCAUAACGUUUCACCUCCUUACACACCACAACAAAAUGGUGUUGUUAAAAGGAGAAAUUGCUCUCUAUGUAAAGCUGCACAAACAAUGCUUAUAUAUGCGAACUCACCUCAAUAUCUUUGGGUAGAAGUUGUUUCGACUGCUUGUCUCACACAAAAUCGUUCAUUUAUUCGUCGUCGUUUCAUCAUUACAGCUUACUAAAUCAUAAAGAUGGGAAAAGUUAAUGUUAAUUUUUUUCAUAUUUUUGGGUGCAUAUGUUUUAUCAUGAAUCUCAAGGACAACUUUCCAAAUUUCAAUCAAAGGCUCAUAAAGGAAUUUUUUUGGGAUAUUCACACAACUUUGUUGCCUACAGGGUGUGGAACAAAUGAACGAAGAAGAACUAGUAAACAUUCAAUCUUACUUUCAAUUACUAUCACUUGAAAAGGGCCGAGCAACCUUUCGUUCAAAAGCCUAUAAUGAAUGAAACAAAUGAUGAAUCUGAACUCAUGAAUUCUUAUGAUAUUGAUUUUGAUUUGACUUUCCGAAUUCCAGAUAGGGCCAUUGUUGCUGAAAACCAUGUGGAUGAUAAUCAUGUUCCUUGAGCAUUGAAAUAUUCUGAUGCAUGUCGAUAGAGUAUCGGUUUAGACAGAUGAUGAAGUGGAGGGAGAGAACUUGAGUUCGACAUUACAAGACGGUAAUCAUGAUUUAGCUGUUGAUGGGGAGCAUAUGUGAACUAAAACUCAAUUCGAGGGGGAGUGUGUACUAAACCAUGAUGAUGUUUAGGGGAAGCAUCACAUUUCAACUCAAUUGGUCAAGGGGGAGCCAAGUAGAUCGAAUCCUGAUGAUAAAAAUUAUCAAUUUAAUGACUCGCAUGAUGUAAAUGACAAUAUCUCAAUUGCAAGUGAAGGUUCUAAAGCGGAUGAUAUAUUCAAAGAUGCACCUUUAGAUUUUGAUACAUCAUAUCCAUCAUAGGAAAAAUGGACAAGAAUUAAUCCUAAGGAGAAAAUUCUCUCCCAUCAACAUUUUGGUGUCUUUACAAGAGCCCAGAUUCAAGCCGAUAAUGAGGUGUUAAGUCUCCAUCAAGAAUAUUAUAUUUAAUGUUUUCAUUUUGAAAUUGUAACAAAAAACGGUAAAGGUUGCAUUAGAACAUAUGAUUGGAUUGUUGCAAUGCAAUCUUAAACUUGUUGAAUUCGAAUGUAAUACAGUUUGGAGAUUGGUUCCUAAGCCUAAAUAUGUUUCUGUAAUCAGUCUUAAGUGGAAUUAUAAGAAUAAAACUGAUAAAGAAGGCAAUAUUGUUCGAAAUAAAGAAAGAUUAGUCGUAAAAUGGUAUUUACAACAAGAAGGUAUUGAUUAUGAAGAAACAUUUGCCCCUGUCUCAAGACUCGAGGCGGUACUAAUUUUUCUUACCUAUGCAGCUCACAAGGGUUUCAAUGUAUAUUAAAUGGAUGUGAAGUGUGCAUUCCUCAAUGGUGUUCUGGAGGAAACAGUGUAUGUCGAACAACCACCAAGUUUCGUUGAUAAUAAGUAUCAUGAUCGCUGUUACAUUUUAGAUAAGACAGUUUAUGGGUUGAAACAAGCACCUCGUGCCUGGUAUGCAACUAUAACCAAUUUUACAAAAAUCGCUAAACUGAAACAAGGAUCCAUUAAUCGUACCUCAUUUUGAAAUAAAGUAGGGGAUCAUCUCAUGCUUAUUAAAAUUUAUUUUGAUGACGUUAUUUUUGGUUUGACUGAUCCUUCUUUAACUAAGGAUUUUAAUGAUUUAAUGAAAAGCCAGUUUGAAAUGAGUAUGAUGGGCAAAAUAAAUAACUUUGUGGGAUUAAAUAUUCGUCAGUGCAGGGAAGGAAUUUUUAUCAAUCAAGAAAAGUAUACUUAUAACUUACUUGAUAGGUUUGGCAUGGCGAAUAGCACAAAAGUGAAAAUACCGAUGGCUAUUGGCACGCAAUUAAGUCCUUCAUUGGACAAGUCUAUCGUCGCUCUACAAAAAUAUAUAAGCAUGAUAGGUUUUCUCUUGUAUUUAACUGCAAGUAGACCGAAUAUUAUGUUUGUUGUAUGUAACUGUUCUAGGUACUAAUCAAAGAGAACCCUAGCUCACUAUUGUAAAGAACAUAUUUUGAAACCUCAAAGGAACAAUUUCGUUGGGUUUAUGCUAUCCAUCGACGACAUGGUUUUUCAUUUAAGCAUUCUCAGAAUGAGACCUGGGUGGUUGUCAGCUAGAUCGAAAACGCACUACUGGUGGACGUCAAUUUUUGGAUGGAAAGCUUGUAAGUUGGCAAUCGAAAAAGCAAACUUGUGUUUCGAUUUCGACUGUUGAGGGAUAAUAUGUUGUUCUUGCUAUGUGCACCUUACAAGUAAUAUGGAUUCGAAGCCAACUACAAGAUUAUGCAAUAAAUAUGAAGAAAAUACAUUUGUGUUGUGAUUCUCAAAGUCCUACUCACAUCUGCCAUAAUCCAGUCCAAUAAUCAAAAAACAUGCUCUUCAAUAUCAUUUAGUCAAAGACCAUGUUGAAGAUGGGAAGAUAGAAGUCCACAUUGUCAAAACAAUGGAUCAUCUUGUAGAUAUUUUUAUUGGGUUUUAGAAAACAACAACAUCCUAUGGUGCACAUAUAACCCUAAAAGCUUUGGAUCUAUGUUUUCUCAAAUUAUACAUGCAAUAUUGUUUCCAAAGCUUUAAACCUACAACUAGCAUAUAAAUGAUAUAAACUACAUAAAAUACUUGUUAGAAGCUUAUGUCUUUGUGUAACUUGUAGAACUUGAUGAAGUUGGCCUUUAAAAGCUUAGCCCCAAUAGUGUGGAAGCCUCAAAUGGAAUCUCAACACAUCAUGGACAAAGGUGGAACUUGAGAGAGAGUUCCAUGCACCCAAAAACACCCAUGAACUAGAAGAACAUGCUUGUUUUUGUUUUUUAGGUUAAGAACAUGUAUUUAUAUGUUGGAUUUCAAGGGUCAUGGGUAUAACCCAAAACCAUACCCAUGGGUCUAUGAUCCAUGGUUCAUGUGGCCCAACUCUUUAUGUAUCCAUACAUAAACUUGGUCCAACAGGGAUCAUAAUCCCAACACAUAUAAAUAUAACUAAUUACCAUAUUUAGUCCGCAUAGAUUAAAUUAGACUCUUUUGAUCACUAAAUUAAUUCCAAAUUAAUUCUUGAUCAAUACUAAUUAAAACAUAUGAUUCCAUAUUAAUAUAUUAUAACCUAUAAUAUAUUAAUAAAUAAUAUAUAUAACCUUCUCUAAAGAAUCCAUCCUAACAAAUUGUUCUGAUGAUAUGCAACCCAAAUGAACCAUGCUACUCUUAGGUCAAGUACAUACCAAUAAUAUUUAUGGGCUUCGACAUCUAAUCCAACAGUCUCCCACUUGGAUAAGUCCAAAACUAUUAUUGCAAAUACGACUCCGAAACCCGACUACCAAUCGUAGCUCUUAAAAGCUGCUUUCGAACUCUGACUUAGUUAACGACGUGUCCAUUAGAUAAGGGAUCAUAUAUUCCUCCAUUCUAGAUACCAUAUGGACUGAGACAUGGAUUAUAAUCAUACUCUUUGUCCAUCUAUUGUUUCCAGAUUUUCGAUUUAUGACGACUGACUAAUUGAACAAAUCAAAUCAGUCCAGGCCCGACCGAGCACUUACGUUUGUCAUCACUAAAUCAUCAAGAGGCCCACAGAUAUCGCUUUUAUCCCUCCAAGGGUAAAAGGAAUAGAUAAGCUUCGACUUAUAUGUUUGCUUUGUUUACUAAUAAAAUCACACACAACAAUGCAUUUUAUAAGACCAAGUUACUGGUGCGUUUUCACAUUAUCAAUGUGUAGCCGACUUGUAGACUGCAACUCAUAUCUCCCAGUUUGAAGAAUUUUAGAUAUUAUCGUCUCAUGAUCACUCGUGAUAAAACCCAUAAAGUGAUUCAAAUGAGGGCGGGUUUAAUCCGAUACUCGAAUCUUAUUCCAGGAGCACUCAUGUAUACUUCAACAAUGUCUAGGCCACCUAGACAAACUACAUACCCAUUCAUGAUAAUCUUACCUCAAUACCUACUUCCAAAGUACGAUCGCCUAUGGACGGUCUGAAUAACGUAGUUAUUCGGGAAUUCAAAACAUGCAAAGUGAAACACAAGAAUAAUACUAAUCCUAUAUGGCCCAAAACAUUGAGAGUAAAUAAAACACCUUUUAUUUAAUCACCACACGGAUUACACAUUAUUCAUUGUAUAGUGUUUAGAAUAAUCAACUUAAUUCUUACCAUUUACGAAAAUCUAUUAGAUUCUAAACUUAUAUGCAUUGAUCCUCUUGUAAUGACUAUACACAAAAGUCACAAAGACUUGGCCACAGACAUUGCAAAGUAUUCCAAUGGAGAGCAAUUCCAUGGAAACGAAGUCUCACAUUCAAAGUACAUUCCUUUGAACAAUCUUCUUGCAUUACAUUUUUCUAAUCUUACACAGAUUUAAUGAAUAACUUCCACUUAUGGAAACAUUUCCAUAUUCCCAUUUUGACUAUCACUUAUGAACAAAAGUUGCCUCCUUUCAGAAUAUGUCAAUAUGGUCCUUCCAAUAUUUAGACUAUACUUCCAACUAUCCCUGAGCAACCAAUCUUUAGUAAGCCGCAGAUUGUCCUCGACAUUUGCUUAAUCAUUUUAUUCAUAUACAUUUCUAGUUCUUUUCCCUCUUAAUGCCCUAUGCAUUUGGAAAAUUCAUUACACAUAGAAAUAUUAUUGCAUAUGUAAUCGAUCCUAUACCCGAAGCAUAUGGUAUAUGAUUCAUAAUGACUCACAAAAAGACACGAUCCUAGACCAGUCUUUUUCCUAUUAGCCAUGUUCUCCAAAUUUGGACUAUGAAGAGGAUGUUGUAAUCGUAAUCGAAUAUCGAGAACGCAAUUAAUAUUUCCAUAUUUAGAAUUUCCUUAUGUUGAACCAUUCCAACAUAACAUUCUUAUAUAUACUUGACUAAAUUUGAUUAAAAUCUCAAUUUAAGCUUUUAGAAUUGGAAUGAAGUAUAAUUUCCUCUCCCUUAGCUAUAGCAAAACAACUUUUCAAACCCUGCAACUUUGCAAAUUGAAACUUUUGUUUUCUAUAAUUAACAUUGCUAACUUGCAAGACUUAACAUAAGAAUCAUGCUCCCACUAACAUGAUAAUUAUAUUCUUAUCAGCAUAACACUUAUGCUCCCACAAGCUUUGACAUGUAUCCAGAAAUCAGCUGGACUUCUAGAAAUCAAUACUUUAUUGACUUUCAUUACCAAUGUUUAGGUUUCUGAUAUGAGAUGCUUUGAUAAGACUUUAUCUAAGCUUCCCAAAAUCAUAUACCUUCCCUUAGAUAGCUCACAUGUAUGUCUAAACAAUUUUAGAACUAUGAAAAGGGAUGACGUAAUCAUAGUCUCAAAUAUUUAGCCAUUUGCCAUUGCUCACAAUUCGAAUAAUGAAAAGGGAUGUCGUAAUCAUAAUUGAAUUUGAGAAUGCAAAUAUCACAACAUCUAUCUUCUUAAAAUCUACUUAGUGAAAGCGUUUCCUCACCAUCAUUUUCAUGAAUAGGAGAGAAACCUUAUGACACUUACAUUUUAUGGUGUAUGUGUUCCUAUCCAUGUGAAUUUGUCAUAACCAUAAUCAAAAGACAAGGUUAGUGACAAAUCCAAGCUUAUGUGGACUAAACUGAUCAAUCUCAAUUUCUCACCACCUAGCAACACAAGGGCCUACAAUUGCUUCCGAGUAGUUAUGCAAACAACUAAGGACUCAAAGAACUCACAUGCAUAGUCAACUUUAACUGGAAUGGGUAUAGAAGCAAGAAUAUGUCAACAUGAUAGGUUACAAACCUCAAGACUUAUGCUAGUGAUAAACAAUAGGUUUUCUUCUCGAUUAGUUCUUGAAACCCUUUUCAAAAUCAUUAAGACUCCCAUUGACUCUUUUACAUAUGAGAUUCUCUUUUCAAGAACCAUUACUUGACAAACAAAUACUCAAGAGUCAAUGCAGAUUCUUAUCAAGAAAAAACAUUUCAAACUAUUGGUCUUAGUUGGUUUUUUGUUUUAUCCAAAACAUCAGAACUUACCGAUAUCAAAUGUACAAGAGUAGAAAGCAUUUUACUCUACAUUUCACAAGUUUUAUAAACCUUUCUUAAGAUUAUGUCAUUCGAGUUACAAUGUUUGGAGUAUGAUUCUAAGACUUGUUUUGGAAUGAAGUAUGAUUGAUCUUCCAUGAUUUAACCAUUUCAACAAUUCAUGAUUCAUCUUCCUUAGCCAAAAAAAUGAACGAAAAUAUCCUUAGAGGAUCAAUUGUGACAUGGUUUUUCCAAAUUAUCAAGAUCAUCAUAAAACACGAUACUGAAGUACUCUCCCAUCUUUUCAGAUUGGAGAAACUUUUAUCUUUCUACCUAAUUUGAUUCUACUCAUUUGUCCUUGCAUACACUUAUCGUUCUUUGUGGGGGACCUGAUCAGCGCACAACCAAGUGUACCUGAUCUCCUAGUCCUUCACUUGACUCACAUAUACAUGUGACCAAGGAAUUAGUCUUAAUUUCCAAAAGACGACAAUUCUCAUUCAUCAUACAAUACAAGUUGCAUGAUUCCAAGUUUCUAUCCAACUGAAACUUGGGUGAUGAAAAUGUUUCCAUAUUUGGUAAAUUAUGAAAAUACCGCAAAAGAAAGAAUCAAAUCCAUUUUCCAAUAUUGCUAUCAAUGGAAUCAUAUAAAGAACAAUUUUCACAAUUCCCGUUGUAAGGAUACAUAAAAUAAAUAAAAUAAAAACUUUUCCUUUUAUUUAAAAAUUGCGGAAAAACUUAUCCUUACAAUGCAAAUACAUAUGAAAACAAUGUUGUAAUCUAUUCCUACGUAAUCUAUCAUAACUCUUAAGUAGCAACUCAAAAUUCUGAUCUUCGAAUCAUGCGAUCGAAAUCCAUCUUCGCGAUCUGAUUCAACAUACUCUUCUUCUAAGCUUCCUUUCUUUCUCGGAUUCUACAAAACAUCAAAAUGAGACCAAGUCACAUCAUGUAACAAGAAUCUCUAAAUAGGGACUUAAUAGAGUUAGAUAGUGGACUUUACCUCAAGCAAAGUCAAAUUUUUGACUUUUUCUAUCCUAGUGAACUUUCAGGUAAAUAAGGCAGCUUCGUAGCUAAUGCCCCUUCAUUUGGCAAUAGAAACAUAUGGACUCUUUAGUAAUGGCACAUGGAAAUAUCUCAGACUUUUGCCUUUCUCUUUACCAUUUGGUCAACCGGGUUGACUAUGGCCGAACCCUUUCCAUUGGGAAUAGAUGACUUUUCUGGACUUCUAAUGUUUCCACUGUCAAUGUCCAUGAAAGUUUGGGAAGUAGAUCUUCCAAUCAAAUUUGCUUUACCAGUGCUCUAAAUCAUUGCUGAUUAAACAAAAACAAGAAAAUAGGUAUGAUCGAUAAGGUUCAUGUUGUGAUCUCUCAUGAGGGAGUGACUAAUGAACCCAGUCAACAACCAACUUCCUCGGUACUUCGACACCUAACUCUCCCGGCUUGUCAAUAUGUGACUUCAUCUCCAAUAAGUGAGCACAUAUAGACAAUGCUUGCCAAUAGGGAUUGAGUGACCUUGAACUAUUCAAGAACUUGUUGGUUAGGGAGAACAAUUGGAGGAAGAGGAGGAAGUGAAGUAUGAUUUCCAGUCCCAUUAAUGCACAACAAAGGGAUUAAACUUUCACCUUUAUCGCCAUUUGGGAUAUCAUCUUCAUUAGGAAAGUUUUAUGCAAAAGGAUAAGGAAGACCAUAGUUGUCAUAACUAGACAUCUAUGAGGGAGAAAUUCUAGUUUAGUCGAUUUAAGUCCUUAAUAUAACACCCAAUAUGAAAUAUUAAGGCUAGGACCCAACACAAUAUUUUAAAACUUGGAAGAGGGAUGCCGUAAGCCAAGCUACAAAAUAUUUGAAUGUAGGUAAACGACGAUUUACCAAUUUCCACCAUGAAAAAAGAAAUUUAACAUUAGGUUUUAAAUGAAUUGAAACUCCUAGAUCUUUUGAGAUUCAUUGAACUAUUCAAUGGCAUUUUUAAAUCUCUAUUGUGCCCUUCAAGUUUGUGACUGGGAUGUCGAGGAUCACAAACAAGGAGUGAAUAACCAUGCAAAUUAACUCGGUAUACAUAAUGUUACAACCACUUAAUCAAUGUGUCGGUUAACCACACACGCUCCAUUAACGACUUAACAAGGUGCAAAGUGUAAUUUCAUGGGUUAGCCCCAAAUUCACAUUUUCCUAAAGUAACUAAGAUUGGGAAUUUAAUAAAGCUUAGUUACUUUAUAUUUAUCAUUAUACUUUUAAUGAAGGGAGAAUUAAUGUCCUGUCCUACCCGUUCGGCUAACCACCCUCCACCAAUCAAGGAAGCGGUAGGUGAGAGUGGACACCCAUUAAACUGUCAUUUUAUAGGCAGUAACCUUAUACCCCCUUAUAGAUCGGCUUCAUGAAUGAACCCUACUAACGGUAAAACUGACUUUGUUUUUAUACAUCAAUAUAAAUAUUAAACCUAUAAUAUUAUAAUAGUAUAACGGUUGAAUUUUAACUUAUAAAAUUCUAAGGGUUUAAUUUGGAAUUAAAGUAUUCAGGGGGGGUACUUUACAAAUUCAAAAACUUGAGGGCAUGUUUUGAAUAAUUCAAAAAUUUUGGUUUCCAUAACUUAUGAUUUUAAUAUGUUUCUUAUGGAAGAAUUUUCAAGUUCCAUAACUUGAAGAAAAGUUAUGGAAGACAUAAAAAACAUUUUAUGAUGACAUUAAAAUAGAGACUCUUCCAUUUUCAUAACCUGUGAGACUUAAUGUGCUUUUUAAAUGAAAAAAUCUUCAUUUUCCAUAACUUUAGGACAAGUUAUGGAGUUCAUAAAAACCACUAAGAUCAAAUACUCCAAUUAACACAAUAAUCAAAUAAUUUUUCCAUGAUCUUGAUUAAACUCAUAAUAACAAGAUAAUCCAUAUCAACUAUUUUACAAGAAAUUAUUCUAUUACAUAAACUAAUAAAAUCAUGAAACUAUGAAAAUUAUCUUUUAUUUGGAUGAGAAUAAUUAUUUUCACAACAUAAAAUCAAAUUUUUAUCAAGAAAACCUUUUAUAUUAGUUAUCCAAUUCCAAAUUAAGCCAAGAUAUCCAAAAAUCUGCGAGACCUAUGACCACCUCGUAGUAAAUUUUACCACCUCGUGGUGAACACGCAGAAUCCAAAAAAAAAACGAUUUUUUUCAAGCUUUGAAAACAAGUAGUAUCAAGUAUGAUGGAAAACAACCCAUGGCUCUGAUACCACUGUUGGGUUUUAGUAUACUACAACAUCCUAUGGUGCACAUACAACCCUAAAAGCUUUGGUUCUAUGUUUUCUCAAAUUAUACAUGCAAUAUUGUUUCCAAAGCUUUAAACCUACAACUAGCAUAUAAAUGAUAUCAAGUACAUAAAAUGCUAGUUAGAAUUUUACCUCUUUGUGUAACUUGUAGAACUUGAUGAAUUUGGCCUUUAAAAGCUUAGCCUCAAUAGUGUGGAAGCCUCAAAUGGAAUCACAACACAUCAUGGACAAAGGUGGAACUUUAGAGAGAAUUCCAUGCACCCAAAAACACCCAUGAACUCCAAGAACAUGCUUGUUUUCGUUUUUUAGGUUAAGAACAUGUAUUUAUAUGUUGGAUUUCAAGGGACAUGGGUAUAACCCAAAACCAUACCCAUGGGUCUAUGAUCCAUCGUUCAUUUUGCCCAACUCUUUAUGUAUCCAUACAUAAACUUGGUCCAACAUGGAUCAUAAGCCCAACACAUAUAAAUAUAACUAAUUACCAUAAUUAAUCCUCCUAGAUUUAAUUAGACUCUUUUGAUUACUAAAUUAAUUCCAAAUUAAUUCUUGAUCAAUACUAAUUAAAACAUAUGAAUUCAUAUUAAUAUAUUAUAACUUAUAAUAUAUUAAUAAAUCAUAUAUAUAUAUAUAUAUAUAUAUAUAUAUAUAACCUUCUCUCAAGACUCCAUCUCUUUUAUGUGUGCAUAAAAAGGAACAAAUGUUCGAUUUGGACAAUUGUGAGCUAUAUGACCAACGGUUCGACAGUUAAAAUAUGUUUUCUUUUUAGCACAAGAACUCGCUACCUCUUUUUUAUGGAUUAAUUUUCUUAUCAACUCCCUUACUCUUUCCACACGAGCAAGUGCAUGAUUCAUGUUGUGUGACAGGUGUAGGUGAAAUGUGUGUGGUAGUAAUAGAAGUAUCAGACUUAUGAGACGCAUCAUCACUAACAUCAUUAGAAACAUUAGAAUUCGACACAAAAUCAUCACCAAUCAAAUCAUCAAUUUUAGCAAUAGAAAUGUCACACCCCCAAACCUAAACGGCGGAAACGUUCGGGGGCGGAUGACUUCAUGUGGUAACGUAACAAAUGAAUACAUAGUAAAGAAAGCAAUACAACCAUCACAUAUAUAAUUGAAAGUUUACAUUUGUCAAAAGUUACAUGUUCAAAACCAAUUACAAUAUGAUGUCAAAAUAUGAGAUUAAACUGGCGCCGUAGCAUCCCUUCAUCAAAAGCAUAAUGAUACCUAAAAUUAGUGAUUCCCUAGG
rnacentral:lncRNA from 1 species